rnacentral:lncRNA from 1 species
ACGCGGGGCCCGUCCGCCAGCCACCGGACCCGCGCCUCGCGCCCUAGUUCCUUCUCCCCGCUUACACGGGGGGCCCGCGUCGCAGGACCGGUUCCGGGGCAGUGCAACGGAUUUGGUAGCUGCUGUGGGGCCGAGGUUACUGAAGCGUGGGCCCGGGGUGAGGACGGGCAGGAGCAGUGACUUGGCUUUGGUUGAUGAGAUGAGAUGCUGGAAGAAACGGUCGGUGGGGUGAUUGAUUUGUGGUCACCUUUUGUAGCCCCCCUCCCCCUGUGAUUUGUACCAUCUUUCUCGUGAAAAAUUUAUCGCUCCCAUGACGCGUCUGGCCCACACUGUUCCGCCCGUUUACUUUGCUGCUGACGAAAAAAAUAGCUGCCUGACGAGACGGAGGUCCGUUUGGUUCACGGACUGACUAAAGUUUAGUCAAUACCACAUUAAAUAUUUAAAUACUAAUUAUAAGUAUUAAAUAUAGACUAAUUACAAAACUAAUUGCAUAGAUAAAGGUUAAUUCGCGAGACGAAUCUAUUAAAUCUAAUUAGUUAAUAAUUUGACAACGUGGUGCUUAACAGAUUCGUCACGCGGAUUAGCCUCCAUCUGUGUAAUUAGUUUUAUAAUUAACUUAUAUUUAGUUCUUCUAAUUAGCAUCCGAAGAUUCGAUGUGACAACUACUAAACUUUAGCCAGAUCCAAAUAGAGUCCUGCUCUGAAUUUGAUUCAGAAACUAGGCACAUUUUAAGUUUUGACAUCAGGCACCAUUUUGCACAGCUCUCUCUGGAAAUAUGUGUGGUGCAUGGCUGCUGUUCUGUUCAUCUUGCCUGUGCGAAAAAAAAGAGAUAAGAAGCAUAUCUGCAUAUGUGUGGCGUUCCUGUUCCAUUUCUCACCUGUGCACGUCUUCAGCACUGGGUCUCUGCAGUAGCAUGACAACUGAACCUGUCGUCUAUUUUUGUAGAUCAGACAACGUAUGCGCGCAACUACACUAGCAUUGAUUUUAGCAUGUCUCGUUACUUUCUACCACUGCUAGUCUGGAGUACUGAACAACAGGGUUGCUGGUCGGCUCGCCAGCCGGUCGCCUCCAAACUCCUCCCUGCCAGCCACCAGCCUGCCGCAAAAUGCACAGUGGUAGACACGGCAAAAUGGUCAGUCCCAACGCCCAUUCUUCUGCUGGCCAAACACAUCGGCACAUCGCCGAGCCAGCCGGGAGCGCCGAGCUGUGCAGCACUGCAGCUGCUCCUUUCUCGGCAAUGAUUCAAGAUUUACUGAACCUCUAUUUCCAAAUACUCGUCACUUUUGAUCACUUUAUUUAUUUCAAAAUUUGGCACUUCACGUUUUUUAAGAAACACUUUCUCAUUUUACCCCUAUACAAAUAUCAUAAGGAUGUUACAGGAAAGCUUAAAGAUAGGUCUGUAAGGAUAUUUUGGUUAUUUCAUUCACGAAAAGUUAAAUUGCCUUGGUAACCGUGUUUGGUCAAAAUUGUCAAGUAUUCAGAUGUGGCAGGCCUGAGCCCUGCAGCAGUUUGGUGGCAAAGGCUGUUAACAAACACCUGUUUAUCCAACCGCGGCCAACCCUGCCAUGCUUUAUUUUGCCAUCUCCCAUCCCAUUCUCCCUCGCUUUGGCUGGGCAUCUGCUUUCCCACGCAAAAGGCCUGCCGCCUCCUGUUGCAUCGGUCUCCACUCUCCAGUGCAGCUCCUCCUUCCUCUCAGGGUCACGAUCUGACGGUCUGACCCUCCUCCCUCUUCGACCUCACCGUAGAGUUGACUUGAGGUUCCGCUCUGUCCGGCUCUGACGCUGGGUUGACGAGACUGUGGUGGUAGCGUGUGUGACCUGUGACGUCCCUGUAGCCUUUUACAGAGGUCCCCAGGGGACCGGCCUCCCAAUGGCGUCGCGGCAGGCGGCACAUCCUUUUACCCUUUCCCUCUGAUGAUCGAUGCUGCGAAAUCCAAAUGCUGUCGCGCCUCAAUUAUUGCGACACCUCCUGAUCGCGUCGUCGUCCGUCACAUCGACGACACAUGUUAGAUUUUCCGCUUGUGGGCUGGGGGAGAAGGAGAGUGUGACGCGGCCCGUUCAAUCGUCGAGGCCCAGGGCCCAUGAAAUAGCACACUUGUUCCAUGGGCUGAUGAGCUUGUUUCGUCGUUGCCCCCGGCGGCCUAGUUUCUUUUCUUCAAACCGUGUUCAACCACAACUACUUCUAUCUUAUAAAGAAAAGCUCAAUUCAACGCGGCAACGUCUGUUUCUCCAUUUGGAUUAACUAUAAAUAAAUGAAACACUGACGCGGUUGAUGCCACGAAUGCCUUCGACGGAUGGGUGGCAUAUAAUAGCAGCUAAAAGGCACGCAUGGUUCAGUCACAAACAAUGCCACCGCAUCCCAUCCAUCCCAAAAACAAAUCGGUAAUGCCAUCCAAUGAUACGCGAAACGCAGCCAUCGGGCAACGGCAUCAGGAGGACCUAGCAUCACUGCAUUAGUCAAUGGCUCCAUCGGUCACCGUGACACUUGCUUGCCAUUAUCAACUUCCUUAGCUUUUUUUUAAUCCUCCGUUACAUGAUUCCUUUUAUUUACUUUCCCCUCAAUUUCCUUCCUUUUUAAAUGAUAAUAAAAAACCAAAGGAUUAAACUCGAAGCUACUGUAAGAUAGAUAUAUAUACAAGGUGAUUAGCGUGACAGCAAGCCAUUAAUAACCAUGUGGCGUUUGUGAAUGAAAGACGUGUGGCACUAAUCCGUGACCACAUGUGCCUGUAUGAUUAUAUCAACUAAUACCAUCUUAAAUUAUAUUUACUACUGUUUAGGACGGUCAAAUUUGGCAAAUGUGACUAAAUUAAACAUGGAAAAAAAAUAAACCGCAGCUUAACCGGUGCGAAACGGCUUAGAGAUACUAUCCCGACAGUAGCUCGGGUGGAGUUUUUCUGCUUAUUUUUUUUAUCUAUAUAGUUUUGGUUCUCUUAUAUAUCAAUACACGCCAGUUAGUUCUUUAUUGUCCGUCGUUUAAAAAAAAGUAGCAUAUAAGUAUAUAGGACCCAGACCAAGGAUUAAAGAGAAAUAUAGAAUCCUUUUAACUCAAACCCAAUUCUAGAAUCCUUUUAAUAAUGAUGUCAUGAAACGUAUUGCUGCUAACUGUGGAGUAAAACUGGGAAAUGAUGAUCAAACAAUUGAUUAUAAUAUCUCUUUAUUAAAAGCCAAAGAAAUAGCUCAACUAACCCUGCAGAAAGCCAUGGAAAGGAAAAAAGGAACAAGGAAAAGAGAGUGUAACAGAAGUUGAGGAAAACAGAAGUGAGGCUCAAGUGGGAGAGUUGCUUAUGAUCAUUGAAGAGGAAGGGAUUGUAGAGAUAGCCUAGAACCCAAUGGAGAACACUUCUUCCCUACAGAGAGGGGAGAAGGCAAAUAAGAACACUAGAAAUUGAAGAUCCUCUUCUGGAAUAUCAGAGGCUUGGAGGGGCAGGAAGAAGAAGACAACUAGUAGAGUUAUGUAAAAAAACAAAACGUUCAGCUGGUGUAUUUACAGGAAACAAUCAAGGACUCCUACUAAGGGGAGAGUUGGACAGAAUUGGCAGAGGUAUGGAUCACCAUUGGUCCUGCACCCCGCCUAGAGGGCGUUCGGGAGGCUUGCUUAUAGGUGUCCCGAAAUAAAUUGUAGAGGUAUGUCAGGAAGAUAGUGGGGAAUAUUUUCAGAGUGUAACAUUGAAGAAUACAAAAGAUAACUUCAAUUGGGAACUAGUUAACACAUAUGGACCUGUGCAAGAUGAGAAGAAGAUAGAGUUUUUACAGGAAAUCCUAACCAAGGUCAAAGAAUGCCAACUACCUUUUGUCCUGGGGGGAGAUUUUAACCUGGUGAGAAGGGUGGAGGAUAAAUCAUUAGCGAAUGUGGACUCAAGGUAUAUGGAUGCUUUCAAUGACAUGAUUGAAGAGGCCGAAUUGAUGGAAUUACAUAGAGGAGGGAGCAGAUACACCUGGACAAACAAACAAAUAGCUCCAAUUUAGAGUGUAUAGACAAGGUGUUUGUCAACAAUGCUUGGGAGGAUAAAUAUCCAUUAGCCAGAGUACAAGCCUAUAUGAGAGUUGGGUCAGGCCAUAAUCAUUUGAUUGUGAGCACUGGACUAGAAGAGGGAAAACCGCCUAUAUACUUCAGGUUUGACCUGUCAUGGUUGAUACAAGAUGGUUUUAAAACAUGGGUGUUGGAGAAGUGGCCAGUGAGAUAUAAAACCAACUGUCUGGACCACUGGCAUGUGAUUUCUGGGAGAUUGUAAAGAGCUAUGAAAGGGUGGGGGGCUAAUUUUGAGAGCAACUUGAAGACAUAUAAAAAAUAGUUGAUAAAGAAAAUUGAAGAGAUAUAUGAGGUUGCAAAUAGUAGAGAGCUUUGCAAUGAUGAAUGGGCCCAUAGAUACAAAUUAGAGUCGGAUUUACAACAUAUAUACACAACUGAAGAGAUAUACUGGCAAAAAAAGGGGGGGGGGUGAGAAGUGGAUAUUGGAAGGGGAUUCAGACAUAGCGUAUUUCCACAAGUGUGCAAAUGGUAGAAAGAGGAAGACAACAAUACAACAUAUUGAAGAGAGGGACAGAACAAUUAGUGAUCUAGAAGAGCUGAAAGCCCACAUUACUGACUAUUACAAGAAGCUUUUUGGUAGGGAAGACAUGGCAGAUAUUCACCUAGAUGCGGAGCUAUGACCAAUACAAGAUAGAGUUACUCAUGAAGAAAAUGAGAGAUUGACAAGACCUUUCACUCUAGAAGAGUUAGAUGCUGCUGUAAAAGAGAUUAAGAACAACACGGCCCCAGGACUAGAUGGACUAUCUAUUGAAUUUUUCAAAGCUUUCUGGCCAAAGAUAAGACUUGAUGUUAUGGAAAUGUUAGAGAACCACACAAAGGAAACCUUGAUUUGAGAAUACUUAACUAUGGGGUGAUAAUUUUGAUCCCAAAAUUGAAAUUGCCUAAUAACAUCAAGCAAUUUAGACCCAUCCGCGUGCUUAAUGCGAUAUAUAAGAUUAUUACCAAGGUCUUGACUUUAAGACUGAUAGAGAUAGCAGGAAGAAUAAUCAGCAAGACACAGACUACGUUUAUUCCGGGGGGAAUAUUAAUGAUGGAGUUGUUAUUGUACAAGAAGUGCUACAUGAAUUGAAGAGAAAGAAAGAAGAGGAGGUGAUCCUAAAAUUGGACUUUAAGAAAGCAUAUGGCAAAGCUAGCUGGCAGUUCUUAGAAGAGGUACUAGAGAAAAAGGGCUUCUCUGAAACUUGGAUCAAAUGGGUGAUGCAAGCAGUGAAAGGAGGGAAUGUCUGUGUUGACAUCAAUGGUGAGAGGGGGAAUUUCUUUAGAAGCUUCAAAGGCUAGAGACAGGGUCCUGUCUCUGCUUCUUUUCAACCUGGUAGGGGAUGCCUUCUCUGCCAUGUUGAAUUUGGCCAGCAAGAAGAGUGAUGUUGCUGGUCUAGUGCCACAUUUAGUAGGGGGGGGGGGCUUACACACUUGCAAUACGCCGAUGACCCGAUUAUAUUCUGAAGAACAAUGUGCAAAAUUUGAGAAAUAUGAAAUUCAUCUUAUACUGAUAUGAGGCUAUCUUUGGAAUGAAAAUAAACUAUAAUAAAAGUGAGAUUUUUGUGAUAGGGUUGGAGGAAUCGAAACAGGUUGAGAUUGCAGAGAUUUUUGGAUGUAGAGUGGGAGUCCUUCCUAUGAUAUACUUGGGCCUGCCGGUCAGUGACUGCAAGAUAACCAAAUCCCAAUUGAGUUAUACUUCUGAAAAGGUAAGGAGAAAGCUUGGUACGUGGAAAGCAGAUACAAUAUCAUCAGUAGGAAAAGCAACCUUGCUAAACUCAUGUCUAUCCAGUACACCUAUGUACAUCAUGGGGUUUAUCUACUGUAUGAAGGAAACUACCAGGCACUGGACAAGCUUAGAUCAAAAUUCUUCUAGCAAGGGAGAAACAAGAAGAGGAAAUAUCGUAUGGUGAAAUGGGAAACAUUAAUCAGACCUAAAGAGUUUGAUGGACUUGGUUUCCUAGAUGUAAGGACAAUGAACAAAUGUUUGCUAACAAAAUAGAUUGACAGACUUGAGAAGAGUGAUGAUAGUAUUUGUAUAGAACUGCUAAGAAGAAAAUACUUGGGGGAAAAAAGUAUUUACCAAAUCAGAAGAUGCAAUGGAUCUCAGUUCUAGAAGGGGAUACUUGAGAUGAGAUAGUGAUUUCAGUAGGGUAGAGUUAUGAUAGUGAAGAGUGGUCAACAAACCAGAUUCUGGGAGGAUACAUGGUAUGGAGACUGUGCGCUAAAAAUUGAAUCCCAUCAACUAUACAGAUUCUGCAGGGAUCCACAAAUAUCGGUUGAGGAAGCUCUAAGGGGAGGAGUAUGACGAAUUGAUUUGAGGAGUACACUGAACGAAGAAGAGAUGCAGGAGUGGAACCGGUUGAUAGAGGCUAUGUCACAAAGUACCCUAUGUGAGGGCAGAGAUGAGAGUAACUUGGCCUUAGAGAGGUCGGGUAGAUAUACGACUAAAUUGCUGUACAAGGAGCUGACCUUUGGGGGGGGGGGGGUCAAAGAUAAUAUGAUGAUGGAUAUUUGGGAGUGUCAAGUCCCACUAAAAAUAAAGAUCUUCAUGUGGAUGGCGUUUCAUGAUAGGAUCCAGUUAGCUGUUCAGCUAAAGAAGAGAAGAUGGGCAGGGCUAGAAAAUUGUAAACUGUGCGAAGAGUUAGAAACUACUGAUCAUAUCCUUUUCCAAUGUUCUGUAGCUAGGUUCUUGUGUGCUUUUAUCAAAGAAACGCUUGGUUGGCGAUCAGCCCUGAGCUCCUGUUCAAACCUGGUAGAGAUAAUAAUGCGAGAUAAAAAAGACCUCCCAAAAUCAAACAUGCUCUUCUUAUGUGCAGGUGCGCUAUGGGCGCUGUGGAAGACGAGGAACGACCUAGUGUUCAACGACAAGAUUGUGGCAACACCAGUGGCAGUAAUCCACAAGACGUUGGCUUUGAUGACACAAUGGAAGCCGCUGAUAAAGGAGAAGAACCUACUGGGGAUGGAGGUGAUGCUCAUCGAGCUCUCACAAGCAUACCGCCAAGUCGCAUGAAAAAGAAGUGCUGGUAGAGUUCUAAUUUUGUGUAGCUGGUCGCUGGGUGAUGUUGGUACUUACUGGUGCAAAUGUAAACCUCUAUCGUCGUACCCUUCUGGUAGACCUUUAUGAUCUAGAGUAGAGUCGAGUGGUGGGUGGGUAGAGUGAGUCGAGGUUGGUUCCUGUUUUGUGCCUGCUAAGGCCAAUCUAGUGCUGGGGGUAGGAUCCCUCUGAAAAAUGUUGCUGGUAACGUGGUGCUACUGACCGAAUGUAAUCCGCCUACUAAGCUUUCAAUAAAGCUGGGCGUAAUGCCUUUGGUCUAAAAAUAUUUCAUGCCCCUUUUAUUAUUAUUUCUUAUUUAAUUUGGUCUUUGAUUCAGUAGUGCUCACGUACUGGGCCUGAGCUGAACAAUACAAAUUUCUAAGCUAACUUUGCUUUCAGUGGGUUGAAAAGGAUGCUGGUAUGCAUGCACGUACUGUGCUUCUCUAUCCCAAUCGGGUUAAUUAUUAUAUAUAGAUCUUGUUUCAGCUUUUCUAAACAUCUAGGGCGGCCGGAAACUGAAGUUUCUGAAGGUAGGAGUAGUAGCAGGCUCCCCCUUUAGCUCACGCGGAACAGUGACGAAGCACUCCUACCUCAGCUAGCUAGCUUGCAGGCACGCACAGCUGUUGUUUUUCUAUGGCAGGUGAAAGCGACUGUAUUUUAUUCAACAAAAUCAGCCGCAAUUCGUCUCGAAAAGCUGCUACACAUGCAGCUAAACUAUGGGGGGAGGAGCAUCAAGCAUGCACGGCGUGCUGCUGUUUUCUAACCACAAUAUUGCUCAGAAUUGAAAACGCCCCAACCAAUUAACUAUAAGGGGAUCAGGCUGCCCCUUUGCCCUUUGGGAGUUAGGUGCUGUUCCCUUUAAGGAGUUUUGCGAGGAUCGGAUGCUGCAAAUCUCGAUAAACCCUUUUUAAAAUUAGCAUAAAAUUAGAUCGAUCGAUUAGUAUAAUCUUCGGCUGAUGAUGAUGCCGUUUGUACGUCUUCUUCAACUUCUGUUGUUGCUGUUCCAGUUUGCACGCGUUCUGGCAAAGCUAGCGCUGAUGCUGCGCAUUAUCUCAUGAGAUUUUUCCAGCCCUAGACUACUGUCAACGAUUUCGAUCGAUCGAUGCGUGUUAUCAUUGCCAUCCAUCACCACACCAACAAUGCAAGGCCGGAGAUCCAGGCCGCACGUGAAACUGAAAUCUACGACCAGAACUGUAGCAACUAGCAAGUGGCAAAUAUGCUAGCUUAGAGAUGCAGGUGCCCUCUGAUAACAUAUGCCAGUGUGUGUGGUUUGUGUCCGAUCGAGGACGAUCCUUUCCACCCACCCUGCGAUCCCACCCACACCCCAUGUCCGGGCCAACCGAGUCUGAUCCAUGCAGCAACCAGCGAAGUUUCUGAUUCCCGAGAUCGCCGGGAAGAUUUGCUCCCCCUCCAGCGAUCGCCCACCCCCUCCAGCCAUUUCUAAAUUGAUUCCCCCCUCCAGUCCCUUUUAGAUAAUCGUACAUGCUGUCAUGUAUCCUCAAUUCCUCAUCAAACUAAUCCAUCAUCUAUCAUAUCAUGCGCGCAUCGCUUUAAUUUGUUAGUUUUAUUGUGUUUUGAUUUGGCACUUUGGAAUUCUCUUCCAUGCCUUUUCACCACUUGUCUGAUUGUACAUUGUUACUUUGUGUUCAGUUGUUAUUGUACCAUCAAAUGGGAUGCUAGGUAUGUGGUUUGAUUUGACACAUCAAGUAUCCAAGAUCCCAGACUUUUAGUUCACUUACUGGUCAAGAAGAAUUUUUUAAAGGCAGCUAGCAAGCUAGCUAGGAAUAAUUAAUAUUGAAAUGAUGCGGCUAUAUUAACAGACAACUUUUUUUUACGCAGCACCUUCAUAAUUAAUUUCUGUGCUAAUUCUACGAAAAUUUUUGGGUGCAUUUUAAUUUGCCGACAAAGAUGCCCCAAGAUCGUCUCCAAGAAGCCUAUCAAAAUCAAGGAGCACAAUUAAGUUGUUUUCUCCUUUUGUUUUAUUAGUGAUAAUGUUUGUGUGGCACAUGGUGCUGAUUAUCUGUGCUAGUGAGCCCGGCCCAUGCCACUACAUGGAUUAAAUUAAUAAAUCCAAUAAAAUAUUGUGAAAAAUCUGCUGUCUCCUUUUAAUUAAUGGGGCUAUUGGACGUGUAAGGCGAUCUCUCCCUUUCACUUUAAGAGGCUUCUUUGCACCAUCCAUCUCCUCCUUUCUUUCUAGCGCUCCCAUUUCUUGCUUCUUGGUCUUCCUCUAGGUCUAGCCGCGCGUCUACACUCCAGCUACCAAGGGGAUCCAUGAGUGCAAGCAACUCCGGAUCCGGGGACAGCAUGGAAUGGGGAAGGGGAAGGUCAUCUGGCUCCAGGAAGGGCAAGAGAGGCGGCAACAGCAGCUCCGACAAGCCGAGGCAGCCGCAGCGAGGGCUCGGCGUCGCGCAGCUGGAGAAGAUCAGGAUAGAAAGUGAGAUGGCGGAGUACUUGCACCACCCUCUUGGUCAGCAGCCUCCGAUCCACAGAACUGGCAGCUUCAACUUGGUAAUCGCUCAGGCAUAUGUGAUAAUUUGAUUCAUUCGGUGGUUUUUGGUUGCUAAUAUAGUCACAUCUACUGAAGUUCCUGAUUCGAUGUGAUGAUUUUGAUUGUAAUUGAUUGAUUGAGCAGGAAGAACUGCGCUUGUCUCACUCGCUGCCAUCGUCUCCAUCCUCCCCCUUCCAAGCUAAUAUCGGGGUUUCAUCUUCCUACCCAAUUCAUCGUCCAAAUCUUGCGGUACAUCUUAAAUGCGAUUGUUUUUAAUAAUUGUUCAACCAGUGCAUUAAGAACUAUAUGUGAUCAUUCAAAUUAGCUUAUUACCAAAACCUUGUAUGUCGUUGCAAUUUACAUGCUAUAUAGGUUAAUUUAGACAUAUAUUCCAUGAUUAACAGGGACAAAUAUAUGCAUCCUUAAUUUUUCAUUUGAUAACUUGGUUGGUUACUAUAGUGCAACAGCAGAAUGAGAUGCAUGAGAUCAGAAAAGCUAGCAAAAAAGACAGUCUUGUUGCCCUUUUAUUUUGGUGUUUGCUUUUGCAAGUACUUCUGUACUACCAAAUCAAGAAUGCAUCAUAUAUUACUCUUGGGCCAAGGAAUGAUAGAUCAUGAAGCCUAAAAGUUGAACAAGAAUUCAUAAUAUAAUUAAUCCUAGCACCAAAAGAUGAACAAGAGAGUAUCAUUGCAGAUCAAGAGAUUUUAUUCUGCCAUGCACGUGAUGGGCUUAGCCAGCUGGCUGGAUAUCUCACAGCAGCUGGUGCGACCUAACCUCAAUCAUGUGCCUUGUACGUAGAUGGCUUAUGGAGAGAGAUCAGGAGACAUAAGAUAUGGUGCAUUUCAAACCAAUAAUCCAAUCAUCAGGUGAGUAUAUGUAAAAGGGGUCAAGGGAAUUCAUGUCUACCAUCUGAACUUGUGAUCAUAUCAGAGACGAUCUAGGCACACCGAUAAUGCAGUAACAUGUGAGCAUGGAUUUAUUACCUAUAUAUAUGUAUCUUCAGGUCACCCAAUUACCAUGGAGCUACGUAUGGAUCAGAAGCACAUCAUACCCAUCCAAGCAACGUCACAUUGCCUCUCUUCGAACCUGAGGUACUUAUGUUUGAUAUAACAUAUGAGCUAUACUAGUGUAAAAUAGUUUCAGUUUUAUCGUUGACUUAUCGAGUUGCGUGUUACCAAACUUCACUUCUUCAGGAAUCGAUUUGCUUGAAUAGACCAUACGAUCUAAAUCAAACGGUGGACUCGUCGAACUUGGAUGAUCAAGAGGUAGACCUUGAGCUCAAGCUAUGAUCGAAAAUAUGCUGGCCCUCUAGCUUCUCAGUUAAGCUAUACGCAGCCUGAUUGUUUGUGCCACAAGAACUAAAGUGCUUGCAGUCUUGUGUGUAAUGCAUGCAUGGAUCAUAUAUAAGAAAAAAAUAUGCACAUGCACAAUUCUUUAAGUCACAGGGUGACGAUGUGUAAUUGAUGAGUUACUGAGACGAGAAAGAAGAAGAACCAGCUGGAUUUGGUGAUGCUGGCUAGCUAGUUAAUUUGUACAAUUGCUGUAAACAUUGUUAGCAUAGAAUGAUUAGUAGUUUCUUCUCACCGUGGUGUUGCAACCUCAAACACUGACAAGUUUGCGUGCAUGGCGCAUUUUCAUCAAGACAUGCACAGUCUGCAUGCAAGUAUAUGUGCGGUUGUGUACGUGUGCAUUGCAUAUUUUGAUGCUCGUGGCUCGUGCUCGAUCUCUCAGUUAGCCGUUUGUGGGAUUUUGGCAUUGUGCCUGCUAGCUUGCACAUGAUGUGGUGAGGCUUUAUUAUCUUCUUAUGCAAGGCUUGCAUUCGGAUUUAUUUGUGUGUAUCUACCUUUCGUGGGAUCACAAUCUUUAUAUUCGCUCUGAUCUUAAAUAUAUGACAUUUAGGAUAAACAAAUUAUAAUUUGCAAAGUGGCAUUUUUGUUAUUGUUGAGAAAAUCCAUGCUCUCUCUCUCCAAGGGAAAAUAACAUGAACUACAUUAUAAUUAGAAAACAUCCAUUUUACUAUCACGAGCAAUCCACUUUAUCCUUUUGACCCCCUAUUUACUCUCCUAAGCUAUUUGAAUUGGUCCAAUCUCCCUCUUGGCUCUUAUUGAGAUUUAUCUUUUCAUUUCUCCACGUAUGGGUUGAGGUAUAAGUUAAAUUUAUUUUUGGCUGACAUAGGACAUCAUAACUGAAUUUUUUUCAAGGUUAUUUUCAUAAUUUAGGAGCAUCUAACACUAAAUUAAUCCAUGAUAAAGAUUCUUAAAAUAUUUUCUAACAUAGUAUAUGAUGUAGUCCUCUAUCAUCUCACAAAAUUUCAACUUAAAACUCAACUUGUACGUGGAGAAAUAAACAGGACAAAUUUCAACCGGAGGUAAACUGGAUCAACUAAAAUAGCUUAGGGAAGUAAGUUGAGCCAAAUUAAAAGUUUUUAUCAGGGGUUCAAAUGAACAAAGUAGAUUGCUUAGGAUAGCAAUAAAUAGUUUUUUUCUUAUAAUUAUCAUAUGUGCGAACUUGAUCACUCUGAAACGUAGCUCAUGCUAGCUAGCUUUAUAUGAAUUCCAUGAUCGAGUAUUCGAGCAUGUGUAGACAUUUAUAAAACUUUGCACAUUGAGCACGUAUACAGUACACUGCAUGGAUAGCCAGUACUAUAUAUGUAUUAAAUGCGAUAUCUAUCAAUUAUUAACCCUUGUAUCUGAGUAGGGUAGCAAUAUUUUCAGAAAGUAAAUUAAUAAUAGAACUUCAUAAAUACCUAUCAUUUAGUGUGUUUUUCUUAUUAUGCUCCUGUAUUGAAUCGGAGUCUCUUGCGCUAUAAGUAAUGAAUUUUCUCUUGCCGCUCUUCCUCAUAUAUCAGGUUCUAGGUAUUUGUUAUGGAAAAUGCUUCAAAAUGCAAAUCAUUUGUAAAACGUACUGAUCGAGUUACCAGGUCAUCCAUCUCCUUUGAAAAAUAAUCACCACCUAAGUGAUUUAAUAAGCCAUUUGAUGUUCUCUGCUUGGUUAUGUUAACAUGUGGUUGUAGACUAUUGUAAGCUAAGGCACCAUUUAAUCUCCUGUUUGUAAUCUCUAGUGAGGAUCACACACUCAAUCCAACACACUAACCCAAUCCAACAGUCCUAUAUAUAUGAUAGAAGUGUAAUUUUAUCCUAAAUUCUGUUCCUCAUGUAAACAAAUAUAAUACGAAUAUAAUAUAAGUGCAUAUGCUUGGAUUGACGAAUUGAGAACAUAAUAAAUGGUGCCUUGUAGCUUUUUCCAGGAAAAGCCUGCAAGAUCACAAAAUCAUGGUGAUCUCUUAUACAAGUAACCUGACACUGAUCGAUAUCAGGAUAUUGUCCUUCAUGCCUGGCCUUUCUUGUACAUGAUCAAUAGCUACCAAUAAAAGGCUAUAUGAUAUUAUGGAUUGGUGAUCCGCAGCAGCGUAGUAGUACCCUGCCACCAGUUUUCAAUCUGUAUGAAAUAUAAUGUAGUGAGAAGACUAUACAAUCCAAGCAACGGUGCACGAUGACAGAAGCUACCUUUAUUUUUGCGUGCUGCGCGUACGCGGGAGAUCUCAAUAAGCUUUGCAACCCCCAAAUCUGAAGCUGCAGUAUUAAACUAGCUAACGAUACAUCAAAGUAAUCAUCGCAUGCAUGUGUCCCUAAUUGGUGAUUUGAAGAAGUCUCCUCUUAAAAAGAAAUAAUUGGCAUUUGAAAGCGGGAAGGGACGCGCGCUCUUCUUGCAACUUGCUAAAAACUAAUUAAACACCCAGAUGCUCUCUCUCAUGUCGCAACCUCCAAAUAAGUUAGAGGGCUCUUUAGUUUGAUUCUGGGUCAUACAAAUGGCGCCAAUCAAUAUGCAUAUGUUUAUGCGCUCCUAAUCAUAUAUGCAUGCAAUUAUGUAGAGUUGGGACACUGCUGGCCCACCUGCUGAAUCAUGGUGCCAGAAGCGCAGGGUUCGAUUGCAGGGCUGCAGAGGCAAGUUGCAAAGGCUCGUCCUGUAGAGAGGACCCCAAGCUAGCUACCGCGACUAUCAACUGGAAUCUCUGCCGCCGUGCCAUCUUACGCACGUGCGUCGCCGGCAAUUUUCGCUUUUUUCCCCUGCAUUCAUUUGCAGCAGCAACUAUGCGCAGGUGUUUAUGUAUAUUAGGUGCAUCGAAGAAUCACAUACCACACGUCCAUACGUAUGAAUUUAUAUAUAUACAAGGUAAAAUUAACUAAGAAACUGAUCGCUCUUCCGAGAUCGUAAUUCGUAACUAGCUUUGGUAGUCUGCCAAAGUGCUUUGCUGCCAUCUUCCUCCGAUCGACCUCCGCCCGACCGGCUAGCUGCCUGCUUCGAUCGACAUGGUGUGCCCUUCCUUCCUUCUUGGACGACCCAGUCGAAAUCUCCGGGCCGGCCCGACUGCCCAAAGCUAUAUAGGUGGUAGGUUUUCCGGUACGUCGUCGUCAGUCGUCGCAUGGGCUCAGCAACUGCUUCGACAUGAUGUGCCCUUGGACGGCCCAGUCGAAACCGACGCGCUGCCGCGCCGUGCGCGUUGACAGCCGAGCAAAACACUCGAGCAACAGAACGACACAGUGCAAACACAGCGCUGGAACAAUGGUCUGGAUCCACCCCAGAUUGUAGAAGCGCUUAAUUGUACAGUAAACAGAUGGACUGUAAAAGGCUAGCUGGAUUGUAAAAGCUUGUGGCUGUUUUAGAUCCCUUAGCUUGACGGUGGUUGGAUCAUAUAUACGAGCUGGUAAAAGUUAGGGUGAGACAGCUCGUGGGAUUUCACAAUCUGGGGUUGGUGGAUUGUAAAAUCUGAACCAUAAUGUGGGUGUCACGAGUUGUAUUGUAAUAAAAGCUGGAUACCACAAUUUAAGUGGAUCCAAAUAGAGCUAAAUAAUCAUUUAGUAUAGCGUAUAAUAUGGUUGCCAUUCGAUCUACUUGGCGCUAAAUUCUAAUGAAGCAUCAAGAUGACGUGCGGAGUGCGGUGGGUCAUGUGCGUUCUUGAUGUACCCUCUCAAGAAAAUUAUUGGAGCGACGCAUAUUUGCUACAACGGUCGGAAAAAUAUUGAAUUCUUGGUGGAUAUUUGCUACAACAGUUUUCAAAAUCCCAUGAGGUUGCUAACUGUAAUUAAUCAAUUAAUACACGUAUAGUUGUCCAAACAGCUAGCAAACCAGAUUUCAAAGUAUCAAACAUAUUGAAGAUGCUGUCAUUCCAAACAUUAAUUGCUUGACAUAUCAAAGUAGGAAUUUGACACUUCAUCAACAGUUUGCAGCGUCUAUAUACUCUUGAUCUCCGUGAUAUAUCAAAGUAUAUAUACACAUUUAUAGUCCUAGAAACAUCCAGAUUUUGCAUUGGUGUUUGUCUUUAUUGAAUUAUUGCUACUUACUAUAAACUACUUUACAGAUGUACCAAGCAUGAAAAAGAUAUCACAUACGAAUAUACGCAUUUAAUUAUGACGCGGGAGCAAAAGAUUGCAGCAAAUCAAAUUAUGAACGUUGGGCUUGAGGUCAUGUUUAUACAUGGCACCACUAUAUAUACAUGGGCUUUGAGGUGCGCCAAUGAAAAAAAAAUUUGGGGAGCAAGCCUGUAGAUAUCCUUGUUGUAUUAGAAAAGAUAUUGACUGUAUGCAUCUAAAAGUUUUUCGUAAAUUCCUAGAUAUACUUUUGCAUAGACCAUGCUGACUUUUAUCUUUUUUAUUGAUGUUUUGUUCUAUGUAGGCGCUCAUGGACGGAAGCAGUUCAUCAAGAGAUGGCAGCGGUAAGGACGGUAAAAGGCCUGCUCAAAGCUUCAUCGACAAGCGGAUGAGGGAGCCAAAACGAGGGUUAGGGAUUGCCAAGCUAGAGAAGAUGCUAAUGGAUGGAAGAAGUUCAACAGAUGGCAACCAUGGGAACGGCACAAGGCCCGCUCAAAGCUUCAUGGACAAGCUGAGGGAGCCAAAACGAGGGUUAGGGGUUGCCAAGCUAGAGCAGAUGAGGGCAGAGGAGGCAAUGAAAGAGUACUUACAAGAUCCCAUUUCGGGAUCUGGUAUUGGUAUACAAGGCAUGGUAAGCACACCUUCCCCCCCCCCCCCCCCCCCCCCCCCCCCCCCCCCCCCGAAAUUUGCAAGCUCCCUUGUAUGAUCCAUUUUGUGUGGUUUCUGCAUUGUUUGUGAUUUAUAUCAGGCUUAUGCUGGUUCUUAGCUUGUUGCCCUACCAGCACCUUCCAAAAUUCUGUGGUAAUUUGUGGUUAGGUUAUAUCGCCAUUGAGUUCUUUUAUUACCAGCACCUCCCCUCAUAUUGGAACAGAUGUGAAGGGACAUGUAUUUAACAAUACUGACGAUCUUUGUGAUAAAUUUUCUCUAUUUUGAAAAUUCAAAGUAGGGGAAAAAUCGAAAUUCCCCCCUCCAACCCCACUUGAAUCUUACUGUCCUUGCAUUACGUUCGUGCUUCAAUUCAAUGCUCUAUCCAGUCCUUCUAGACUAUGCAGUAUAUGAGCCUAUCUUUAGUAUUGUUGUUCUCAAACUGAAAAGCAUCGCUGCUUUUUUGUUUUGUUUUGUUUCCAAUGUUUGUUUGUGCAGACUACUUCUCAUGUGUGGUGAUAGAUAAUAGCAUUUCUCCCUUAGACCUCAUACCCUUAUAUUAGCAUAUAUAUGUUGGUGUCUCAAGUAUGAGUCACGGCUGACCCCUCUUAUGAUUUAAUUUAUUGUAGAUCGAUGCCAUAGACCAUGCUAACCUUUAUCUUUUAUGGAUGCUUUGUUCUAUGCAGGCGCUCAUGGAUGGAAGCAGUACAAGAGAUGGCAACCAUGGGAACGGCAAAAGGCCCGCUCAAAGCUUCAUCGACAAGCUGAGGGAGCCAAAAAGAGGGUUAGGGGUUGCCAACCUAGAGAAGAUGAGGGCAGAGGAGGCAAUGAAAGACUUAAAAGACCACUUUAGCCAGGCACACAUUUUUGGACCUGGAAUUGGUAUCCAAGGCAUGGUAAGCACUAAGCACAACUCUCUCUCUCUCUCUCUCUCUCUCUCUCUCUCUCUCUCUCUCUAAUUUGCAAAAAUUGCAAAUGCCCUUGUAUGGUCCAUUUUGUGUGGUUCCCACAUGGUUUGUGCUUCAAUUCAAUGCACUACCCAGUCCACUAGUACGCGGCAUUUGAGCCUACUAGUUGAUAGUUGUUCUUCAAACUGAAAGCAUCGCAUUUUUUUUGUUUCCAAUGUUUGUUUUGGGGCGUUUGGUUCCCUUUGCUUAUUUUUAAGCAAGUGUCACAUCAAUGUUUAGAUACUAAUUAGUAGUAUUAAACGUAGGCUAUUUACAAAAUCAAUUACAUAAGUGGAGGCUAAACAGCGAGACGAACCUAUUAAGCCUAAUUAAUCCAUCAUUAGCAAAUGUUUACUGUAGCAACACAUUGUCAAAUCAUGGACUAAUUAGGCUUAAUAGAUUCGUCUCGCCGUUUAGCCUCCACUUAUGUAAUGGAUUUUGUAAAUAGUCUACAUUUAAUACUCCUAAUUAGUAUCUAAACAUUCGAUGUGACGGGUGUUUAAAAAUAAGCAAACGAAUCAAACCAGGCCUUUAUUUGUACAGACUACUUCUCAUGUGUGAUGAUCGAUAAUAGCAUUUCUCCCAUAGACCUUAUGCCCUUAGCAUAUAUAUGUUGGUUCUCAAGUAUGGAUGAUGACGGCUGACAUUAUUAUUAUGAUUUAUUGUAGAUGUCAUAUCCACAUGGAACAGGAGAAAACAUGACUGGACUGUUCAUCGUUCCCUUCGCCAGGUAAACAUGUAUGUAUACACGAUUAAUUUGCCAUAUUUACUGCCCACGUUCUUGGAAUAGAGGACUAAAAAUUUAGGAGGAAUUGUGCACUAAUCUCUUGCAAAUUACCUUUUUUUUCAAGUAUGUCCUAGAUCAUGAUGAAAUAUUUCUCUGCCUGACAAAUGUACAAUAUGCGACAGGCCGCCAAGCACAUCUGGAGCAGCAUCUCAUGUCAAUACAAGCAACACAGUGCCAACCGGGCCUCCAAGCACCCCUGGAGCAGCAUCUCAUGUCAGUCCAAGCAGCACAGAACCUACAACACUCCAGCUCUUUCCUGAUCAUAUGGUACAUAUCCAGAUCGUUGUUCUUAUUUUUUCUAGACUAAAUGCAGUACUGACCUUCUUCAUACAAAGCACACGCUUGUUGUUCUGCUCAGGUAGUAGCAUGAAAUACAUGCGUGCAUGCCUCUUUUUUUUAUUUUUCCUUUUUUUUUUUACGAAGCAACGCUAGGCAAAUUGCUCAUCAGAUACAUUGCUUUACACAAGCCUUGUAGCUAGGAAAAGAGCUCAGUAUGUGCAUACUAUUCAACUGCAUGGGUUAUCAAACUCACUGAUCACGUUUGCCCUCUAAUAUUUGUAGGAAGAUGAACAUGCUGAUUCUAAGAGAGAGGGCGAUCACAACCUACCUGUGGAGCCUGCUGCCAAGAAUUUGGAUGAUCAUCAGGACCUGGACCUUGAACUGAAGCUGUGAUCCUAGUCCUUUAAGAGAUCGUGUGUGCUUGAUGCUGUGUUUUGAGAAAUAUUGUCGAUUCUUGGACUGAUGACCAGAUCAGCAAUGAGUAGUUCUUUAAUUUUGUUCCCUUCUGUAAGACUUUGGAUUCUGCUUGUGUCGUUAUGCCAAUUAAAUAUGAAAUGUUGGAUUAUAUCCAAAUUGAUUGACAGAACUUGGAAUAAUGUGUAUGCAUGCAAUUAAGUGUUGGAUACACACGACGCAUGCAAGUGUUGGAUACACAUGAGGGUGUAUAUUCUUCUUAACACGAGAAAUUCUAUAUCCUCUCGACGAACGUGGUUGCUUCUUUUACUAAUAUUAUAUUUUGUUUUUCUUUCUUCUUCUUCUUCUCUUUUUGCGAAGCAAUGCUAGGCGAAAUGCUCGUCAGAAACAUUGUUUUACACAAGCCUUGUGGCUAGGGAAGGAGCUCAGUACGUGCAUGCUAUAUAUUCAACUGCAUCGGUUAUCAAAUUAAAAUCACUUAUCACGUUUGCCCUCUAAUAUUUAUAGGAAGAUGAGCAUGCUGAUUCCAAGAGAGAGGGCGACCACAACCUACCUGUGAAGCCCGCUUCCAAGAACUUUGAUGAUCCGCAGGACCUGAACCUUGACCUGAAGCUGUGAUCCUAGUCCUUUAAAGAUCUCUUGAACAAAUCAUUAAGGAGUGUGUGGCUCCAAUGUUUUAGACAUAUGUGUUUGCAUUGAGAGAUCGUGUGUGCUUGAUGCAUAUAGUUUUGAGAAAUAAUGUUGAUUCUUUGGACUGGUAAAUAAUAUCAGACCAAUAGAUCAGCAAUGAGUAGUUCUUUAAUUUUGUUCCAUUCUGUAAGACUUUGAUUAUGCUUGUGUUGUUAUGCCAAUUAAAUAUGAAAUGUUGGAUUAUCCAAACUGAUUGACAUAAUUUGGAAUAACUAGUCCAUCAACCCGUGCUCCGCACGGGCUAAUGUUUUUAGAAGCUAUUAUAUUUGAAAAUUAUUUAAAAAUUAAACUCCUAACUAAUAAUCAAAAUUGUUUACCUACUACUCUCUUAUUUUUCAAUACUUCAACAUAAUACUUAUAUAGAUAUGUACCUAUCUUUGUCCAGUUGUGAUUGAUUUUUAAUUAAUAAUUACUCUAUGCACGUUUUCAUCCAUAUUCGUACUUAUUCCAUUUUGUAUCACACAUCCAAUCCUCCAUACAUUAUAUUUAGCAUACAAAUCAAUAUUUUUCAUCAAUUCCUCAUAUACAUGUAUAAAUGGUCUAAAUGGUGGCAUUCAUCAUGUGUAUAUACUUUAACUUAGUAUUUUUAUAUUAACAAUGAGUAAUUUAGAAUUAUAUAUUAGUUUACUUUUUGACAUUUCUGUAUGAUGCACACGAAGAUAAUUAGAUUAAUAUUUAGGUGUUUACUUUCGGUUAUUUUUAAUAACGACACACGUGGGUAACAUAGAUAAAGUUUUAAAAUGAUAUUUUAAGUUAUGCUUUAUAAUGAUGUGUAUUAGUAAAUUGGAUGAAGAUUAUGUGGUUACUUUAGAUUAUUUUUUAUAAUAACCGAGCUCGGUAAUUUAGAUAUAGCUUUAGAGCUCAUUUUUGAAUAUUUUCACAAUAACAAUGGAGGGUAACUUUUUAGAAAAUAUAAUAGAUCAAUGGCUAUGAUUAUUAGAGUUUACAGGAUUGGUGUUUGAUAUUUUUAAUUUUUAUGAGAAUUUAUCUCUUUUUUCUAGCUUGUCUCAUGGGAACUAAUGCGGAGUCUCCAAUGGAAAAAAAUGAGAUUACAUUGCUACAAAAUUAUUACCAUAAGCUACCUCUCGUUUGUUAAAUAUUCGAACACAAUGCUUAUGUAGAUAUAUACUUAAUAUCUUCAUCCAAUUGUGAUAGAUUUUAGUUAGUAAUUACUGUAUAAUAUUUUCAACCAUAUUUAUAAUCUUUAACUUUUCACUUUGCAUCGUAGGUAUGCGUUUGAAUUUGUUUAAUGAAUCCUAAGUUUGAGAUACAAUUUUAGCAUAGAAAUCUAUAUUCUCAUCACUUUAUAUCCUUAUAAAUGGUUAGUAAUUACUCUAUAAUAUUUUCAACCAUAUUUAUAAUCUUUAACUUUUCACUUUGCAUCGCAGGUAUGUGCUUGAAUUUGUUUAAUGAACCCUAAGUUUGAGAUACAAUUUUAGUAUAGAAAUCUAUAUUCUCAUGACUUUAUAUCCUUAUAAAUGGUGACACACAUCAUGCGUAUAGAUCUUAAUUAUUAUAUCAGAUACCAAUAGUGAAAGAUAUAGACGGUUUAGAAUCAUAUAUUGCUGUAUAUUUUUAAUUAAGAUUAUUUGAUUCAAACAUAGGGUUACCCCAUGUUAUUUUUAAUAAUGGCAUGUGUGGGUAAUGGGUAAUAUAGAUGCAAAUUUAAAGGGUUUCUUUAGUUUUUUAAGUAAUAGUGGUAGGCUUCAAUUGCAAAUUAGGGGUUAUUUUAAAUAUUAUUUAUAAUGGCAUAAGUCGGUAAUUUGGAGGAAGAUUAGGGGUUACUUUAGUCUAUUUUAUAUAAUAGCAGAGGUGGGUAAUUUAUAUGUAGAUUUAGGGGGGUUACUUUAGGCUAUUUACAUAAUGGCAUAGGUGGAUAAUUGUUUAGAAACAUAAUAGAUCCAAGGCUAUGAUGAUUUCAAUCUAUCGAUUGAUGGUCGGAUGUUUUGCUCUUUUGUGAGAAUUUCUAGGAUUUCUCUAUUUUUCUAGACUGUCCACCUAAGAAUCCUAGGUGGCUUCACCCGAAGACCUCAAAAGAAGUUUCCAAUUAGUAAUAGUAAGAUGCGUGUGUACAUGCAAGCGUUGGAUACACAUGGCAUUUUCACUGCAGCCUUCAAAGUUCAUAUAUGCAGUGGAUUCCCGGCGUCAAUUCGUGGCGUAGUAGUGUUUUUUAGCGUGGCGACACAAGCAGCCCAUAUGGGAUGAAAAUUUUUAAAACAUGCAUGCGCGUGUACUAUACACAUUUCCUGUGUUCUAAUGCAUCUUCGGAACAACUUCCCGUUGUGCCUAGCGGCAUGCCAUUGCCAUUGCCAUUGCGCAUGCAGUAUGUCCAUUUCCAAGACAACGAAACGCUUUUCCAUCUCCGUUUCUACGUCGUCCUAGCUAAGCUAGACUGCCCAGCUAAUAUUGCUUAUGCCUGAAGAAAUAGCCAACUAAUCAACCAUUUUUUGACCAAUUAACAACUGGUUGAAGUCUCUACAAUUCCACCGCGACCUGAGUAUCAACGUCACAUAUAUCACAGCUACAAGCCGAGAUGUGCUUUUGGGCGAGCUUGCUCUGCUCGAGUUUCCCUUCCUUCAUUAUUUCAACCUUAGGGCUUAACCGUCACAAAAGAAAAAAAAACACGAGAGGACGGUGCCCACUUAGCAUAGCAAAUGCACCCUCACCCCUCGAACUUGGUAGGGAGUGCUGUCCAGAUCCUAAACUUGUCAACCGGUUUAAGUGAGGUUUAAAUCUACAUAACCCACAUUAAACUACCUGUAUGGCAUAUGCGGGACAUACAUGUCAUGCCCCCACUCUCUCUUCCUUGGAUCUACAUCUCCCGCCACCUUGGGCGAAGCUACCUCCAGCGGGGAGGCACUCGAGCUUGGGCGGCGGACGGGGGCACUCGAGCUUGAGCUCCUGGCAAACUCCAGCCACGGAUGAGGGUGUUGCCGUUGUCCCCAUGAGCGGGAGCUCGCCCCUGCACCGCACCACGCCUCUGUCGUUGCCUCCCCGAGUUGGAGCUCGGUCGUGAUGGUCGUCAUUGUCUCCCCACCUCUGCCUCCCAAUCCUCCUACAGUCUGCCUCUUCACCGGUGUCUGUGCCUGCUGCUGCCAUCGGCUCGCCGCUCCGCCCCUUCGCUCGCGCCUGCUACCAUCCGCUCUCGCCGGGUAGCGACCGCUGCCACAGCCCGCCCUCCCGCCCACACAGUGGAUUUGAAGCUGUCGGUGAAGGAGAAAGAGCUUCUGGCCUCGGCGUCGACCCCGCGGUCCUCGAGCUUAUGGCGGAUGGAUGUGACGCCGACCUGCAGUCCUCGAGCUUAUGGCGGAUGGAUGUGGUAGUACAGCAGCGAGGCCGCCUUUGUUCAGCCGGGCCUGUGGGGGCAGCGGCAGCGCGGCUCGAAGGCCGCGGCAGGGGCGGGCUCGGUCGAAGCGGUACACGGUUUGGAGGGCGCUGACGGUGCUAGGCUGGGUGUGCGUGACGGCGUGAUGCAUCUUGACGAUGCUCAGUUGCUCAGUUGUGUGUGUGGUGAGUAGAUCCUUGGAGGUCUCCAUGGCGUUGGUGGCCAGCGCAAGGGAUCUCCUCCCGGUGUAAGCAGUGCGUGUGAAGAGAAACAUACGUGAGGAAAAGAGAGAAUAGAGAGAAGAUAGGUGGACCUGGCAUUGGGCCUUAAAUGUCGGGUCCAUGUUAAUGUACCGUUAGCAUAUCACGUAUGCAAUUUACACAGGUUAUGUAGAUUUUAGACCUCGCGCGAAUUAAUUAGCAAGUUUGGAAAUUUGAAUAUGCAAUUUUUUAGAAGUUCGGGAGCCUAGAUAACACUGCCAAGUUUGAGGAUCGACGGUGCAAUUUAAUCCACUUACGCGUGCAAGUGCAACACAUGGCAUCCUCUCCUCGAGCUGGCCGGGUUAACGACGAGGUGGCUCCCGCUAUAUUUGAACGGCCGUUGCGCAUGCCCUCCCGCGAGAAUGGUGCAAACCGGCAGCGCUCGGCGCCAGUUAUGUGCACAGCCAGCGGGGCUAGAAACCGCGGCCGGCGAGCUUGAAGACGACCCAAAUUUAGGCGCCGAAAUAAUUAGUGGAGGAGCUUUAAGCUUCCAAAAAAAAGAGAAGCAUGCUGAGGAGGGAGGUACCGAUCCCGCUCUAGCUGGGCCGGUCACGGGAGGAGGCCGGAGGGAAGGGAGAGAUCAGCUCCUCGACCUCUCCGCCGCCGCCGCAAUAAUAAUGGGGUACUCCCUGCCCCGCGCCGCGGCCUUCGCCGUGGCCCUCCUCCUCCUGGCCUCCUCCGGCGAGGCGUUCUUCGACAUCUUCAACAUCUUCCGCCCGCGCUCCGAGAGCGACGACUUCUUCCAGAACGCCUUCGAUGGCUCGCAGGAGCAGGCGGUGCCGACGCAGACAGAGCACGAAGAGCAGGGCGCCGCGCCGGCCACCGCCACGGGCCUCACCAGGGUGCCGCCCUCGGGCCCGCCCAGCAAGGCCGCGCAGGACACGGUCGAGCUCGCCGCCGACACCGGCGGCGGGCCGGUCGGCGAGUGGACCAUCGUCAGCGAGAACUCCGGCGUGUCGGCCAUGCACAUGGUCCUCAUGCGCCACGGCAGGGCCGUCAUGUUCGACACCAGCACCACUGGCCGGUCGCUCAUGCGGCUGCCCCAGGACAACUGCCGCAUCGACCCGCGCGCCAAGGAGGAGGGCACCAUGGAUUGCUGGGCGCACGCCGUCGAGUUCGACUACCACACCGGCGGCCUCCGCCCUCUCAAGAUCCUGACGGACACCUGGUGCUCGUCGGGCGCGUUCGACGCGGACGGCAACCUUGUGCAGACCGGCGGCUACUUCGAGGGCGAGAAGGUCGUGAGGGUGCUGAGCCCGUGCGACACCUGCGACUGGCUGGAGCACCCCAACAGCUUCGCGGAGGGGAGGUGGUACGCGACGACGUUGGUGCUCCCGGACGGCCGGUUCAUCGUGUUCGGCGGCCGCCGCGCCUUCAGCUCCGAGCUCGUCCCGAUGCCGGGGAGGACCAACGACAGGGCCACCUACAUGCCGUUCCUCCGCGAGACCACCGACGACGUCGAGAACAACCUGUACCCGUUCGCGAACCUCCUCCCCAGCGGCGAGCUCUUCCUCUUCGCCAACAACCGCUCCGUCAUCUUCGACCACAGGGCCGGCAGGAUCGUGCGCGAGCUCCCGCAGCUGGGCGGUGGGAGCCGCAACUACCCGGCGUCCGCCAUGUCUGCGCUCCUCCCGCUCGACCUCCGCAACGCCACCGGCGGCGCCGACCCCGAGCCGGUGAUCAUCAUCUGCGGCGGGACGUUCAAGAAUGCCUUCAGGUUCGGCGAGAACAACACGUUCCUGCCCGCGCUCCGCGACUGCGCCCGCAUCAACCUGGCCGCGCUCGACGCGCAGUGGGAGACCGAGGACAUGCCCGUCGGCCGCGUCAUGGGCGACAUGCUCAUCCUCCCCACCGGCGACCUGCUGCUCCUCAACGGCGCCGCCAAGGGCUGCGCCGGCUGGGGCUUCGGCCGGCAGCCGGUCCUCACCCCGGUCCUGUACUCGCCGCGGAAGGAGAAGGGGUCGCGGUUCCGGGCGCUGGCGUCGUCGACCAUCGCGCGCAUGUACCACUCCACCAGCGCCGUGCUGCCCGACGCCACCGUGCUCGUCGCCGGCGGCAACACCAACACCGCCUACAACUUCAGCGACGUGGACUUCCCCACCGAGGUGCGCGUGGAGCGGUUCUGCCCGCCGUACCUGAGCAAGGAUCACGCCGCAACCCGGCCGGUGAUCGACGCAGCGUCGGUGCCCGCGGGAGGGAUGCGGUACGGGUCCCCGUUCACGUUCCGAUUCUCCAUGCCCUCCGAGCCCGUGGGGGAGGCGGACGUGAAGGUCACCAUGUACGCGCCGCCCUUCACCACGCACGGCUACUCCAUGAACCAGCGGCUGCUGAUCCUGUCCGUGACCGCGUUCAGGGAGGAGGGGCGGAGCUACACGGUGACCGUGGACGCGCCCGGGAAGCCGGAGCUCGCGCCGCGGGGGUACUACCUGGUGUUCGUGGUGGCCAAGGGCGUGCCGAGCGUGGCUGCGUGGGUGAAGAUUCUGUGAAUGAAAUUCCGCUCUGGGAGUUGCGACGAGCAUCGCCCUGGGGUCGUGAUCCAUUUAAUGUAGGGAUCGAUGUUUAUGGGAAUCAGAUUGAACGGAUUACCACUGUGUGCUUGUGAUCAUGCUUGGCUGAUUGCAUCAACGCGGCGAGCUAGCGCAAGAAGCCUAGAACAUGCGUGCAAACGGAUGGUAUCUCGAUCUUCAAAAGAUUGCUGUGGUUCCUAAAAAAAAACAAGAAGAUUGUUGUGCUACUCUUUCUGCUACUCCUACUUUAUAAGCCGUAUAAUAUUUGAAAUAUUGGACUUAAUAAUUUUUUACAAAAAUUAGUCGCACUAUAUGUAUAAUAAUGCACCCAUAAAGUUAUAUGAAUAAAUUCGUAUCUUUUAGCAUGGCAUUGAUUUAUAGCAAUCGAUCAUCAAAAAUAACUCCAAGGCCGUCAAUGUGGACUUAUCGAGUACUAUGUGUAGUAUUGCAGCCGCUCAGCUCGCAGUGCCAAUCUUGGUGCAGCUAUCUGUAUGUUUGAUCCAGGAUUUACUGAAUGACUUUUGCAGCAGGUUCGAAAUCCAUGAUUUACUGAAUGGCUUGUGCAUUUCCACUCAUCAAACUGAAUGUUAAGAAAUAUCGAUCACGACAUAGAGAUCGAUCCAAUGGGCUCCAGGCCCGGCUAGUAAGAGAGCGUGAACAGACUUGGGCUAGUUGGGCUUUCAAGCCUGGCUCUCGACCAAAAAGGCACAUCCGCGCACACAGGUCUGAACUCUGAACAGAAGGAAACCCCCACAAUAAACCCUUGCCCGCGGCCGCUGCGGCGCUUCGCCGGAGCACGAAGAGAGAGCAGCGAACCCGGCGAUGGAGUACGUGGACCCCCUCACCGGCUUCCGCGUUGACGGUCGCCGCCCCAACGAGGUGACGCCCACUUCCCCUUUCCCUACCGCCCCACAUCGCACGGUUCACGCGUAACCCAAUCUCACUCGGCGCUGCUGCUGGACUUCGCGCAGAUGCGGAAGCUCAAGGGCGAGGUCGGCGUCGUCGCGCGGGCCGACGGGUGAGUAAACCAACAGUCGAAUAGGAUUCUGGUGGUGGUGUUUGCUUUCGAUGGAAUUUUGCUUAUAGAUGUGCGGUGCUCGCUUUUGAUCGGAUUUUGCCGGUGUUUGUUGCUCUGCGCAGGUCGGCGCUGUUCGAGAUGGGCAAUACCAGGGUCAUCGCCGCUGUCUAUGGUCCUCGAGAGGUGAUUCCCAUAGAUCCCUACUCUGAUUUGUGUGGUUCCGUGUGCAUGCGGAUAGGUCAUGUGCACGGCAUGUCUGAGGAAAUGCUCCUUAGAGGGGAUUUUCAUUUACUGGUGUAGUUGUGAUCUCUAGUUGAAUUCUCUAAAUCAACAUUGCUUCGCCUUGAGUCUUUUUGAGAGAAAGUGGGAAUUAUAUGGGAAAAUUGGUUUGUUGUUUACUUUCCCUGCUAUGCAUAAAACAUGUUUGAAAACCGUUAGGAUCCAUAAUGGCAUAUGGGCAGUAGGACAUGCCAUAUUCAUCCACAGUGAGGUAUCUGGAGAACUUAGAAUUAUGGAAAUUGAAAAUUCGAAUUUAUCUGCGUUCUUUCCUGUUGGACUGCACACAGCACCAGGGAACCCUGUCCUGCAUUAUGUUUUCAGGGAGAUAUGUUCAUUUUUCAGUGAAACUGAAUGCUGUCUAAUUAAAACUUCAUGCUCUUGGUUUUGCCCAUUCAGGUCCAGAACAAAGGUCAGCAAGUAAACAGCAAAGAGGCUUUGGUAAAGUUUCACUGCUCCAAGUGCAUUCAUUAGUUAGAGGUCCUCCCUUAUGACCUGUUCAUAAGUGAGCUCUGUAUGCAGGUUCGUUGUGAGUAUAGGAUGGCAGAAUUUAGUACAGGAGAUCGGAGGAGAAAGCCAAAAGGUGACAGGUGUGUUCCUACUUGAACAAUUGAUUAAAAAUAACAGUCCAGUCCUUCUGCAUUUACAAUAAAGUUUCAUAUUCUAUCAAAACAGACUUCUGACAUGGAAAAAUGUGUAUUAUUUUUCUAUUUACCUAGUCAACAAGCUUCUUUUCCCUACAUCUUGGGUUUUUGACAUGUCUUUGUAUUGUUUCUGCCUUCUGAUUUGAGGGUAGUAUUUUCAAAAUACGAUUGAAUUACCUAGUAAAGGACUCUCGAUCAAAGCAGUGUGACACCACCAGCCAGGUGCCACAACUGCAGCAGAUGAUUGGCAAUGAGAUUAGUUAGUUGGUUUGUUUUGGUUCUUCAGAAGAAAUUUAGCUUCUUUAUUAGUCAGUUUGUUACGCACCGAGAUCAACAUCAAGGGCAUCUGUUAUUGAAUUUGGCAAGCAAAGAUUUAUCCCUAAUUAAUCUAAACCAGUAGUUCAGGGCUUCCUUGAGAGGGUGAACUUGCCUCCAUCUCAUUGCCUAAUUCCACACUUCUCUGCCACAUCAAUAACUUAAGUCAUUAUUAAGAUCAGGAAUUUUCAAGAGUCAUAACAUAAGCAAAUAGUGCUGCAGUAUAGUUUUGUUAACUCACUUUAGUGCUUUGGAGGUGAACACCCAGUGUACAAAGUGAAUUCAGGUUGCAGGAAUUUACAUGGCGUCUGUUUUCCCAUAUUACUAUAGUAGUAAACUAAAGCUACAAUCAUCUGGCAGGCGAUCAACGGAAAUUUCUCUUGUUAUUCGACAGACAAUGGAGGCAAGCAUAUUAACUCAUUUAAUGCCACGUUCACAGGUGAUAUCCUUUAAGAAACUUCAGUUUUAAAUGAUAUCAGUGCCAACUUCCGAUGCUUAUUAUACUUGUUUGCAGAUUGAUAUAUUUGUCCAAGUUCUUCAAGCUGAUGGUGGUAAGUGUGCUACCUUCCUACUUUCAGUUUUUUUAAGUUGUCUCCAGGCUGUAUUUACUCCCAGGACCCCUCUAUUAUUUAUUCUGAAAUGGACUCUCUUUUCUUUCUGUCCUAAAAUGAAGCCAAGCAACGCUACUUAUUUUCCAUAGACCGAGUUAAUCUAGAUUUAUGCUCUGCAUGAUGAGGCGGCAUGAUGGAGAAUGUAUACCAAUUCUGAUGUGUGCCUUUUCUCCUUAGCUAUUUAACUCAGUCAUGCUAUAGCAUAUUAUUCUUUACUGCUGCAUUACUCAGUCAUGCUAUGGUAUAUUGCUCUUUUGCUUGCUUGAAAUAAUUUAAUCAUACUUUAUGCUUAAAAUUGAUUGCUAUCUGGAGCAUGACAGUCAUGACCAUGACCUUGUGUAUAACAGGAACAAGGUCAGCAUGCAUCAAUGCUGCAACACUAGCUCUUGCAGAUGCCGGGAUUCCAAUGCGAGACAUUGUCACAUCUUGUAGUGCUGGGUAUCUGUGUUCUACUCCUUUGCUCGGUAAGACACAAUUAUUUUUUUCAUAUCUUUGAUAAGCUAAGAAUAUUAUGGUACAGACAGAACUCAAAAUUAUUCUAAUGUGCUUUAUCAGAUCUUAAUUACUUAGAAGACAGUGCUGGGGGUGCAGAUGUCACAGUUGGUAUUCUUGCAAAAAUGGACAAAGUGACUCUUCUGCAGGUAAAAGGGUCAAGCACUCUUGUUGUUCCAACUUCUUAACUCUAGUCUGUUUGUGUGCACAACAAAAUUAUACAUUUCAAUUUUUCUCUCUUGUGAAAUACUUCUUUUGUGUGCUAUCAUUUUCUUAUAUACCUUUCGUUAUCACCAAAAGGAAGCAGCUGAAAAGUUUUUUUUUCCCCCAGAUGGAUGCAAAAUUAGCAAUGGAUACAUUUGAAAACGUAAUGGGACUUGCCAUAGAAGGGUGCAAAGCAAUUGCAACUUACAUCCGAGAGGUACGUAACUUUUUGUUGCUCUUCCAUUAAACCUGUCUGCAGUUUAUUUAGCUUGUUUUCUGUUUACGUUGACUUUAUUGACACAUUGGAACUUCUCAAUGCCCCAUGAAUGCCCAAUGUCAUAUGUUGAUUGGUCGCUGUCAUUUUGAAACAGGUGCUGUUGGAGAACACAAAGCGGCUGGAGUGUCAGCGUGGUUAACCAUAAGAGGCGAAUCACAUCUACCCGCUCGUGUAACAUUUGAAGUCUGGACUGAUCUGUGUAACACUGCAUUUAUAUGUUUACUCGACAGAGUAGGAAGGCUAGUGGCCUCAACUCAUUGUGUAAUGGGCUUGCUGGUUGGAUGAAUGGAUUUGGCGCAGUGCAGUGGACAGGAAAUUCCUGAGUUUCUUGUACCGAACUUCCAACGAACUUCCAAGUUGCUUAAGGUAGCUUGUUAACAAAAUAUAAUUAAUUAUGAUGGACAAAAGCAACCAUUCGGAUUUGUUUCUCCUUGACAAUUUUAAUUAACGGAUACAAAUUGAACGUGACAUUGUAUGCUGAUUAUCUCAGCGCUCGUCAGUUUGUAUUGCACCCGUCUGCUCAAAGAUAUCAAUGUCUUAAUAGCAACAUGUUUUUGCUCAAAAUUUUGUGGAUCUAUAAUUGUGCCAAGAUACUGCCAUCAUUCAGAUGCUGAUGGGAAUACGAAUUUGGAAUAUGGAGUUGACUCGAAAUGAAUAAAAAUGCAGCAUCAUGGAACGGAUAGCUGGAACCAUAGAACUCAUCCCAAGAAAACUAGAUAAACUUCCAAAGUAACUAUCUAGUUCAAAUAAUGUGCAGAAUGAAUCAUAGAACUCAUCCCAAGAAAACUAGAUAAACUUCCAAAGUAAUUAUCUAGUUCAAAUAAUGUGCUGAAUAUUCUGCUUUACCACCGAGUGGUUUAGCAUCUCAAUUCUCGACGUGGCUCGAAAGGAACUCAGAACUAGCUAAAUCUUGCUUGAAGAUACAAAGAGCUAAAAAUACACAAUUUUUGUCCUCAAACAAAGUUCAAUACCAAGCGUCUAAACUUGCAUAAUAAAUACCUUACGAGAUGAACUGAUAGUGAUGCAAUGAAUUGGUGAUAUAGACACAAAUGGGGCAGCAAUUAUUUGUCAUUCUCUCUGAAACCGGCAAAUUAGUUUUCAGCAGAAGCUGCUUGGUUGCCGACAGGGAAUGCUGGUAAAGUUUCACUAUUUUCUUGGGCUGGAGCAUCUGCAUUUGCAUGCCUCAUAAACUCCUCCGGGGACAUGUGAGUGCCAUGGCAGGCACAUACUAUCUUCACCUCAUUUCUACCAAACUUGUAUGUUACACCUGAUAUGGUUCUGCCAUUUGGUCCAGUACCAGUGGUAGAAACCCAAGGAAGAUCAGGAUAGGAUCCAGACCCUCCAAAUUUGACAUUUGGUGCGAUGCCUGGCCUUAUAGCAGAACCCAUAAGAGGGAGCACCCUCUCAGCCUUCUUCUCAUCUUCCACAUGAGCGGAUGAAGAAGCACCUGCCUCUGCAAAAAAGCAAAACAAAUCAGUCUCGACGGUCCAUAUGAUCAACUGGCAAAACAUUCAAACAAGCAUGGAUAAUUUUGGAAGCAAACAUAACAAAUGCACACAAGCUCAAUAUGGAAUUAUCUUGCAGUAUGUUUCAUUUUGUAUUACCAGAUUAUUAGCAGGCCAUACAUAAAGAAAAGACUGGUCCAAUAUCUCAAACGAGGCCAUCAUAAUAUUGUAAUAAAUGAGCUUAAUGACAUGCCACCAGUAUGGUCUCAACCAUACCAAAUGCAUUGUGGAACCAAGAAGGACCCUUGGGAUGGAACCAGAUGUUAAAUCUUCUCUAAAAUGUAUUUCUAAAUAGACACAGGUUAUAUACCAAUCAAGCAUUUAACUCUUACUUUCUUUUGUAUCGAAUCUGUUUUACUGUUAACAAUAAACAUAAAAAAACCAAAAACACAAGGAGUUUUUUUUCCCCCUAUUUGUCUGGGAAAGGAGCGCAAGCACUAACCUUGGGGUCUCUUGCCAUCAUCAGCUUGCUUGGAACCUGUUUGCUCAGCUUUGUCUUUUACAGUAAAAGAAGACAAAGCCUGAGGCGGAGCACCAAAAGCCCAUGAACAGCUCGUUUCAAGUGUUGGUAGCUGGACUGCCGGAUAACCAAAAGCAACCUGAGAGGCACUAUUCAUUGUCUGGACAGCUAGUCCACCGUUUGUAGGUGGCCUCAACUGCACUGGACAUACCGGGUGAAAAUUCGGUGCAUUAGUUAUGGUAGGAGGACCAGAAACCUGCGCUUGGACUUGAUAAGGCACAGCCACUACAUUUGAUGCCUGCAUAGAUAAUGGAUUCCCAGGUGGCAGCUUUCCUGAGCUCGACUCACUUCCUGAGAAACUUGGCUGCCUCUUUCCUUGAAAACCAACGGCAGCAUCAUCAGCGGAUCUUUUCCUAUCGGAUGCUUUGUUAACAACAGAGCCCUUAGCACUGUCUUCACGCUGUGCAACCAACCAAGAAUUUGAACCUUCUGCUUCUGACUCUGCAACAUCCUCAUUUUCACCAGUUGAACCAUCAUCAGUACUAAUUGAGAUAGGUGCAUUUUUCGCACCCCCGUCAGAGCUCUUACUGAAUGCAUCAGGCUGGUCACCAGCUGUCUGAUGCUUCUUCUGAAAGCUCAUCUCUUCAGAAAGCAAGUUGCAGUUACUUGAGACUGGCUUCUGUUCCUCAGAAUUAUUUCCAUUGUUAUUUGGCAUCCUCCCAUCUUGAUACCUGGGAAGCUGAGGCUGAUGGCUCACUGGUUCGGCGGAUCCAUCUACCACUGGAGCAGAGGAACUCCCUGGUUGUCCCCAGAAAUUCCCAAAUUGUGGUGCAACAGGGCUGUGCCUCUGUUUACUGUUGUGUUCUUGGUUCUCAGGGUUUGUUUGAUAAUACUUUCCAAAAGGAGCAUCAGGAGUUUGUGAACCACCUUUGCUACUGCUUUCUUCCACUUGAGGUUCUGCUUUUGGUUCUAGAGGAGCAUCUCUAGCCUUAGCCUUCCCAGAUGAUCCGCCCAAAGAGAGGCCCAAACUAAGCUCAAGGCCAUUCUCCUCGUCCAUUUCCAGUUAUUGGUUAAUUCUAAUGAUAUGUAUGCCUAGUUACAGACUAUUUCUUCAACAUACUAAGGAUAGCAUAGACCACACUAUUGUAUAGUCCUUGCCAUUCAAACCAUCAUCCUGCAAUAAAUACCUUGGGUAAGAGAGAGGCAGAAUUUUUACGGUAACUCGAUAGCUUAUGGCAGGUGGAAACAUAAAUUAACUUAAAAUCAUUUACAGCAUUCAUAUAUGUUGCAAGAUUUUCACAGGAAAUCAUGGGAUUUAUACAGGAAACCAAGGCCCGAUGUCCUAGAAUAGGAAUAUGUCUUAUGUUUUUCGUCAGAACGCUCCUUCACACCGGGGACGGACUUAAACUGGGACUUGGGGCUUCAUCAACAUAUUUGGAAAAUAAACCCCAUCGCACCAGGGGCGGAUCCAGUAUAGUACAUGGGCGUACAUAUUAUUUUUUUUUUUGGCAAAGAAUCGGAGUUAGGGAAAUACAUGCGUACAGAUCCGAAUAAAAUUGGCUUACAUUAGGGUUUGGGGAGCUCGAUUUCGCCAGCGGGAAGGGAAGGGAAAUGAAUGGAAGGGCGUACCUAGUGGAUACUCAUCGCCGGCGCUGGGCCCGACGAAGAGGAUGGCGCCGCUCACCCAGUAAUCGCCGCCGACUCGCCGAGAGAGAGAGAGAGAGAGAGAGAGAGAGGCUUGCCCCCUUGCCGUCGUCAGCUACCUGGGGUAGCAGCGAGUCGACCUCUAGAUUUCGAGUAGAGACUGGCUCGGCUCGGCUGGGACCUGGGACUGGGAGAGGGAAGGCACACCGUCAAUGGCAGAACCGCGCAAACCAGCGAAGGCCAAGAAGAAAGAGGAAAGGCAGCGGUUGGAAUUGGGUAAAACAGGAAGAAAGUUCAUAUGACCUCUCAAAGUACGAUAAGUCUAAUUUUUUUUCUCUAACCCAAAAUUUUCGGUCUCCAUUAAUUUUUAAAAUUUCGUAUUUCGCAACACAAUUUUAACCGCCGACUUCAGCUUACAGUAGCAUAUUUGAUAUCUGAUGGUAAAUCGGACCGCAUUGAUAUUCAGGAGGUACUCUAAAUACUUUUUUUUAAAAAAAUAUGAAUUUCUACUAUUUUUUAAAAAAAAUAAAAACAAUGACAGCCGGUCAAAAGCGUCCCCGUUCGACGAGUUGCCGCUCCUCCAUCCCCUGGAUCAUCUUCUCUCGAAGUAGUAAGCUGCUUAAGGUUGAUGUUGAAUUAAUCCUUUCACCACCGCUGAUGGAGAGGUAGAUCUUGAUCGGUACAGUGUUAGCGCCACUACUUGAGCAAUGGGAUUUCGCCAAUAGAGCUUGAGGGAAACGCAUUAGGAACCAUAUCUUCCUUAACGGUGCCAAUGAGGUCGACCCAAACCUCUUCAUUGUCAAGAACCUCGACAACACAUUGCUCUAGAAGAAGAUGAUCGGGGUGCGCGAUUGAUGUGGCGUCAUGUAGGGUAAAUUCGUCAUCAAAACUGCGCAGAGCUGUGGGGAUCGAAUGGUUAAAAAAACUAGGGGGAGGGGAUGAAAAAUUUGUCGUUUCUAUUGUUGCUAAAAGUUGAUCUCGGUCGAUGGAUCUUGUUCCAAAUAUGAAAGGAAAGGGAGGUAGGAUGACUAAAGUGCUUUUAGCUCCCUCGUGUGUCUGCUCCUGCAUAGUUCUUGGGAGAGGAUAAUAUAAUAAUCAGGUUUAAAAUCAACAAUUAAAGGAGCAGAAAAUGAUUAUAAAUAAUUUCUAUCUAGAAUAACUAUGGAUUUGCUUAACAAUGAUAUUAAUCGCACUUAUUCAACGUGUAGGAAAAAUCCCAUCGCCUAAUGAGGUAUAUAAGACUAAGGUGGUAUGCUGACCACCUAUAGAUACCACCCUAUAGAUAGUUACCACCUAAAUUUACCAUAGCUUAAAUUAGUCAAGGCAACCAAAAAACACCUUUAAUUUGACAUAAGUUAAUGGCCUUCAAACACAUGUCUAAUCUUAAUUGUGGCAACUUUUGACAGCCAGCCAAAUAUGCUAAGAUGCAACAACCCGUUUUGUUGAGCUGUAGCUUUUAAUAUCAAUCUCAUAAUUAAAAGAUAUACAAGAAAUGACUGUAGCUUUAUUUCCCUUCAUAUAAGGUUUUUUCCAAAGUGUAAUGCAAUUAUGUCAAAUUGUCAAAAAAAUUUUGGUAAUUUUGAAUUUAGUGUGUCAAAAUUUUGAUUUGGAUUUCGUAUGGUUCAUUACAGCGCAAACAAAACAACACCGGAAAGUUGUGCAACAGUCAUUCUAAUUUGUCUUAAGGUGUCGCUUAGGUCUUUAAAGAGUGUAAUGCGCAGACCACCCUUAAACUUGUGAUCUAGUGUUAUACAGAUCCGUCAACUUUAAAAAAGACAUAUUCAAGUCGUUAAACUUAUCAGAUGUAUCAUCUAGGUCCAAAGUUUCUAAAAUAGCGCUAGAUGGUGGUGUGUCACAUCAGUGUGGAGAUCUUAUAUUGACGAGUCCAAACUUCAUGACACAUUUCCAGUACUUUGGACUGGAUGAUACAUUUUAAUAAAUUUAUGAAUCUUUAUCUAGAGUUUUCAAGUUCGUGGGUCUCUAAAACUUCAUGACAUGUUCAAUGUUCGUGCAUUUCACAUGUCUCCGAAUUUGUCAUGAGAUGCCACUUUGGUCUCUAAACUAUUAUUUUGCAGCUUCUUAUCCUGAACUUGCUAAGGCCUCGUCUGGAACGUAUGAGGCACAAAGGAAACUCAUUUCAUAGAAAUUAUCUUCUCUCUCACCGUUUGGAACAAAGGAAUUGGCACAAAACUUUCCAAAGGAAUGGCAACUGCACCUGUACUUUUGGAGGAAUGAGAAAAUGAGCUCUGAGCUCAUGGGAAACUUUCCCACGGAAGCUGGCGGGCACUCUCCCUCCCUAAUCAUGCUUUAUCUAGCCUUGUGCAUUAGCAAUGCAUGGUAUCAUCAAAGUUGUCCCAAACAUCCAUGGCCAUACGAAGUCAUAACCAUCCCAUGUUGCUUAGUUAUAAAAGAAUUAAUAUUGCAAGUAUAAUAGUAAAUCAUCUAUCAAUUAGUUGAUUGUUAAUAUAUUAAUAUCAGUUUACGGUUCCUACAUUCCUUUAUUCAUGUGUUUUGGAUUCUUGAGUUCCAAACAUCUCUUCAUAUUUUCUUCCUGUGUUUUUCAUUCCUAUGUUUUGCAACCUCAUUCCUAUCCACAUUUCUAUGUUUUGCAACCUCAUUCCUAUCCCUUUCCUGUAUUUCUACUCAUUCCUUUGCUUUCCAUUUCUACGUUCCAAAUAGGCCCUAAGUGGUUAAUUCGAGAUCUAAACAUUGCAUAUUAGUACAUGUUCAUCAUCCUACUUGGCAUCUAGAAGGUGUCGACCCUACCUGCCAGGAGUUGCUCAAUGAGAGACAAGAUAGAUGGGUCGUUGUCACGUGGUUGCUAGCAUGCCACAUGAACAGUUACACACUGAUUAGCAAAAUUUUGACCUCAGGUAACACCUUUUUUAAUUCAAGUAAUUAAGAACGUGGAACUGCAAUUUAAUAAUUCAGGGACCUAUGUGACACUCCUAAACAAGUUUAGAGAACGCCGAUACAUAGAAUAAACGGUUUAUGGUCAAUAUAAUCUGCAGCCCGAUCAUAUAUUCUCAGGAACGUACGUCAAAGCAGCAAAUAGAUAAGUUUCAGCAUUGGUUACAAACUUGCUAUCAUUUUUUCUUUUAUUAAACCUUUCUUUGCUCUCAGAUCUCGACAAAUCUCCUGGAUGAACAACUUGCAUCAAAAACAUACAGAAGCUACAUCAAAAUCAAACAGCUAGGUUUUCUUCUUGAAUUCAUUAGGAGGGCUGCUCUCCAGUUUGCCGCUAUCGUCAGGAGCUGUAUCCACUUCAACCAGAUUUCUGAACCCAAGCUCUGACAUGUCUUGCUUCGCCAUCAAGUUUCUGAGGAAGAUAAAUUCAGAGAUUUAGCACGACACAUGGAAACGAUGCAUUGAAAUCUUAAAUAUAAAGAGCAGCAGCAAACAGAAAAAGAAGAAGCAAAAAGUGUAAUCUUGUUAUGGACCAGCAAACAUUUUAAUGCUAAGUGCACCUAGUUAUGAGCUCAGAUGCUGAAUUUCAAAAAUCAAAGUUGGUGAAACUCGGAGAGACAGAGAGAGUCCUCUCUCAUACUUGCCAAUUCCCUUGCUGAUCAACUAAGAGCUCACCCCAGGACUAGUAAGAAUUUCCAAGAUAAAACAACAAAACACUAUCUCAAAACAAUCAGUACAGCACCAAAACGUGCCCUAAAAGUAGUAGCUGCAUGCCCACUUGUGGUUGGCAUACUGAUUGAUUCACUCAAUCACCAAACACUGACAACGAUAUGGCACACUGCACAUGUGUUGCAUCCAAGGAUGCAAACAAAGGAACAUGCUGGGAGGCCAAACUAGGUUGUCGAAGGCUAAGGUCCUGUUUGGAUGGACUAAAAGUAGAGGACUAAAGUUUAGUCCUAGGUGUGAUUAUGGGCUAAACAUGGACUAAUGGGAUCUAACCACCAAUUAGCCACUAUCAGUGAAAUUAGUUCAGCAAUUAGUCCAUAUUUAACCAUGAUUAGUCCAUGUCAAAUUCCAGGACUAAAAAUUAGUCCUGACAUCCAUAUGGGGCCUAAUGUAGCCAUAACAGUUACUUCCCUCAACAACUGAAAAUGGAUCAGAACAUGAUGUAGCUUGAAUAUGUGCCCAAAAAAUAACAUAUUUGCCAGUCAUGUUAAAAUGUUUUUUGUCAAAAAAGAAAUGAAUACUGAAAGCAUUUAUGGUUGUAGGACAGAGAAUUAAUUCCAAGCAAUAAGGCAACUAUCCAGAAACUUGAUAGUUACUGAUACUUUGACUCCAAUCCAUACAUAUUAAUAUGUUUGCACAGCUUAUUGGGACAUUAAUUUUAUAGUUUUAUCCUGUAAGCAUAAAACUUAAUUGUUGCUAGGUUUGGCAAAUUAUUGAUAUGCCAAGAAACGAAGUUACGUAUCUAUAUCAUGAUAACUUUUACAGCUUUAAAUUUAGCAUGUAGAUAAUAAGAACUAAGCCUACUAACCUCUCCAUCCGACAUUCCAGAUACUUCUUUGAGAACUGUCGACAUUUUUCAGACUGAAAUCCUGUAGAUUUCAGGCAGGCAAGAUAAUCUUUCUUCUCCUGUUUGAACAGUCACCACUCACAUAACAAGCAUACAAUGACAGUGGUAAUUGAUAAAGAGAGUCUUCAGCAUUACCAAGUCACACUCAUGUAAGUGAUCCAAUGGGAAUACACCUUUUUCAGGAGGUACAGGCCUGACCCCUCUAUUUCCACCAAAAGCACCACCUGUGACAAUUCAGAUUGUUAUUCAGAUCUUCGUAUUAAUAUAAUCCUGCAAUUUUGAAAUAACAGCAUGGGAAUGAGGAAAUGUCACUCUAAAAACUUGUAACAGAUGCCUAAUGCAAACAAAAACAAUGAAUACUAGAUAGGAAGAAAGAUUAGGUGGUCAGCCUUCCUUACCGGCACUCAUUUGUCAAAAAGUUAGUCUUUCGAUCAGGAGCAGUCAGGAGCAAAGGCUUCCAAGAAUAAGGUCGAAUGUCUAGCAAUCGUGUGGCCAAUGCUUGAAACUGCAACAACACAAUAAAGACACAGGUCAACCAUACUAGUAGCAUGUGUGCCAUUUGUACGGUACAUUUGGCAAGGACAACAUAGCCGGUAAGUGGAGUAUACUAGUACCAUGUUUACUCAUUCAAAACAAACUGUCGGAUGAUAAGACAACUAGACAACCUUUCAGUGACAACCAAAAUAUUGACAAGUAUCACAACAAUAGAAUAGUCAAUACAUGCAUUUUGGACUAAGUGAAUAUUCUGUAAGUUGCUACAACAAACAACCACCACCGGAUGCAUGAAGCUCUGAAGAUGCAUUUAAGUUUUAACAACUGAAACCAUCCAUGGAGAUAGGACCAAAUUUAAAACAAGGAGUAGCCAGAGAUCGGAACAUACAAAUGCAUCCAGCUAGGGAUCCACAAAAGUAGCAAUGUGGGUGCACGAGUGUCUGUGAUCUAGCAAAAAAAUAAGAAUAAACUAUUAUGCCGGAUGAUAUGCGUGCGUUAUGAAUCGAAGGCAAAUCAUUGGUCACCCAUAUAACAGAUUGAAAAUUAGGCAUACAGGUUCAAUACAAUUAGUUCGAAAGCUUCAUAUGAUAUUGGUCUUGCAUUCACAAAUCGACAAGAAAAUAGAUCUAUUACGAAUCGAUCCAAACUGGACAGAAGCCUAAUCUGCGAUCGGCGAGAGACUGAGAACAGAACAACACCUCACGGCAGCGCCUGGGGCCUGUGACUGUGAGAAUGCGCGGCGGCGCGGCAGCGAGGGUCUCUCCGCCCGUAGGGAGGGGAGGCAGCUCCCCGCCCAACUCCGCGAGACUCCCGUGCCGUCACGCCCACGCGUCGCGUGGCUGAGCGUGAGGCUGAUGCGCGACGGCAAAGCCGCCCCCCACGCCUCGACGCCGUCGGCCGUCGCCGCUCGCGCUCGGUGCUGCUGCUACCGUGAGGGUUGGGAGGGAGCCGCGUUCAGUGGAGGUGUGAUGGGCUGGGCUGGUGUCUGGUGACGGGAGGAAUGUGUGUGUAGGCUGAGCCUUCGGAGUUUGUGGGCCUCUUGUGGACUUUUACGGCUUUUGCUCCUCACCAACCAAAGAAGAAGGUACUGAGUUUGGCCCAAAUACAGUUGCUGACAUUUUCGAACGUGUCUCCUGGACUCGCUUGCCAUAGGGAGCAAUCCUAGCAAAUGCUUUGCAGUCGUAUAAAUCGUACCCUUCCCAUCGCGCAUCAAACCCUAAACCCCCCUUGCUCUCUUGUCGCGCCGCCGCCAUGUCGCCGCCGACGCCACAGAAGCCACACCCGGUGCCCCGUGAGACGGUGGCCGGCGCCGUCGCUUCACUGACCAAGUGGAUGAAGAAGCGCGCCGAGGAGGCGCCCCCCAACCUCCUCGCCGACGAGCGUGACGACCUCGUCAUCCUCCAGCUCUCGCUCCGCCGCGUCCCCGCCUCGCCGACCACCAGGCCGCGCCUACUCCCGCUCCCGCACCCCGUCGUCGGGCACGACGGCGCCUCCGUCUGCGUCAUCUCCGACGACCGCCCCAACUCGCGGUCCCCGCCCGCCUCCGACCUCCUCGAUGCGUCCAAGUCGCUCCACCGCCUCCCCGUCUCCGAGGUCAUCCCGCUCUCCACCCUCCGCACGGACUACCGCCCGUACGAGUCGCGCCGCCGCCUCGCCGCCUCCCACGACCUCUUCAUCGCCGACCGCGGCAUCCUCCCGCUGCUGCCGCGCGUCCUCGGGAAGGCGUUCUACUCCACCAAGAAGGCUCCGAUCGGGGUCGAUUUCACCCGCGUCGGGUGGCCGGAGCAGGUCCGCAAGGUGCUGGGCUCCGCUUUUCUGUACCUGCGAACGGGGACCUGCUCGGGGAUCAAAGUGGGUAGGCUGGAUAUGGAUGAAGAAGAGAUCUUGGAGAAUGUGAUGGCUGCGGUGGAGGCAGCUGUGGAAAAGGUGCCAAAGAAGUGGGCCAACGUUAGGGCGCUGCAUCUGAAGGCUGUGGAUUCAGUUGCCCUGCCAAUUUACCAGGUUGUGCCGGAGUUGGGUAUGAAGAUUGAGGUGCCUGGGGAUGUUGAAUCUGGGGAGGUCAUUGAUGCUGUGGAAUUGGAGACUAGGGAGAAGAAGACUGACAAGAAGAAGGUGCUGAUGGAUGCUGAAGCCAAUGGUGAUGAGGGAGUUGCCAAUGAGAGUGGCAAGAGGAAGAGGAAUAAGAAGGAUCAGAUCAAGAAUAUUGAGAUGCAGGGAGAAGUUCAGGUGGAGACAGAGAAAAAGAAGUGGAGGAAGAGUGUUGUGGUUUCUGUUGAUGAGCAGAAGAAGGUUGGCAAGAAGGGUAAAGAUAAGGGCAAGCGUGAUUUGGAAAAUGAGAUGGAAGAACCCAGUAUAGGCAAUAAGAAGAAUAAGAAAGGAAAGAUUGAGGAGGGGAAGAAAAAGAAGAGCAUGAAGGAUGAAGUCUGCGUAGAUGAGAGCCUGGAAGACAAGAAGAGCAAGGGGAAAAAAUUGGAUGGCAAGAUCAAGAAGACAAGGAGAGGGUAAGACUGUAAGAGUAUGGUUACAGUUGAUAUUAUUGCUGGAAAUGCCUGUUCUGCAUUGAGGCCAGUUGCAGACUCCAAAAAUUGAUGAACUGGGUUAGUCAUUAUCUGGAAGAAUCAUCUUCUGUCCAGGUUCCAUGUUGUACGGGUAGGUUUGACUUGAGAAGAUGGCCUAUCAGUUGUACCGCAGAAUGCUAUCACGUUUGACCUCACAGAGGUUUCUUCUGAAGUUUCUUCAGGUUUUGUUAGCUUAGUAGCUCAAGCCUCUGGGUUAGAAGAGUGGCGAGACUGUUUCUGGCUAAGCUAUGUACCCCAUUCAAAUCGUAACAGUUUUGUGUCCAUCUGAGAUACUUGUGUUGCCCUGGCUUCUUUGAAUUAUCUCGUGUGAGUUGUGACCUAUCUUCUUAGUACAUUAGGCAGCAUUAUUUGCAUAAUCGACUUAUGUACUUUCUCCCAGCAUGUCACCAUUAUCCAGAUUUUACACAACACAACUAUGUUGUUCAUUCACUGAACCAAUAUUGUUGCUUCACACAGCGUAUAUGAUGAAUAUUUUCACUUUGUUGGGCUGCAUGCCUACAUCCAUUGGAAUACGUCGUGGUUAAGAUCCAGGAUCCUAGACAAGUGUUAGUUCAUUCAUGCGCUGCCAAGGAGAAACUUCACAUAUACUUGAUCUUAGACGAGUUAGUUCAUUCGUGCUGUACAUCCUGCCAAGAAAAACCAAUGCAUAUACUCCCAAAUCAUCUCUAGUUGUAUACUGGAAUGACAAUCUUUGGAUACUAUUAUCUGACUUAUUCUCUGUUUGCAAAUCCAUUUUCUCAUCCCGGCAAUGUACUUUUUUCAUGCAAAAUCUGAUUAACCAUUUUGGUGCGAGCAUCAUAAGCAUUCAGCUUUGUCGAAUCUCUCCCUCUCUCAGAAUUGAUCAUAAAUUUUCCCUAACAUUCUGGAAUGUUUGCAUUUCAUUCUGUCUGGUGGUGUAUCUGACCACCUGAAUAUGACGCUCCUUUGAGACGUCAGUAAGGUGAGCAAGGUUCCAUCUUUAGUGUCCUCCAUAUCUGGAGUAGCUGUAAUUGGAACCACAAAUCUUGCAGUCAUGAUCAAUUGCUUUCAGUGUUUGAUAGCCGACUUAGCACCUGGACUGAGUGAGUUACUUGGACUGAGUGAGUUACUUGGGCCAUGUUUAGUUCACUCCAAAAUCCCAACUUUGACACUAUGCAAAAAGAAGAUUCCCCAUCAUAUUAAACUUGUGGUACAUGCAUGGAGUACUGAAUGUAGACGAAAUUAAAAACUAAUUGCACAAUUUUGUUGUACUUUGCGAGACGAAUCUUUUGAGCCUAAUUAGUCAAUAUUUGGACAAUAAUUCACAAGUACAAACGAAACGAAACGCUACAGUGUUGCUACAGUAAUUUUGACACCUCAAAGUUGAGCAACUAAACAAGACCUUGAUGAGUGGUGAUGCUUUCUUUUAUCACUGAAUUUUAGAUGCCAAGCUUCGCCGCCCAAGAGCGGGGUCAAACGGUCCAGCUCGACGGCGCGCGACGUCCUCGCGUCGCGCCAUCUCUGGCAGCCUUGGCCUGGGGCUGCCACCCGUCCAAUACAAUACAGCUACCUGGCUCUAAUCUAUGCUCUGCGCCGAUCUUGGAGGCGACGUGCGAGCCAAGCGGCCAGCCCUCCCCACGCGCGAGAAGCCACGGCUGCCGGCGGUCACGAUAAGCUCAGAGCCUCAGAGGCAAUGACGGUGGCGCGGGCCCCGCCCGUCGACCUCGCCCGGCCGCGAUUGGCGGGCGGCGGCCUCGCGUUCCGUAAAGGCUGGGGCGCAGCCGCGCAGUGCAGCCAGCACGCGGCCCCACGCGUGGCGUGCCACGGCUCGCAGCCGCGCGAGCCCCCACGCGGCGCCCAUGCGCGGGUCCUCUCGUGUGGUCGCCCUGGCGCGCGUCACCGGUCACCCACCGGAUAAGCCCAUUUGCCCAUUCCAUCCCUCAGAUCCCGCCGCUCCUUUUUGAUUCGCGCAGCCGCGCCUCUUCUCUCGUUUCCGUUUGGAAGCCUGAGGUACUGCUUUGAGCCUUUGACGGCUUGACGCCACCCCAGAUCGUCUGGGAGUCUCGAGGUAACUGCCCGGCGGGUUUCCGAGCAGCGUCCAGGGAGCUCCUUCCCGCUUCUCUGGGAGAGGUACAGUGGCCUUAUUUCCUGUACCGUUGUACGUGCGAUUUGGCAUGCGCCUCAACUGUUUGUCGAAAUGCCUAUCAGCCUGUGUGUGAGCGAGAGAAGAUUCUGUCUAGGAGUUUGAGUUAGGACGCUCCUUGUUUCGAUCUCGUCUGCUCACCUGGAUUCUUGCUUGUAAAGCUGCGAGCAAGCUUUCGUCUCCUUUGAUCCAGGAAUUAAAGGUUAAUUGGUCGGGCCGUCGUAGCUUGUAAUGUUUUCCUUAGUCUUGUUCACAAGCAAGAGCUCCAUGAAACCUUAUCCUUUUGAGGCUGUCAGGCGCUGGAAGGCGUAGCUAUGCUAGCAAUGCGCGUCGUUUUUGUUAGUUUAAACAACGCCGUACAUUCUAGAUUUUUCACAGCGCCACACAUUGUUCAGCAUUUGGUUGCCUGUAGUAGACUUCAUGCAGAGCCUUGUUGGCUCUGUAGAUGGUACUGAGCUCUUGACGUGGUUUUUUUCUUUUGUUAGGUAAAAAAUGUAUCAUCGGGGGUGAUGCAUCUACCUGGAACAUAGAUGGAGGACUAUUUUACACGCUUCCUGAACCUUGGUUGGCAGUUAAGACAAUACUUGACAGAAUUGAUAGGUGCUAACUUGAGCUUGUAUCUCUUAGAGUCUUAGUUAACGAAACCAACUGGGAUUUGGGCAUGCUGAUUUCAGUGCUCAUAUGGGUCGUGUUUCUUUUGCUGUUUCUGAAGUACAAGGUUCUAAUUACAGGGUUCCUAUUUUUCUUUCCUUGAUUUAUAUGGAGCAAUUAGUUCUAUUCUAGAUGUAAUAUCAUUUUGAGAGACACAGCACCUUUUCUUUUUGGAGGCAAUAUGGCCUGACUUUCAGAGGCUGUGCUUGAUCGCCACUAAAAGAAACAGAUGCUUCUCGGAACUGGGAGAAACCUGAAAAUGGGUGUUUUUCUUUAUUUUUAUGUGUUUGUCGUUUAUCUUGGCAGAAAAUUUGCUCGGGUACAUUGAUUGGAUUCCUCAACGUCUUGAAGUACAAUUCUCUGCUAGCCAUGGAGGAUCAUUGCCUAGCGCCACAGGAUAUACUCAUGAAGGGGCAUAUGCAUUAUCUGUUAGUAAUGCUACUACGGAAAAGCAGUCUGCAAAUGGAAUAUCUGAUGGCACAAUUCUCAGAAAAGGAUUUUCCAGUAUUUAUCAAAGGUUCAGUUUUCUUAUAGCUUCAUCAGUCAGUAAGCUGAUUCAGAGAAAUUUAACACUGACAUGUGUUUUUGUCUUGUAUCUCAUAUUCACUUUGCAACUAUUUGUGUUGUCAGAUCAUAUGGCAGGCCUUCCUAUCUUUUGCAUGGCUUCAGGGUGGUAAGAAGAUUGGCAUUCCGUGUACGAGAUCAGUGGAGUCUGUUUUCAAGUGAAAUACAUGCCAAACUAACCAGGUUAGUUAACGCUUUCUCUGUUCAGACUUCUAUGUUUUACUUGGGUGUGUUCUUAUGCACCUGCUGCACCUUACAGUUCGAUGAAUCAAAAGUCUAUGGAGGGUGACCCAGUUUUGUUUGCUCUAAUUAGUUCUCAAAUAUGUCAUUUUUAUCACAGGGUCUUACAUCGUUUCUGGACAACACUAAAGGGAUCUUGUGAAGAUAUAGGAUGGUUGCAAAGAACUCGAGCAUCUCUUUGUUCAGUUGAUGGCACAGGUCGCUUCACGGAGAUUUUGCAUGAAAUCAGGUGAUUUUUUUUGUGCCCAGUUUUGGUGAGCUCUGUACAAGGAUAUUACCACAUUUCUUUUUUGCAGAAUGCAUUUAUAGCAUUGCAUUCAAAUAUUGUUGUGUGAAAAUUAUGACCACACCGAUUAAGGUGACCUGAAAGUGAAUCAGUACCAAGAAUGACCAACAAUACUAAAAGCUGCUUUAUGUUUCAGAAAUGGUCUGCACUGCCUGCCUGAUACACUGGUUUACCUAUUUAUUCCUGGUGAGACAUCUUUAUCAAUGUAACAAGUUUUUGCAAAUGACCCUUAAAUGCCAUUGCUUACAAAUCGUCUCAUCUGUACUCCUUUAUGCAGGCCUUUUUAGCAACCACAGUCCACUUUACUUCACCAAUACAAAAAGAUUCUUUUCGAAAAUGGGAUUGGCUUGCCAUAUUGCAAAAAUUCAUAGCGAGGUAAUUGAGCUGAAGGCUCACAUGCAAGUCGUUUCCCCCUAGUAUGUCUAGCAUAGGUUUCACUCUCAUUUCGUAUUAUGUCCUGAAGCACCAGCUGCUUGUGCUACUUUUCCUACUGUUAUUCCUUGUAUUUACAUUUUGCUUUGUCUAGGCAUCUGUUGAGAAAAAUGCGUGGGAACUGAAACAAUACAUCGAGGAGCUCUACUGGGGAUCUGGUAAGCAAGUUUUGCUCCUUGGUCAUAGCAAAGGUGGAGUUGAUGCAGCUGCAGCUCUUUCCUUGUACUGGUCUGAGCUCAAAGGCAAAGUUGCCGGCCUAGCAUUGGUUCAGAGCCCAUAUGGUGGCACCCCGGUCGCCUCUGAUAUCCUUCGAGAAGGCCAGAUUGCUGAUAAGGAGACAAGAAGGAUCAUGGAGCUCAUCGUAUGCAGACUAAUCAAGGUCCUCAUCAUGAACUGUUACUCAGUCAAAUCCGUUGUUUCUCUUUUUAUUGAAAGGGCAGGGGCACUGCCAAUCACAAGAUAGCAAACAGGAGAAAUCCAUUGUUUGCAAAUUGUUCAUUCACAGUCUCAUCCAUUUCAGAGUAUUGCAGGGUGACAUGAGGGCCUUGGAGGACCUAACAUACGCCAAGAGAAAGGACUUCAUCUCCAAGCACAAACUCCCCGUCGAUGAGCUGCCGAUCAUCUCCUUCCAUACCGAAGCUAGCACUGCACCAACAGUGCUCGCGACACUAACCCGCGUGGCCCAAGCCGAGCUCCUGCCAUGGCUCCCCGUGCCACGGUUCUUCCUGUCAGCAUCCGAGUUCGUCGAGUCCAUGCUCGCCUCUCUGAAGGUCCCCGUGGUCGCGCCCGUGUCGGCGGCGAUGGCUUUCACAGCGCUUCACCUGCGGCUGCGGUACGGCGAGAGUAGCGACGGGCUGGUGACCCGGCGCGACGCCGAGGUGCCCGGUUCGGUGGUGGUGAGGCCUGAGAGGAGGCUGGACCACGCGUGGAUGGUGUACUCCACGCUGAAGAAGGGCAGCGCUGAGGCUGAUGCAAGCGAGAUGUGCGAGGCUCUGCUGGCCAUGCUCGUUGAGAUUGGCAAGAACAAGAAAUCAUGCUGACCAUCUUCUCAUCCGGAGCUCUGGAUGGUUGGUUUGCUUAUGCAAAAAUGUUUGUGCCUGAAGUCUACGUCCAGUGUCAUGAACUGAAACUUACUGCAGCACUAACGUCACACAGAGGGAGACUACAGCGAAUGAUAGAAUAUUAUAGCCUUUACAGGAAAUAGUGAAAAUUAGAUUGUACUUUACUUUGUUGGAAGCAAAUACAGCUUGGCAAUAUGCCAUUUUGUUGACUUUUGACGAACAAUAUGCUCUUUCGGGAUGAAUUAUGUUCUUUUUCUAAAGAUAAAUGUAUUAUUGUCUUCACAGUUCACAUUUUAAUUUAAUAUUUCCCCCCUAUCGAUUUAUGAUACAUCUAAUACCCAUAGAUCAUUCAAUUGCCUCUUCUUCUUCUUUGAGUACACUGUUGCCGAGUAAUUUCACCCAUAAUAAACACACGAGCAUGGCAGUGGCUGAUCUCAGGAUACACGUAUUCGUUAUCCCUUUGCUGAUUCCGCGUUCGCUCUUAGGUCACGUAAAGUAACAAGUGCUGGGUCCCCAAGAUAGUAAACAAGGGGGCCCGGUGUCAGUGUCACUCUCUCGUCUCCUCCAGGCUUCCGCCCCUAAACCCUCAUCAAAACCGCUGCUCGACGAAUAUUUCCAUUUCUACCCUUUCCUGGCUCGCCUCCACCCGCCGCCGCCGUCGUCGCCGCAGCCAUGGCGUCGCGGCGCUACCUUCUCCGCCUCCUCUCGACCCGCCUCGUCCCUCAGAGAUCUCAAACCCUCACAUCGGUCUCGAUCGCGACCCGGACCCUAGCCUCUUUGUCGGAGCCCCUCGGAACCCCAGCUCCACGCGCCCUCGCCUCCCCCCGGCUCUACUACCCCUCGCGCUGCCACUUCGCGACCCGCUCCUCCGGCGACGAGGACGACGACGACGACGACGACGACGACGACGAAGACGAAGACGAAGAAGGGCACUACGACGACGAGGGGAGCGAGGGGGAGUGGGGGGAGGAGGAUGAGGCGGUGGCGGCGAAGAAACCGAGCGGGAAGACAGAGGAGGAGAUGGUAGCGGAGGCGGCGGAGAUCGGGUACAAGGUGGUGGGCCCGCUCGGGCCCGACGAGAAACCCUUCAAGCCCUACGAGCCCGUCUUCGCCGUCGUACAGGUCUGCUCCAUUUGGCCCUAGUCUUUCGAUUUGGAGGUUGGGGGUUGGAUCUAGUGUGUGAUUGCGUGUUCUUGUUUCUACCUGCAGAUUGGCUCUCAUCAAUUCAAGGUGAGCAAUGGUGACUCCAUCUUUACGGAGAGGUUGAAGUUCUGUGAUGUAAAUGACAAGGUAAGAGCGGGACCUCGAUGGCAAUCUAUUUCUCUUUUAACUUUUGAUCGUGUUGUUUCAUGAAUCAUUUUCAAAUAGUCUGACGUGGAGCAGAUAAUGCUGCUAUGCAUUACACAAUGAUAUUUAGAAAUUUGUACUGCGCGAACAUGUAAUGUGAAUCCCAAUGUUAUAACUCUGUUUAUCUGUUAGUGCUUUGGUCCAUUGAAAUUUUAAUCCAAUUUAUGUUGAGAAUUUGGGAACUUUGCCUUAUAGGUUUAUGUUGUUUAUUCUGUCUGCGGAAUUUUCUUUUUAGGCUAACCUUUUCCUUUCAAUUCCAAAGCAGCAUUGAAUUUUUAGCAUCUUGAGUCGUUCUGAUUGGUGAUUAAGAAAGAUUACCAUUCUAGCCUUCUUUUAGUUAGGUAUAGCACAUCUCUGCCUGAUUUUCAUGCUAAUGUUAUUUUGUGUAUCAUGCCUAUUGUAAUUCUAGCAACCAGCAUAGAUCUCUGCUUGUUAUCCUGUAUAUUUCAUUCUACUGAUGGUUUGCUGUUGGUGCUGUUGCCUGCAUGACUUUGAGCAGCUGGUUUUAAACCGAGUUCUCAUGCUUGGUUCACAAACUCAAACAGUUAUUGGGAGGCCAAUUCUUUCUGAAGCUACUGUUCACGCUGUUGUUGAAGAGCAUGUAAGAUGGAUAUUUAGUUCUUUAACUCCACUCUUUUGUUGCUACAACCUUGUUCACUACAAUGAACCUUAAGAAGUGAUUUUUAAACUCAUCAACACAAGUCUGUAAGUAUAUCCACUUUAUUAGUGGAAUUGUGGUCUGCAAAAUACGUGUCCGGCUCCAGCCCUUUUUAUCGAUCUAUACAGAUUUCAGAUUUAUUGGAACAUAUUUGUUUUAAUAAUUUGACUGGUAUGCAUGCCUUCCUACUUAUUGAGUGACGACCUAGUUACACCAGCUGGUUUGAUGCGGUUGAGCUAUCAUAGCUUAUAGUAGUUUAGCCAUAUUGGCAGAUUUCCUUGUUUGGUUAUAACUUAGUCGUCCACGAUUUGUACUCAUUUUCUAAUGUCUGUGCUUUGAUCCCACCAUGUUUCGAUGAUUGUAAUUUUUAGCAUCCUUGUUUUGUAGUCCUAAGGCACCUUUAGGUGUAUGUUUACAAAAGUGAUAAAAUCUUGUUGUGCAUCUACUCAACAUCAACUAAAUUUAUGAGUUACUGGUUGAUAUGCGCUGAGGACCACCUAUUUGAUCUAUUGAUGGCCACAUUGGACUGCAUGGUUCUUAUGCUUGUACCUUGAAUCACGUCUGAUGGUUUUGCACAACUAUAGUUUAGAUUUUUGCUGUCGUAAUAUGUUCUUCAGACAUCUAGAGACAGUGUUUUACUGUUAAAGAUGUGAUUAUGCAAAAAGAAAAAUCUCUCUGUCAACACACAUCUUGGUGUUAGGUAGAGUUCAUUUUGAUUUUAUUGGUCCUCACUAUAUAUAUUGUAGGAUAGAUUUGAGUUUAAUUUCUCUUGAUUAUCUUCAGGCCCUAGACGCAAAAGUGAUCGUAUUCAAGAAGAAACGGCGAAAAAAUUACCGCCGAACAAAGGGCCACCGUCAGGUAAAUUCAUGUUGUUGUAGUUUUACUAUACACUGUUCUUUUUGGGUAUUUGCCUCACCUGCGAGGAAUCCUGUAGUUCUUACUGUACGUUGUAACCAUUUUCCAGGAAUUGACAAAACUUAGAAUAACCAACAUUGAAGGAAUAGAUAAGCCAGAGACCGUUGCUGUUGCUGCCUAAGUUCAGGUUGAAGAAGGAAGGAACAGUGCCUUUUGUUUAUGUCAGCAAUGCCCAGGCAAUCUUAAGGCUGGUUUUAGAAGUUCAGUCAGAUCUUGAUAGCUGAUACGAGUGUAAUGCCACUUCUUUUCUUGUUAAUUCCAAACGUGAAGUGAAAGAUAAAACUGUCUCGGCAUUCAGACUUUUCGGCGCAGUAUCUGACAACAUGGCAAUGUACCGAGCAGUUUGGGUGCUCUGGAGUCUGGAGUGGAUCGGCUGUUGUAGUUUACAGUGACGCCGGUUUUUCAUUUUUGGUUAGCUCUUGCUGCACACAUGCUUUACAAAUGUGUUCUGAUUCAUCGGUGCCAUGUAAUAAUGAAAGUGCAAUGCUUCAUUUCUGUCUGGUUCGGGGUUGGAAACUGAAACCCUAAGCGCUGCUUAUGCAAAUGUAGCUGCGGAUCUUACGCUUACGUUCUUGAUAUCGUGGGAGGAUUUGCAGCUUGCAAGUAACCUCGUACUUUUCAUGCUAGCUACCCAAGCUUUCUGUGCCUGGGCUUUCCGGCUUUCAUUCGGGCGAGCAAAGCUGCAGAUGCAUCAACUGGAAGUGCCCGGUUCAAUUUGAUGGGAUCACUCGAAGGGAGACGCAGGAGCCCUGCACUUUGUUGUGCUCUGAUGCUAAUAUGAACUUGGUUGCUCUGUCGGAGUUAUCUAUAACUCAUAACCGGAUAUCAUCAUUCAUCCAGCUCCUCCACCAGUUCUGCUAGAUUCAUCUGGCUGAAGUUGCUGUUAUGUUGUCGUCGCACUAGCUUUGGAAACGAGAGAAAAAAAAAGCAAAAGGUUUCGUGGGUCCUUAUUGGGCACGAGCUAAUCGUUCGCCUCCUGUCACAUUCUAUGUUAGUAUUAUACUACUCGUAUACGCUCCUUGCUCGUAUAUUUUUUGUAGUCCUUGUUGUCCCCUCAUGUUCUCUCGAAUCAAAAACGUAGCAGCAGCCAGAGGCCGUGUGCUUAUUCCUCAUGCAGAUAGUUGUUUUCUUUACCCUUUUUUUUAAAAAAAACUUUAUUCACCCUGGCAUCCACUUUGCACAUCGCAAGGCAUUAACUACAUAGUGAUGCAAGUGCCACUAGCACCAACGAACACUCUUUCAUUUAUAUAGUUAUACAAAUUAAUUGUCGUUGUGUGUAAUAAUUUUACUCGUCCGCUGUUUAAUCAAUUGGGUUUAAUUUUAAUCGGUGGUGCUGCUGGUGUGCGCUUGGUGGAUCCCUGCGGCGGAUGGGAUCGACCUGUGAUACGGACUCCUUUUUUGUGUCAUUUCGUGUGGUUGAGGUUGCAAACUUGCGUUUUGCUUAACAACUUUACAUGCGUAUACGUAUGUGUAUACAUGGAUGUGCAGCACUUUGUUUUGCUUUUUAUUAGAAGAAGAAAUCUUGGCCCACUACGAUGGCGAAUUGUUUCCCUCUGCUGCUGCUGCUGUCCUGAUUUCACCUUUGGUUCCUCCAUGCAUCUGCCUUAUCUGGUUCGAGCCUGAAACUCUGAUUGAUGAUGAUCCAGCAACUGCAUCCGACGAGGAAUCAGCAAUUCAGCAUUCUGUAGCUCAUGGCACCAUGAUUGUUUCAGAAUGCAGACCAUAUUCCCAGGUUCUUCAAUGGCAAACUGAACAAUCUGUCCCCAAGUUACUUGCUGGCAAACUCGAGACUGGAAUGAUUCUGGCUGAGACAUGCUACUAUGCCAGCGAGUGAGAAACUGACAAAUCUUCAGUUGAUACCAGCCUGUCAGCGCGUGACAGUUUCAGCUGGUGUUGCGUAUUUCCGACUAGAGAAAUCAAAUGAUGUAUCAACACAAGACAGUCCUUUUCACGGAUAAAUGGAUAUGCAUAUGCUUGGCAUUGUGCUCCAGGCCUUCAGUUUGGAUAAGCGCAUAAACAAUUUGGCUAACAAACAUUCACUAGACAAAUCCUGAGCAACAAAUCAACAAACAGAUAGAUCCAAACCAGCAUGCAUGAUGCAACUGUCACGGAUCAUGACGAUCUUUCUUUGCAGAUCUUGCAUACUGAACUCUCUCUGAACCUGGCCAGGCGUGUGGUAGCAUCAGGAGUCAUGAGUCUCAGGAGUCAGGGACCCAGUCAGUGCUAGUUUUUUUUUUUUUUUUUGAUAAGGCAGUCAGUGCUAGUUGGAAGCCGUGUUCAUCUACAUCGCCUCCACCGGUGCAAAGUUGCCACACCAAAAGUCAGAGCUGAAGUGUACAUGAUGAGCAAAGCCGCUUUGGCAAAGCUAAGGGCGCCACCAUUGGUGGGUGUCAUCGCAGGUCUCACAUCCCAGGCUGUAAUGGAGGAACUGUGCCGAUCAUUCAGAUUGGAGCAUAUCCUCUUCAAGCGCCAGUUUUUGGUUUUAUAAAGAACUGAUCUGGCGCCCUGCUUUGCAUCUUCCUUUUUAGGUGCCACUCCCCAUCCCCUACUUCGUGUCAUGGUCUCUCAUUGAAGUAGAUCAAGCUUAUCCAAUUCCUUCUUCCUCCUUGCUGCAAGCAACUUGCGAUCCUCUUUUUCGUGACAAGAAUAAAGGCCAUCACCUUCCUGUUGAUCCACCUUCUUUUGGCCCUGAAAUAUAGAUGCAACUGAACAUAAAUUCAGUAGACACUUUUGAGCUGAAUGCCUCAGUUGUGUCUUGUGGCAAAUUUAGGCUAACGCUAAAGGGGGUAAAGCAUAUGCUGUUAGAGUGGUUUGAGGCCUUUGCUUGUAAUGUCACAUUCAGAAAAUCUCAACCUGCAGCUUUGAAAGUUAAUUAGGAGCAUAACAGAAUAUGCUGCAAUAGUGGCCUGUGCUUUUUUGUUUGUAAAGUUGGCCUCAGGAAGAUUCUGAGAUUAUUCUAAUCUGAUGAGUUUUCUAGUAAGCUUCCAUUCACCAAAUGUUAAUCUGCUUAUUGCUGGAUUCUUUGGAAAGUUGACGGCACACAGGAUGGCAUAUGCUGCAAGAGUUAACUGUACUUUUGGUAUAGAGAUGGUUUUCACUUUUCACAAAGACUCCAAAUGAUUAAUAUUUUAACUCCAUGAUCAAUUGUACUGCAAGCUGGGUUGUACUGCCUUCCUGAAACAAAAAAAAUUAAUUGUACUGCCUUCCUGAAACAUGCAUCAAUAAACACUCUCUAACAUCAUCAGUCGAUGACGGUGUCCUGCAAUUUCCAAGUUUUCACCAAUCCAUUGCUAUUUUUAUAUUUUUGAAAAAAAAAAGCAUGGCAAAAGCCUUUUGAAUGUUGAGAUCAAUGCCACAAUGGAACAAGUCACAAAGAACAGGGAGGAUAACAGGAAUAGACACAUUCGCUGACCUAGAUGCUUUAGUAGGCCCAUAUGAAUUAGUGGCUCCAAGAUCUAGUGGGUAUUGCACAAGUGCAUCACUGAUUGCAGAAUUGAACAUGACUCUCGUGCCAUGACGAAUUGAUUGGGUGGAGACCUACUGCUGAGAGAAAGGAAACUUGAAAUGGAAGCAGUAGUGCGUCACUAUGAACAGCAACACUGCAUUAUAGCAUUGUAGCAAACAGUUCUCCCAUUGCUAUAGCAAAAGUGGAUGUUUCAUAGCAUUUAUUUGCUAAAAUUUGAUGUGAUCUUAUAAUAAAUAAAAAAAAAUUCUCCUUUUUCUGCCUUUAAUUAGCUAUCAAGGAUGAUUUUCAGAAAUGGACUUUGUUAUACACAUGUGCAAAUCGUGCCUCUACAGUUCUCAAAGGACUUUAGCGUGCUGUGUGCGAUAACAGUACGCAACAAGGUGACUUCUAACUUGGAUUUGUUGCAGUUUUGUCAUGAUGCAAACAGCACUGCACCUACAUAUAUGGCGCAAACUGUUCAUGGCGGGACAGUGCCCUAGAGAUCUGCACAAGCUAGCAUUUGAUGUGCACCGUCCAUUGAAUGAUCAAAUAGUGUAACCAGGCUAGUCGCAGUGAGUUUUAGGUCUAGCCACUGGCCAGUAAUAAUGUACCCUGCUUGUAGUUCCUUAAUCCUUAUUACUGCACAUAUUUUACCUACCAUACAGUUCCACUAUGACCCAAUGUAUUUUCUUAACAACCCAACCAACACGCACACAACUCAUAGCUGAUGACGUGUCAAGAGCUCAAUGCACAACCGUGCUUCGUCACUGGUGCCACGUAGGCAGUUUUCAUGCUCAUGAAUCAUGGUGCAAGGAAGAUGUGCAUUUCAUAUCUGGCAUGCUGUGGCACUAAAAUAUCACCACCUCCUCCUCCCCACCCACCACCGCGCUAGUGGAGCAGUGACGCAGCGGCAAAUUAACGUUAAAAAUUAAACAAACGCCAGUUGCUCAGAAUAACAUGUUUAGAGCAUCUCUAGAAACAUGUCAUUCUGCUAUUCAAAAUUUAUCUAAAAAACAAGACGUUAUACUCAAUUUAGUAGGUGUGCCUGUGCAUGUGGGUAUACAGCAGUAAAUUAGCAUCAAAUAUGGCUAAUAAAUAGGGGCAAUCGAGGUCAUUUUACCUCCUUGUUAAUCUGUGGAUGACAUGUUUUUUUGGAUGGAGGGAGUACGUAAAAUUGGUGACUUAAAACUUGUUUUAGGUAUAUGAGGGAGAAAAAUUUAGAUAUGCAAAUGUUACCUUUUUCGGCAGUUUACCUAUAAUGUUCUACCUAUUUUCUUGAUGCAAGAUCCUCACGCAUUUGCCUGCCAGUCUCGCUCCUCCUUCUCCACCCUCCUCUCUCAUUCUCUUGCGUGCGCCGUGCCGCUCAUUCACACGUGCAGCUCCCCCACCUCUCCGGCGACCGUGCCUCUCCUCCGCUCUCUGUUGGCUGCACGCUCCUCUGCCCAGUGGUGGCCAAAUCAGGGGCACCGCCCAAUGCCAGCCUUCACACGGCCCAUGGCUUGCUGCUGCUGCGACACGAGUCGGGAUGGGUGGCGGCGCACCAAAGUGAGCUCGCGAGCACGACCAAGCUUGAACUCGCCAUCAAGCUCCAUUGAAUCGAGCUUCUUUUUGACCAAAUCCAAAUCGAUGUAUAACGAAGAGGAUGCAGCGCUAAAUUGGGCUUCUUCACCAAAUCGAAGCGGGGGCUAGUCGGCGGACCUCGCUCGCACCACCCCUCAAGCUCCUUCUGCGCCCAUAUCGACAAGCUGCUUGUCGGGGUUUUAUACCGGCAACCUACCGAUGGAGUUUCCGAGGUAGUAGAUUGGUUGGUAAGGAAUCGCCAGAUCUGAAACUUGAAGGUAAAAGUGAGGACACAAGACACAGAUUUAUAUAGGUUCGGGCUGCUAGAGUAGUGUAAUACCCUGCGUCUUGUUUGGGGUGUUGUAUAUUGCGCCCUGCGCUUGGGUGUUGUUUGGUGUUGAACCUCUCGGUGGUUCUGAGGGUUUUGAACUGCCGAUCUAGGUACCCCUACCCUCCUUUAUAUACUCCAUGGGGCAGGAUAACUAGUCAGUUACAAGGAAGAGUUCUAGUAGGAAUAUGUAGUAUGAGUUCUAAUAGGAUUACAGAGGAAUCCUAGUAGGAGUCCGUCUUCUUCCUUCCUACUGGGGAUCUAUCCUCAACAAGCCCCCGAGUGCUUCAUAGUCGAAUGCAGCAGUAUUUGAGUAUUUUUUAGAUCCUCGCCGAGUAGUUUUAGUGCUCCUCGAGUACUUUGUCUGGCUGAAUCUUCAAAGUUUCUCAAAGCUGCCAUGAGGCUAUGGUGUGCUCAAAGUCUUUGAUCGUCUUGAUUAUGUAAUCUUCAUAUAUGGAGGGCGAUGAAAGUCACCCUCCAUAUGGAGUAGCCCCCGAGCCUUAGGUUGAAUCGUAGAAUCAGGCUGAGGGCCAAUAAAAUCUUGAAUUUUCUUCUUUCAACUUGAAAAAAUCAAUUAUUAGGUGUAACUUAUCAACCCCCGAGCCUUAAAAUGAUUGAAUAAUCAAUUCAAGGAUCUUGAAUCUUCACGCAAGUCAUCAUUUGGGUAGUUUUGCAGCGUCCAGCCCCUGAGCUUAUGCGCCAAGUGAGCCGUGUAAGUCACGUCGAGUAGUUAUUGGUGCUUAGCUCCCGAGCUUGGAAGCUAGCUGAGCUAUUGGAGAUAUUCCCAAGUAGUAAUUGGCGCUUAGCCCUCGAUCCUGGGAGCUAGCGGAGCCACUGAAAGUAUUUCCGAGUAGUAAUUGACGCUUAGCCCCCGAGUUUGGGAACUAACUGUGCCUUUGGAGGUACGCUUAGUGUCCUAUAGCGUCGUCGCCGAAACUUGACCUAAAAGAAAAGAUGCAUACAUUAUGUAGCAUAUUUGUAGAAUAUUGAAAACUACUGAAAUUUAUUCCGUGAUCAAUAUAAAUAUUUUGUUUCAUGCUCUUGUUUCGGCCAUAUUUCUCUCGAGUAGUUAGCCUGUGACGGCCUUGGACAAAAAAAUCCUUCGCGUCAAUCUUAAUCCGAGCCCCUGAUCACCUGUCUUAGUUUUUCCAAGCCUAAGUGCUCAACCUCCAGUCUGGUCCCGACCCCUGAGAAUCGACCCCUCCUUGCCGUUUCCCCAGUUCCGACCCUGCCGACCCCAACCCACCCUGCCGAAUCUUCUAAGUCUUACCACAACACCUCCUCCUUUCAAUCUGAGCAGUGGACCAACCGAGACUGAUCGGUGGACCUGCAAUCUUUUUCCCAGAUCUCCUGGUGCAGACGCACUCGAGUGGCAUGCUCGCUUCAGCGCUUUUCCGCCGCGUGGCUCAAUUCCUCCGACACCCGCCGCUCCGCCCUGUCGUCGGCCGCGACCAGGUGGAUUCCCGCGCCCCCUUUCCCCAAUUGCAGCGGAAGCCCUCUGCAACUUUUUUUGCAGCGCCUCGUCGCUCGCGCCCAUCAUCACCUCGCCGGACCCCUGGCUGCAAGUCCCGAUGUCUGCCGGUUUUUCCGUCGCCCCUUCACAGUCGUGCCGCCCAGGUCCGCGCUACGUGACGAUUCCUCCUCCGCCAACCCCGGCCCUGGUCGCGACAGCUCCUUUCCGCCCUGCCAUAUCUGCGCCCCGACAGAGUGUUGCUUCGCGUUCGCCCGCGCAGCAGCAGCCUGCCUGACCUCUCACCUGAGCAACCUCGCUUCUAGCGCCAUUCCCUCUGUCACAUCCAUCAUAUCCACCGCACGACGACGCCCACCUCCGCCAAAUCUCAACCACCGGCAAGCCCGCGCCUGCGGCGCCCUGACGUCAGUGCCCAAUGACCGUCGGCGUCAUCCCCGAAGUCCUGCUCCACCGCCCUCGUCGCUCAAUCGCCGCCCGGGCAGAGCACUCCAUUGCUUCUUCCCCGGCCUUCGCGCCGCUCCCCUUCUCACUCCCGCGCCGCUAUAAAAGGGAAUGCGCAAGCCCCGCCGAAGUUUCCCCUUGCCCUAGCUGCCAUCUCUCUUGCUCCCUGUUCGAGCUCACAGCGCCACCACCUAAGUCUGAGGAACUCUCCUCUCUGCUCAAGCACCAUCGCUUUUCUCCAAUCCACCAGCCACUGCUUUCAGUGCUGCCCAAGAGCUUGCUUGUGAUCCACAAGAAGCACCGCCGCCGCCGGACAUUCUCGCCGCCGUCCCAAGCCCUCAGUUCUUCCGCCCAAGCCUCCUCUGUAAGACGAAGGUAGGCUGCCGACCCUUGUUCGCUUCGCCCAACCCCUCUUAUCCACCCGACCCCGGUUCCGUCUCGCCCGACCCUGUCUGUUCUGCCGACCCUUGUUCGCUUCGCCCGACCCCUCUUAUCCGCCCGACCCCGGUUUCGUCUCGCCCGACCCUAUCUGUUCUGCCGACCCUUGUUCGCUUCGCCCGACCCCUCUUAUCCGCCCGACCCCGGUUUCGUCUCGCCCGACCCUAUCUGUUCUGCCGACCCUUGUUCACUUCGCCCGACCCCUCUUAUCCGCCCGACCCCGGUUCCGUCUCGCCCGACCCUGUCUGUUCCGCCGACCCUUCUCCGCCUCGUCCGAGGGCUCGGCUGUAUCUUUUUUCCUUGAAUCGAGAGUAUAUGUGUAAAACUUGGGGACCUUUCAGCAUUGAGUCUGAGGACCCCUAGCACACCAAAUCCUCUAGAUUAAGGGUCAGAUCAUAAGUUCCUUCCCAUCCGAUCCUUAUAUCGUGACCUCUACCAACCCAAGUACACUUCCCCACCUUUUUCCGAAGCCUUGCGACAAAAUCUUGGGCUAAACCUUGCAAGAGUUGCUGUUGAAAUAACCGUCUAUGCUAACUCUUGCAUUGCAUUUCGUGUAGAGCUGCGUCUCGCCGACGGCUACUAUGAGCUGCACCCGGCGCCAGAAGACGAAGCUGUAGCCGAGCUCCUGCCCCCAGAAGUCGAAGCUGCCCAAGCAGAAGAGCAGCUUUCUUCCUUCUCGCUUGAAGGCAAGCCCCGGAUGCAUGAAUCCCCUAUGUUUUGCCAAACUUGCACAUGCCUUCUUUAAACAUGCUUGUGCAUUUACGUAUAGGAGUUAUUUGGAACCAUAGAUGCAUAACCUAGCUCCCUUGAUCUGAACACUAGCUGUUGGACCGAGUAGAUGCUUUGCUCAAGUAGGAAGCGGUAAAAGCCGAGUGAUUUCCUGUCACUCGCGAGUUUAUAGGAGUUGGUUGAGCUCUCUUCUGUUACAACUGUAAGGACGAUGGACGGGGCAGGGUUUUGGGUAACUCUUUGGUGGUUGGCUGAUCGCCCCGUCUGUCUAUGAAACUUGCUAAGGCCCGACAGUGGUGGUGUUCGUGAUCAAGUGUUUGAAAGUAUUAACCUCAUACUUAUUAUGGGAUGAGGAAGCCUAGUACCGGAUUGAACCUAGACGUGAGCGGUCGCCCCAUUGUCCUUGGAACGGAGUUUCCCCUGCGGCCGCACGUGGUGGCAAGUGUGGUCACAGAACGGCAGAGGCCGGGUCUGUGGAAUCUUGCACCAAAGGAAAUAGGCCCGACACGGGCUAGGGAAUUGAUGGGGAAGGCCGACACAGGAAGCGACCCUCGGUGGUGCGCGGAUGUCGUGAGGUUAGGUUCACCAUGCAUGGUUAAAGAACUCGAAUCGAUUCGUCUGCCUCUCACAGUUUGAGACUGCUUGAUCGCUAUGCUACCCUGAGUAAUGAUGGAAUCUGAGGAUAACUUGGUCUCGAAGAUGUUAUAUACCCUCUGUUUGGUUCUAUGGUUGCUUAGAGUAAGUUGCUAACCUAGACCGGAUAAUGAACUUAGAACCUGAGCUAAAACUUGAAAAUAGGGAUCUACAUAGUGCUUUUGGCAAACAAACCCCUCAGCCAAAGAGCCUUGCAUGUCUAGAAGUGGUGGAGUAGUUACCCCCGGUCGGUUAAGUCUUGUUGAGCUUAGUAGCUCAGCCUUGUUGUGGCCUUUCUUUUCAGGUAAAGUUGCUGCUCCCGAGUCCUCCCCUGUUGGCACUUGGCCGCCCCAACUCCCUCCGGGUUGGACGGUCGAGUGGGAUCCCUCCUCGGACGGCGAGGAAAGGGAUCACUGACGUCUUGGCAGGCCUCACCAAGGACGUCCGACCCCGACGAAGUAGCUUCCGCUCGUUUUUGCCUUCUGUCUGUUUCUUUUGAACCUUGUAAAACUCUGAUGUUGGUUUUUAUGGCCGAACUAAAUGGUUAAGUUGUUUAACUCAGUGGACUUGUUGUAUUCUCUGGAACCACUCACCUUCGUGUGAGUUUGCUAACUCGGUCCUGUUCAAGUGGUUAAAUCGGAUGAAAUCCGACGGCACUUCGUGUUAACUUGGCUAAGGCAUGGGUGUCGCAUGUUAGGCGACUUAACCAUGUUUAAUCAAGCUAAUCCGAAGUGGAUCCGCCACAUAGCAUGUUGCGUUUAGGCUCUCGGUCUCUGUUUAGUCGUAGCCACUGCGUGGCGAGAUCUUUAUCUCUUGUAUGCGUACGGGCACUGCUGUUUGCACAGCUGAGAUCUUUGUCUCGUGUAUGUGUGCUAACAUUUAGGCAUGACAGAUGAUCCGAGACUUUCACGAAUUAAGGCGUGUUCUGCUUGAGAAGAUUAGUGACCUUAAGAGAAGACAAAAAUGAGUAGUCAACGUUGUGACAAAAAGAGAGCGUGAUUGCGCGCAAGAGUUUGCUGCCCUCCGAUGAGUAGAGCAUGUGUUGUGCACAAGAGUUUGCUUCCCUCCGGCGAAUAAAGUGCGUGUUGUGCAUAUAAGAUUUGUGCCUCGUUAGGGUGUAACCAUUGUGAGCCUCCAAUAUUUAGUGCAUCAAAUUUGUGGCUAUUGAAGGUGCCUCCAAAACUCAGUGCACCAAAUCCGUGGCUGUAGCCUUCGUAAUUUGGUGUACCAAGCCCGUAGCUGUCGGUCAACAUGCCCCAAGAAUAGUUAGCAAAGUGUAGCUCUGUAGGGUAAUUCCCGUCAAGAUGCGUACACAAAUAAGUAGUCGAUGCAUUUCCCUGCAUGCGGAAAACAAGCCGAAAAAUUUAUAAAAAUAAUUAAAAAAUGACUUAGCUUGAUUCGUGGACGAUUGUCGAGGAAGACGUGUCGAUUGUUGAUGAAUCCAACUAGCCGAAGUUGAUUCCGACUAGUUGUUGAUCACGUGGAACCCACCCUCAAUUUGUUUUCUAGUCAAGAUGAGUAGUUGAGGUUGUUGUUGAUGAGGUCGCAUGGUUGUUGGUGAAGCCGGCUAGUCGGAGUCGAUUCCGACUAGUUAUUGAUGGUGCAAGGCCUGUCCCGACUAGUUUCUAGUCAAGACGAGUAGUCAAAAUAGUCGUUGGCGAGCAUCACGACGUAUUUGAAGUAGUCGUUGGCGAGCUGGUGUAGCGGUCUUGCUCUUGUUAAAGUAGUCGAUUGCAUCGUCGAAGAUUUGUUGGUGUUGCCACAUAAGUUGAAGUUCCUUUAGUAGCCUUCUUGGUGCAUCGCAGUGUAUGCUUAGCAAAUAGGCAACUCAGCAGAUUGAUUUUUUCACCCGCACAAAAACAGAGGCAACAGUCGAUGCUCUGCUUCAUCUUCAUGCACGUAAUCAGGAGAUUCUAGCAUCGAUCCUAUAGCUGAUUUGAUCCUAUACGUGCUGCAACUUUGGUUGGAAAUCGACACGCAGUAAUCCAUUCGAGGUUCAAGUUCGAUUUCAACUUGAACUCGGUCUUGGAGUAUGCUGACUCUGUAUCGAACUCGAUGAUGCACGUGAGUCGGUGAUUGCUUCCUCCGCAGAUUCUCACGACAGUGCAAUCAUGGAAAUUAGAUUGGAUAGGAACACGAAGUCGCUUGGAUCUGCCUUGGAGUUGAUGCACUUGCAGCGCAGUGGACUCUGAGACAGAAAAGGAUUCAUGUUGGUCCUGCCUCGGAAACCGAUCCAGAAACCUUUGUGGAAUCGCUCCGCACCAGCCACCUGACGCGAACUUUUUUUUUCUUUUUCAGCCAACGAUGAUGGCGGCGAAUCUAUUGGCAAUGGAUGUUGAUUUUGUCUGCUUCGAUCUUCAACUCGAUGAAUUGAUCCGCCGAUUCAUCUGCACAGAGUGCCAACACAUCGUGUCGAGUAGAUUGAUCUUGAGAAUAGGUACUUCAAACUCUCCUGAUGAUCUCGACGAUCACCCCUACCUAGUGCGCCAGAUGUCGGAGUUUUAUAUCGGCAACCUACAGAGAGAGUUUCCGAGGUAGUAGAUUGGUUGGUGGGGAAUCGCCGAACCUAAAACUUGAAGGUCAAAGCGAGGACACAAGACACGGAUUUAUACAGGUUCGGGCCGCCAGAGUAGCGUAAUACCCUAUGUCCUGUUUGGGGUGUUGUAUAUUACGCCCUACGCUUGGGUAUUGUUUGGUGUUGAACCUCUUGGUGGUUCUGAGAUUUUUGAAUUGCCGAUCUAGGUACCCCUGCCCUCCUUUAUAUACUCCAGGGGGCGGGAUACCUAGUCGGUUACAAGGAGGAGUCCUAGUAGGAUUAUGUGUUAUGAGUCCUAAUAGGAUUAUAGAGGAAUCCUAGUAGGAGCCCGUCUUCUUCCUUCCUUGCGAGUACUGGGGAUCUAUCCCUGACACCGCCACCCCCCUCGAGUUCCCUCCACAGCCGAAUCGACAAAUCGAGCUCCAAAUAAGGUAAAUCAAGCUCCAACUACAUGGUCUCCUCACGCCGUCAUCUCCCUUCCAUGGCGGCACAGUUCGCCCUCACCCAGGGCAACGGCCGAACAGGCGGGAGCUGGUCAGCUAGAGGUGGCGGAGCAAAAUUGGGGAUGUGGAUGGUGACGGUGAGCUACAAGGUGGGAUCCGGUGGCUAGAGAGGUGAGGCCUUGUGGGCGACAAGGUUAGCAGUGAGGUCCGGCCGUCAAAGGAGUCACCGUCCGGGGAAAGCGCGGUGGCGCGCGCGGGUGCGGAGAAGUUCCGAGCAGGCAGUUGGCGCUCCCGUGCUCAUGCUUCCAGUUUUACCAAUUCAGAGUUGGAUUGGUAUAUUUUCAUAUUGGAGAGAGAAACUUAGGUCAUAGCCUAAAACUUUUAGGUAUAGCAAUCCAUAUAGUGGAGAUGCUCUUGCUCCAAAUAAUCUUAGACAGAUACAUGAUGUGUAUCGAUAAUGCGUGCUCCAUGGAAAGAAGCCACUUGAAACCUUGUCUUCUUCUGCCAAAUUCCUUAUUGGGCGCGCGAGCGUCGCUAGCUGCUACCGAUGAACGACACGCGGCACCCAUUGUGCCCACGCACGUGACCCAGAGGGGUAGCCUCCUUGUGCUUUUGUUGCCACCGCUCAUCUCCCAAGUCUCAAAUCCCAUCGCCCCUCUGUAAAAACAGAUUAGCGCCACCGGCCAUCACCGGCUGGUGAGAUCCUGCUCCUAGUAUUGGAGGAGUCUGAUUAGGGUCUUUAGGGUUUGGGGUUUGGGGAUUUGGGGUUAUGAUGUCCGACGAUAGAGAGAAGGCUGCUGGCGGCGGCAUGUCCGGUAGCAGCUGCGGGCUACGGGUGGCAAGGUCGGGUGGCGAUGGCGCCACCGGCUGGAUGGUGGAGGACCCUCGGUGGGCGGUGCCGGCGGCGGGGGCGACGAAGAGAAGCGGUUAGGAAGGGUUGGGGAGGAGGUGGCGGCGGGAGGUGGGUGGAGUAGCACGGUCGCCACCGGUCGUGGUAGGUGGUGGAGGUCGGCGGAGCUGGGGUCAUCCGGCUGUUUGAGGGAAGAAAUUUGAAGGAGGAAGAAAAAUAGGAGGAGGAAGAAGAACGGUAUCUUCGGUCGCCGCUAACAUGUAGCAGCGAACGCUCGCCAACUAAUGGCCCCGGCAUAGCGGGGCUAGGAAGUGAGUACAUGAGAAUAUAAAAAAUGUAAUUAGCGCUGUAGCGGUUUGACAACCCGGAGUCCACACCAUGUCCAUGUUCGAAAAGUCGAGACAGACCUGAUAUCUCUAGGCGUGUCAGCUACGAUGAACUGGUUUGUCAAGCAAACAUGACAUAAAAAGUAUGACGAUUGCUAUUUGAAUCCACACACUCACACUCUUCCGUAACAAGGUGGAUCAGAUGGGAGCAUAUUCUGCAGAUCAUCCAAAACCCAUUUCGUUUUCAGCAUGUAUCACUCACUCCCUUCUUCCAUUCAUGUUCCCUAGAAUAUCCAGUUGGGAUACCUCAAAAAGCGGAGAGCCAUCACAUGAUCCCUUGAGCUGAGCACACGCCACUUGCCAACUCCAACCCCCUCUUCAAUCACAAAGGAUCCCUUCACGUUCAGACGACGAGAAAGUUGGGCAAUGCAUCCCAUUGCAACAACAUUUUGACGUGCCAAAAAGGACAGCAAAAUCCAUGCUAAUUCCGACACGAAACGGCGGCCAUCUGGGUGUGGCUAUUUUUUCUUAUGCGUUUGGAGACCUGAAACUCCAACUAGGAAUACCUUGACAUGCUUUUCCGGUGGCCGGAAAAGAAAGGCUGUGUCACGAAGGGAAAAGGAGAGGCCAGUGUUGUUGCGCCGCCUGCACUUCCAGCGGUGUGUGCAACGGCCAUGUGGAAGGGAUAUUCUGCAGGCGAUCCCCGGAUCCUGAAAAGGAUGGGUGCACUUUCAGGGGUAGGGAGUGCAGGAGUGCUGGGGGGCUUUGCAUCGUGGGCGCUGGUUUGUUGAACUCGGGAAUAUCGGGUAUAUCCCCCUCCCAACAAGAGUUGGUUUUGUUACCAUUUUAGGUUAGAUCUCAUGUGUUUUUUUCGUUUCCUUUGAGGCUUCUAUAGUCAAUUCAAUAUUUUCACUAAACCGAAAGAUUUCUCAUGUUUCGGGCUGUAAGGAAAAUGAUUCUAGGCCAUAAUGAUUUUGGUGAUUAAUGACAACGUAGUCAUUAGGACUAAUGUGUUUACAAGAUGUACCUUUAUAGGUAUUUUAUAGGUCCCAAGGAUGAAUUACAAAACCAUCAAAGCGAGAAGAAAAAGAAAGACUUAGAAGAAUUCUACGACAUCCAAAUGAUAGUAAAAAAUCCAGAAAUAGCCUUAUUCGAAGGCUUACAAAUGAUGGUAAUGAAGCCGGGACAAAGACACGCAUAGAUUUGAAGCGAAUCCUACUGAAAAUAUGCACCAACACAUUCCACCGACUCAUACUCUGGUAACAAUAACCAUGACCGAUUCAGUCGGUGACCACAGGCAGGACCAAGGUAGACGCGUGCACUAUUACCACCGAUUCAUACUCUGGUAACAGUAACCAUCACCGAUUUAGUCGGUGACUACAGGCAGGGCCAAGGUAGGCGCGUGCACUGUUACUAUCGAUUCAUACUUUGGUAAUCAGUCGGUGAUCAUCGGCUCGGCUCAAAAUCAGCUCUAGGAGGUUUGGAGUAUAAUUUGGGUCUCACCGAUUUAUACGGUGACUACAAUAACCAUGGCAGCGAAUGAGUCGGUGAUACGCAGAAAGUUACAACGGCUAUGUAACGGCUAGUUCUUGGAGCUGGGGCUAUAUAUACCCCAUUUCCCGGGUAUUUGAGGUGUGUUAGAGCUUGGAGAACCUAUAGACUUGGUUCUCACAUACACACAAGUGCUUUAACCACCAAAGUGCUAAAGUAAAGAUUAAGACAAUUAGCAUAAGGCUUAGGUCUUGAUUAGUGCUAGUUUAAGCCUAUUAGAGCAUUUAUUUAGGGUUUAUCCUAGAGUUAGGCAAAGUUUGCACACUUCCAUUGUAUCGGUGCCUGCACGCACCAAGAGUUGUAAAUCCAGGACUUGUAAGUCUUGCGAGACCCUCCAACCGCGUUUGUGGAGUGGCCGUCGGUGCUUGUGAGAGGGAGUAGAGGCCCUCGGUGUUUUGACGAAUCUCUACCAAGUGAAGAGCGGCAAGAAGCAUCCGGUAAAAGUUAGGCGGAGACCCACUUGCGCGUGGAAAGGCCCGUCGACUAUCCUACGGAAUUACUUGACCGGGUAGUUUAUGCCCUUGCGCAGGCAUUCCCUUUAAGGGGGGGCUCCAACAAUGAGGACUAGUAGAAAGCUUUGCUUUCCGAUACCCGGUAAAAAUUGCCGUGUUGUCACGCGGGAGUUUUUCUUCUCUACCUCAUUUAUUUUCGUAUUUUUUAUUGCACUUACAUUUUUACGUUUACCUUUAUUAAAUGCAUAGUUUAUAGGAUUGGAACCUAGAGUACAAAACUCUUUUGCGGUACAGAUAGCAACACAUAGAAAAAUCUAGUGCACGUCUAGAUAGAAAUUAGAAUAGGUUUUUAUAUGUGCUCGGAGUCUUAGUUUUUAGAACACCUAAUUCACCCUCUCUUUGGGUGUCACGAUCCCUUCACGGUGUCGCAGGGAAUUGCUUAAUUUUGCAAGCUUUCUCAUUUUUGUUCGUAUUCUAACACAUAUUUUCUUAUCUAAUACUUUAGUCCUCGGUUACAAGAUGUUCCAUUCCUAUUCAUAUUUUCUUUUUUGCAUCGCGCCUCAAUGUAUAUUUGGCAUCCGUUUAGUUGAAACGGCAGCUAUGUGUUUGACAUGGAAAUAGAUAUGCUUAGCGCUUUUCACAAACAUGUAUAUAUGGUAUAUAUAUGCCUUAAGUUAGUAUUUUUCUACCUAAUAAUGAUAUAAGUGAGUAAUUUAGAAACAUAUAUACAUGAUGUAGGUACUUUGGCUAAUUUUUAAUAACGCCAAAUGUGGACAAUUUAGAAUACAAAAUUAGAAUGUUGCUUUGGAAUAUUUGUUGUGAAUUUGUGAAAUUAGGUAAAGAUUCAUGUGUUAAUAUAUUAUUUUUAUAAUAGUAAAAGUUGUAUAAUCUAAAUAUAAUUUAGGGAGUUAUUUUUAUAAUAAUAGAGAUAGAUACUAUUUUACAAAACAUAAUAGAUAUUUUUUCAAGCCAAUAUCGUGACAAUCAUCGUGGAAGCUGAACUUAAAUUUGUUCACAUUUCCAGAAACUCGGAGCCGAGACGCCAGCAAGAAGUCCGUGAGAUGAAAGUAGGAAAUUUCUACCAACGACAAGUGUGAAUCCCAGAGCAAUCAUGCUAAACAAAUGAAAGGCCGACUUGACGUGGCACGGGAAGGAAGAACCCAAUCGGCAAUCGCCUCCGUUUAGCUCCAUUAACCGGUCAAUUUACUGGCUGAUUGAUUUACUUCCACCGUGAGUUAGGUCCGCAUCAUUUCACGCGAGUAAACGUCGAUCACGGCGAGGAAAUGAAAAUUCGAGAGCCCAACCGAAGGCUUCAGUUCGCACCACUUGAGAAGAAAAAAAGAGGAAAAAGGCGAGCUCGUAAAGCGGCAGGACGGAAUCCCAUUAGCGCAGCGCAAUGAGGCCCGCUCUCGAUUAAAGAAGCCAAAAGAAUUGAGUGUGGCACCGGAAAGGCGAGGCCUUUGCGCUUGCGCACCGUAGAAAUUGUUGCCGGCACCCCCACCACGGCCACUCGAGCAGCCGCCGAGCACCCAGCAAGAACCUCUCUAGGCUUUGACGUCCUCACUGCCACUUGAAAUAUCGGUGGGCACGACCACUCCAGUGUUCCACUGCUCCGUGCUGUGAUUUGGUGCGACUUGGUGGUGGCGGUGUGCGUCUUGGCUUCGGUUUCCUUUCUUGCUUCCUUGGAGGAUUUGGAACCGUUGGAAUUCAGGAGCUUGCUGGCCAUGGUCGAAGGGUUCGGGGAUGGAUUGAGGCUUGGGGGAAGAGGAGGGUAGCUUCCUCUUCUUCGGUGAUCGGGUCUGGGUUCGUGGGAUCGCGGGAGGAAGCAUGGCGGCGGGUGGGAAUUGUCACAGGUAUGGAUGCCAUUUCACCCGGCCUCGAUUUUGGUUCCUGGUUUGGAUGUUCAUUUCGCAUUCUGUUGAUGGCGCGCCGCCGCUCCCCCGGCUUCCCCGCCUCUAGCGGUGGCGCAACCGCUGCUCCUCCCCCUCUCCUGCCGCGGUGACUACCAGCCGCGCGAUCGUUGUUAAAAGAGCACGCGGCGGCCUAGGUGGCAAACUUCGCUACUUGUAGUUCUGUCAUAUCUCAGCGUGAAAAUUUGGGUAUCGCAGAUGUCAUGUCGUUAGCUCUUUUUUUGUCGAUUGAAAGCGAAAUAUCUGAAUUAUUUGUUGGCUUUGAAGUUUGUGGGAUUGGAUGAAUUUUUUCAUUUUUCAAUUAUUGGAUAGGGUGCUAAGGUUUAGUUUGACCCCAUCUUUGCUUGUUUUUAGGAGGAAGCGACUAGUAUGGAGUGGUAAUUUGUUGUAUUUGAUCUGUUUGGGAGGCCUGUUCAUUGGAUGGGUUGUCACUUAGCUGCUUAUAAGUGAUUAGAUAUCGAACUGUAUGUGGCGAAAUCGGUAGACGCUACGGACUUGAUUGUAUUGAACCUUGGUAUGGAAACCUGCUAAGUGAUAACUUCCAAAUUCAGAGAAACCCUGGAAUGAAAAAUGGGCGAUCCUGAGCCAAAUCCCUUUUUUGAAAAAAAAAAGUGGUUCUCAAACUAGAACCCAAAGGAAAAGGAAGAUUUGUCGUUACCAUUUUUACUAGGAAGAAUCUAAACUACAAGUCAAGUUCACAAGUUGACAUUUGUUAACUAAAAAACUAGGUUCCCAUGAUCCGAACUUGUUUGUCUGAUAGGUUCUUCGAUUCAAUAAAGUUUCUAGGUUAUUUUAGGGGCUUCCAAUGUGAAGUUUUGGUUUUUGUGAUCUAGAUUUUUCGAAUCAUCCACUCUAUCUUCUUUGGAUGAUUUGGUUUUUGCAUGCCCCAUCUAUUAGAGUAUUAGUGCUUCAGCAUGAACUUGAAGAAGUUUCAUUGUACUGAAAUACCUAUUUUAAUUUGACCUUGCGGUGGAAAAGGGACAUACUAUUUGUUGUAGAUUUACAUCGAUCAGAGAAAUAACAUUUACAUGUUUACAUAUGUGUGUGUGUUCAUAGCAAGUGAAGGUCUGUACUUCCAAUUUCUGCUGCUACUUUGGUAAUAAUCUUAAUUUCCUUAAUAUAACAGUUUCGCUUACCCGUCCCUUAGAUUCAUAUGUUUUCUAUUUUGUCAGUUUGAACUGACUUUUUAAUUCUUAGGUAUUUUAGACUAGUCAUUAUGGUGUUUUGUAAACAAAAUGUGAAUUUAAACAAAGUGGCAGAAAAGAAUUUGACGGGUUUUUUUAUCAAUAAUUAGUAUUUUGUUGCUACUGAACAAUCAAUAAGACCAGUGAUGUCACGAAACUUAAAGGAACUUUUUAUUUGAGCUUGGUUUUAUUCUGAGAAAAAAAGGUAGCUUCUUCUGAUCUGUUUCUUAUUUAUUAUGCUAUAACUUUUAAUUUUGAAACAGUUUUAACUUUUCACUAUGUUUAUUCUGACAAACUCCAUCCCUGGAAAUAGCCUAGUAUAGUGAGAAAUUGAGGGCAUUGGCUACUGCCUUCAUCCUUAAAAGUCUGAUCUUACCUGAUCAGUAUAUUUUCUGAAGCAUGGAAUUUUUUUUUCCUCUUUGUGGGCUUGCUUGGUAUUAUUUUUGUAAUAAGAUGAACAUUUGGACUAAUCUGUCUUUAUAUGGUUUCAGGGUCUGCUGAUCUUUGCAAUCGGUUCGGAAAGACCACUCUAUUCUGUGAUCGCAUUAUAAGUGAAGCCCUCUCUGAUGAAAAGCUGUAACCUUGGUUGUUUUCUUGAGUACUGGUCACCCAGAUGGUAGCAUAUUCUCUUCUGUGUGAUUGUGCUUGAUUGUGGAUUGAUGCUCCUGGUCACUUAAGUCCUCUGAUCAUCCAGAGAAUACCUUCUGGCAGCUGGCAUUUCCUCUAUUGGAAUUACCACCCUUCACAAGAAAGUCCUUGUUUUAGGGCAAAUCUCCUUUGGCAAACAUAGUUCAGAGUUCAUCACUUUGUCGGUUUAUCCUGAGCUGUUACUCUGAUUGAAUGAAAUAUCAGCAGCAAGAUACUUCUAAAUGACCCCCCUUAGAAAUCCCUCAUUUAGUUUGGUGGAAGUUUCAGAAGGUUCCGUUCCCGUUCAGGUUUCCUCCGUCGUGUAUUAGCUGAUUUGCUGGGCAAAUCUCCUUUGGCAUUACUUACUGGUUCUUUUGGGCAAAUCUCCUUUGGCACUCCAGAUCUCUCUGUGGGCAAAUCUCCUUUGGCACUAGUUUUAGUUCUAGCUUUAGUUUCAGGCUGCUCUUUGGGCAAAUCUCCUUUGGCAAAAAUACUACCUUAUUUACUAUUUUGGGUAAGUCUCCUCCAGCUGUUAGUAGCAGCAGCUAUAUCAGGGUAAUUCUCCUUUGGCAUUAACAGUCAAGUGUGCUGGCUGUGUGAACACAACCUCUACCAAAAUAUCAAGAAGUACUUCUGGACGGUGGAAGGUAAUACACCGAUUUCCUUCAACGUGACAUUUUGUGGUGCCCACAAAGUUAUAACGGUCAUGCGUUUGUUGUAGUCCAAUGAUCCAUAACUAGAGGUACUUAAAUCAUAGGACAUGUAUUAACUCAAAAUUAGAAAAUAAGGGUAGAGAGAAAUUCUUAUCCAAUCCUCUCAUGGUUAAUUUAUUUGUGGUUGAGAAGAUGAAGACAAAUUUUGCCAUCAACAUCAGUAGAAGGCUAAGGGGCCAUACAGAUCAUGGGAGUGGAUAGGUAAUAGAUUAGCCUAUUACAUAAUAUCAUAAUGAAAACGCCUCCAUAAGGUUUUCCUGCCAUUCCUCAUGUGGUUGAUAUAAUCAUGGUUUUUCAGUUGUCAUGGCGGAAUGGAAGGGCACCAAAAAGGAAAUAAGCAUAUGGAGCAACAAAAACUCCAAUGCCAAUAGCAGAACUAAAUGUUAAAGAGAGAAAUCAUGAGCACACCAAGGGUUUUAACAAUUUGGAACUGUUACUUUGACAAAAAAAAGGGACCUAAAUUAUCCUUAAGUUAAUUAACCUCUGGGGAAAUGUUUGGUGUUCUUUAGGUGCUGGUACCUCCCAACACAUUGCAAACACCGUAAAAAGAUCUAGUUCUAUAUUCUUUUGUCUCGUUAUGAUCUCUAAUCCUCCUAUAUUGCCUUUAUUUUCUGCAGGAAUACUUGGCCAGCUGCCUUGGUAUAUUGCCAUUCCAAACGUCAACUUGCAUAUUGUUGGUUGUUCUUGAGAUUACCACGUUAUCCAUACAGUACACAACUUAUUCUAAGAAGGUGAGAAUUCAUUGAAUCCAACAUGUCUUGACAAGGUUGCCUUUUAUACCGUAUGAAAUGACCAAGAGUGGUGUUGCAGGACUUGCAAUCAUGGACUUGUUUGCAAUUGACUCGGAUAGUGAGUCAUAUAGUGGGACCAGUGACAGCGAAGACCAAGAAGAAUGUGAAUUUACGUACAGUGACCAUGCCCAAAAUAUCUUGUCCAGCCUGGACGAGAGCAUUGGCAAGAUCGAUAAUUUUCUGACUUUUGAAAGAGGGUUUCUGCAUGGGGACAUAGUCUGCCCUGUUUCUGAUCCCUCAGGUCAGCUUGGACGCGUUGUUGGUGUUGCAAUGUUUGUUGACUUGGAGACAAGCUCUGGUGACAUAAUUACAGAUGUAAACAGCAAGAAGCUAUCAAGAGUGAGAUCCUUCGUUUCUGGGGACUGCGUCGUUAUGGGACCAUGGAUUGGACGGGUGAUCAGAGCAUUUGACCUUGUUACUCUUUUGUUCAGUGACGGGGCGAAGUGUGAAAUGCUGGUAAGGGAUUCUGAGGCACUGAAGCCCAUUCCUCCUAUUCUUUUUGAAGAUGCACCUUAUUUUUACUAUCCCGGUCAACGUGUGAGGAUUGUCCAACCCUCGAUUUUCGAGUCAGCAACAUGGUUGUGUGGAUCAUGGAGGGCCAAUAGAGAUGAUGGUGUUGUCUCUCAUGUAGAUGUUGGGCUGGUGCAUGUGAACUGGAUUACAUCUGUGACCAAUGUUUGGGGAGAUAAAUCAUCAAGUCCUGGAAACAUUCAGGAUCCAAAGAACCUCACUUUGCUGUCAUGCUUCCCUUAUGCUAAUUGGCAACUGGGUGAUUGGUGUGCUCUUACAUCUGAUGACCAUGGAUGUCUGUGGAUGGAUUCUGGGAAGUCUUGCAUUCUUAGUAAAGCCUGGAAGUGCGACUCUCAUGGGCACAUGCGUUUGGAAAAUUAUAGUUCAGGUUAUUCUCAAACAUAUAUUGUCUCCAAGACAAAGAGCACUGUUGAUGUUCUAUGGCAAAAUGGAAGCAUAUCUCUUGGUCUGGAACCCCAGACACUGGUUCCUGUGAGUACCCUUGGCGAUUAUGAUUUUUGGCCAGGGCAAUUUGUCCUGGAGAAACUGGCUGUUGAGGAUUCUGCAAGAUGUCAACGAACUGGGAUAGUGAGAGAUGUGGAUGCACUCGAGCGGACAGUAAAUGUAAAAUGGAUUAGUCCUGCAGGCAGUGACGCUGUCAGCUAUGGAAGAAGUGGCCCUACAGUGGAGACUGUGAGUGCUUACGAACUGGUAGAGCACCCAGAUUUCUCCUUCUGCACUGGUGAGGUUGUUAUCAGGUCAGCUGUGAACAUAGACAAGUCUGAAGCAGAUCUCACAAAUGGGUCAUUAGCAAGCAGGGAAUCAUUGGAUACCCACUCUGACUUCUUAUCAUGCAUCGGAAAUGUGCUUGGGUACAAGGAUGAUGGAAUCGAAGUCCAAUGGGCUAAUGGUGUGAUAUCCAAGGUAAGCUUAGCUUUAGCUCUGCCACUAUCUUCUUAAGUGCUAGUCCUGGAUCCUGGUCAUGUUUGGUCAAUUGUUUACUUUCUUAAGCUGUGUUCUUUGUUGAUUCUUAUAUAUCAGUAAUAUUUUCUGAUCUUCUUUUGAGUUUGAGAUAUGUGCCUCAACAUACUAUGUAACAGAUCUCUCUCUUGUCCAAUGUCAGGUGCAGCAUUUUGAAAUAAUUGGAUUGGAUAAGCUUCUUGAUAGUUCACUAGAAUCGAUGCAUGAGGAACAUGCUACCGGUGAUUCAGUAGACGUGGCUGAGCAGGAGGAAAUGCACCAUGAAAAUGCAAACGUCUGUUUCUCUCUCUAUCCUGUAUGAAACCAAUUAUGGAUCUUCACCUUUUUAAAAUUACUAAGAGAUGACAGAACAUUUUUUAUUCAGAUUGCUCUGGAGUCUACUGACUGCACUGGUUCCUUGUGCAAAGCCACUGCUUUUCUCUUUCCCAAGACAGCUUUUGAUUUCCUGACAAAUGUGGCUACUAGUUUGUUUGGUACUCAUGGUUCUCCAUCACCAAGCUCAGUAAGUUCCAUUUAUCUCUUCAAAAUAAGACUUUUUUUUUUCAGAAUUCUAAGGUGAAGUUUUUCUUCCAGGUUGUGGUAGAUCCUCAAUAUCAAAUUAUUAUGACGGCAGAAAUGCAGACAUCUGCAGACGAAUUGCCAGAAGAAAAACUGACUGUGGAGCUGGUGGCAAAGAUUGAGAAGCCAAAUCUCUCUUCAGAAGAUAACAUCUCAAAAAGAUUUGAUGUGGUGACUGACUGUUCAGAUCAUCACUUUGUGAAGGAAAGUGGCCAUGAAAAUGUAAUGCAUCUUCUGAAGCUUUCAGUUUCAUUUUGUUUCAAGUGAUAGCCGUUGGUGCCUACAGAGUAUUCUGUGUAAUGAUGGUUAUUUUCUAUCCUCUUAGGUUACAAGAGGUUGGGUGAAGAAGGUCCAACAAGAAUGGACGAUCCUGCAAAAUGAUUUACCAGGUGCUCUUUUCUGUUGUUUGUAGUUUAUUCAAUCAGAGCACUUUCUGUAACUGAUUCCUGUUUUAAAUGUGAAACUUCAGUAGCUGUCUAUUUCACUUGGUAUUUCUUAGAGAUAGUUGGAACUAUUGGUAGUCAAUAUGUACCAUGACGUUGUGUGCUUGCAUACAUGCAUUGGUGUCUAAGGCUAGGUGUAAGUCAAAAUACUCCAAACUCCACAGGAUACUGGAACACUAUUUAUUUUGAAGGAAAUCGGCAUUCCUUCACUGGAUGAAGGAAAGGUUUCAAGGAUGAAAUCUAGCUGAAAGAACACAGAUUCAAUGAUCUCUUAAGCAGUCAGUUCUUGCUUGGCUUGAUGCUCUAGACUAGACUGCUGCUUCUCCUUUAGAUCCCUCAGUUACAAUUUUUCCCCUUUUGUUCGGGCCCAAGGGCCUUUUCUAUGUUUUUUUUUUGGAAAAGGAAGCCUUUUCCAUGUAGGGUUUAUAUUCUUUCCUUCUAUAAUAUAAUAUAUCUACCCCUGUUUUCCUUUCCAAAAAAAAAGCAUGCAAUUAUUCCAUCUCAAGCAGUUACACUUAUUCAUAUCCAUUCAUGAGUACUGAAAAAUCAAUUAGGUGUAGUAUGUGUAGUGUGUAUGGGCUUGUGCAUAUUCAGUGUAAAGUAAGCUGUUAAACUGCUACUGCACUACAUGAACAAUUGGAAACAUAAUGAUGGUGGGUAGCACAACAAUUCUCUUUGGAGGUUCUUGGCCUUGGUUGACGAAAAAAAUAUUUGCCACCUAUUACUAAGUGAUCAUAAUCUUAUCAUUGAUGCAAUUAAAAAAAUAAGUUAUUCUAUUUUAUUAGAUGUAGUAAAAAAGACCUAGACCAACCUAGGAUGAACUAGGUGGGAAAUAGGCACCCAAAUUUGCGUCUAUAAGGACAUGAACUUGUGUGGUCUGUGUUUUACUGAGCUAGGCUCAGUUCAUUAGCAUUAAAUGCAGUAAGUCCAUCUAAAAAGGUGAUGGGAUAUAUUUUGACGAUUAUAUGUAUGCUUUGUUUCAACUAUGCAGAUGGUAUUCAUGCAAGAGUUUUUGAGGAAAGGAUGGAUCUUCUGAGGGCUUGCAUUGUUGGGGCAGCUGGAACACCUUAUCAUGAUAAUCUUUUUUUCUUUGAUAUUUUCUUUCCUCCUGACUAUCCCCAUGAACCACCUGUAAGUUCUUCCAUCUAGUCUCUACUGUUCUUGCAUAAAUCUUCCGGUUCUUUUUUUAUCAAAUAGUAAAGAACUCUGUAAAUUUUCUUUUCAGUCUGUUCACUACCACUCUGGUGGUCUCCGCCUGAACCCGAAUUUGUAUGAGUCGGGAAAAGUAUGCCUCAGCCUUCUGAAAACAUGGACAGGAACUGGUAACGAAGUGUGGAAUCCAGAGAACUCGACUGUUCUUCAACUGCUGUUAUCCCUUCAGGCCCUUGUUCUCAAUGAAAAACCUUAUUUCAAUGAGGCGGGCUAUGACAAAUUUUUGGGGAAGGCUGAUGGAGAGAAGAACUCCAUCACUUACAAUGAGAAUGCUUUCCUGCUGUCAUGCAAAUCCAUGAUGUAUGUUUUGCACAAACCACCAAAGGUAUGCCAUCAGCUCUGAAGUUUUCGUACUGAAUAAUCUCUGAAAACUUAUUACUUUUUAUGCAUCUACUUCAACAGUUCAUAUGCUUCAACUGAACUCGUAAGUCCUAUCCAACUAGAAAAAGUAAAUAGUGCUUCUGAAGUUAGAAUGCUAUGAGUUGAGUAAUGUGUCAAUCUGUACUGUUUUAGCUAAGUUCUGCUGUAUCGCUCAAUCUUAAGAAGAUACAUAUUGAUGUAUUUCUCCCUUUUUCCAAAUUCAGCAUUUUGAGAAGUUGGUCAAGGAGCACUUCACUUGUCGCGCCCCAUGCAUUCUGGAUGCCUGCGAGGCUUAUCUUGGUGGUGAUCUCGUUGGACAUGCACACGACAAAGCAUACAUAUCAGAGGAUGGCAGCAAGAGCUGUUCAACCGGUUUCAAGAUUAUGCUUGGUAAGCUUCUGCCGAAGCUUGCCGCUGCCUUCUCUGAGGCUGGAAUCACCAGCGGCCAGUAAACUAGAGCAAGCCUGCUCCCUACACUGGCUGUAUAUAUAUCCAGCGGCCGGAUUUUAUCCUUUAUCUAAAAAAAGCCUGCUCCCUACAUCAGUAAUGAAAUUGGGACCCUUUAUCAGUAAUUAUUGUGUGUUUGCUGAUGCUUGUGUAUUCCAAAUAAAAUGCUGCCUGGUGUAUGUGUUACUUUUGUGUGUCUUGUAAAUGUGGAACGGUAUAUACGCAUGAUUGCGGAACUGAUAUUGUUAAGCUAAAGGCAGCUCCAGUGUGGAGUGCCUGGGUUUGGGUUGUAAUUCUACAUUGAGACUUGAGAGUGAAAAAUAUGUAAAUGUGUGUUCUUUAAAGGUUUGUCUAAAUUAUUGACAGUGCAGUUGUAUAUAUAUUUGCUCGUACUGCACUCUGAAAUUAAAUAAAAAAGGCAACGUAUCAAAGGGCAAAUCCGGCAGCGUCGUCGGUCUCAAUAAAUUCCAAGUUUUAAAACGAACAUGUGUUUGGGGGAAAAAGUUGGAAACAUUUCUCUUAAUUUCUUACUGCGAACUCUAAAUUUGUGUACCCUAAAUACAUGCACUGUCAAGACAUAUUGUAUGGGGGAUUUAACAAAAUUAAUUUGAUGUUACAAAUGUUGUUAUAUUUUUUCUAUAAACUUAGUCCAAAUCAGAAAAGUUUGACUUACAACAAAACCAAAACAAACCUACAUUUUAGAACAUAAUGAGUAAUUCAGUUUUUAAAAUCCAUUUGGAGCUCUAAAGAAAAGGAAAAACUAUCAUCAUCACUCUCAAACCCUUAACAGCUUCUUCAUUCAUGUCGGUUUUCGACGAACUAGUGGCUAAUUUCUUAGAGAUAAUAUAUUUUUAAAAAACUUCAUAACUGUGUCUUGUUUUUAGUGUUUUAUUUAAUUUUCUAUGCAGAUAGAAACGCACCAUGUCAGUUUUAAGUCAAAUUUGAGCAGUUUUGAAGGAUUUAUAAGAAGGUGCGUACCUGUAUGAAUCAUAUUUCUCAUCAAGAGUCAAUAAACUUAAUAGGCGUGCCAUUAAUGCGACAAAGGUGAACAUGAGCCAAUAGUGUUUUACUUGUUAACAAAUUUUGAAUAAAGGCUAAAAUGAGAUACAGUGUUUUACUCCAUGUUUUUAUACUCCAAACUUCGCUUGAUGGUAAAAAAGGAACACCUCCUCUUAAUUAUCAUAACCAGCUAAACAAAAGAUUAGGACUAAAAGUUAACUCCUUGUAAGUUAUGUAUAUCAACUUCUAUCUUACAUUUUCAUGCUUCUUCCAACUCUUGCCAAACAUGGAAAUGGAUACGAGGGUUUAAGAUAUAUUUACUCAUUUUAAAAUGUUUGUUUUGAUUUUAUCCUAAGUCAAACUUAUCUAAAUUUAACUAAUUUCAUAGAAAAUUAUAUAUUUACAUCUAGAAAAAAAAUCCAUUUUUUUAAUCAUUGCUUGAGUCUCAUUUUGCCCGUCUAAUUCUAAAACUAGAAAUUUUCACCUAACUAUCAAAACCGAACGAAUUGGCUGUCAAACUGGUUCCAAGGUGGAUUUCACUGGUUUGGACGGCAAGUGGCACUAGGCCCACCCGUCAGGCAUCAUCGUUAACCAUCCUUUUCUUUCUCCAUAUGGUGGCUCGGAUUGGCGCUGAUUGAUCGCAUCGCUCAAAGGUCAUCAUCGGCCCAAGCUCCGCCGGCAUUUGCCCUCCUUGCCGACCAUAGCGGGCUCACGUUUCUCAUGGUGACAUGCUCAAUUCAUUGGGAGGGGGGAGUAUAAAAAUGACUUGGGCCUACUACCAUGUGUAGUUCACGUAAAACCCAUCAAACCAUUUGGAAGGUCAAAUCUGAACAUCUCAACAGUUGGAUGUUAACAAUCUCUAUUUCAAAAUUGGAUGACCAAAACCACACUUGAAUAUAUAGUUGAAUGGCUAAAAAAAGGAGUUCCUCUUAAUAUCAAAUAAGUAUAUCAUAGUAAAUUUAAUGAAACUAAUUUGAUGUUAUAUGUUUUUUUUGUAAAUUGAAUUAAAGAUUUGAUUUUUUUUAAACUUAGAAAAAAUUAUAUGAUAUUGUGAAGUUAGUACAUACGAAAAGCAUGAGUAAGUGUAGGCUAUGCACAGUGCAAUGCAUAGAGUUCAAGCAAAUCAAAUAAUACAAGUCCAUGGUCCAUAGCCGCGCGAGCGCGUGGCUCGUUCUUGCAAUGCGGAUUAGAUGCAUCGAUAGUCGUCUUCUAAUCCUCACACGACUUCUAAUCCUUAGAUUAUCAGAACAUGUGUGGCAAUACUUUAUUAUUCACCAGACACGCACGUGAGUAGCCCAGGGCCCACAGUCCAGCCUCCCAAGUUCGCCGGGUCCACAAAAUAUACUGAAGUAAAGCCCCACGUGCGAUCUGAUUGCCUGAAUGCAGAAAGCCGACGAGGGCCCACUGCGCACCGGGCCUUUGUAAAUCGCAAAAUCCAAACUGCCUUUUCGCAUUUCUCCUCUUCGAAAAUCUUUUUUUCUGUAUAAAUUUCUUUCUCUCGUCAGUCUACGCCGCACUCAUCCACCCAAACCCUCCCCCACCAACCUCGCCGGAACCCUAACGGCGGCCGCCGGCGCGGGGGAUCGGCGGCGAUCGCAUUGCUGCGCCCCCGAUGGCGACCCACGCCUCCAAGUGAGUCACCCCCCGGCGCCGAUCUAUUUGGCCGCUCUCUUCGUUCGGUUUAGCCCCCUUGCGUCAAUUCUGAUGCGGAUUUUGUUGGUCCGGUGAAUCUGGUACCCGUCACAGGAGUUACCUGUGCGCGGGCAGCUCGUCGUUCGAUGAUCCCGACGUGGUUGAGGUGUCCCCGGCGACCGCCGCGGCCGGGGGGUGGGCCUCGGGCCACCAUAAGAGGAAGCGGAGCCAGGUGAUGUAGAAAUCGCCUCCCCCUUUGUUCACUGCGCGUGGUUUUGUUGCUAUUGUUGUUUCGGAUUGGGAAUUGUGGUGCGUGUGGAUGGUUGAUGCGGUUUGGGGAUUGUCAUCGGAUUGUACUGGAAGAAAAUGGUUGGUUAUGUGAUCCUUCAGUGAUGCUCAGUAAAAAUGACUAACUCAAUCGGCGCAGAAUUGAGACUAUUUCUCUAGAUACCUUAUGAUUGGUCGGGUUGAGUGGUUGAUUUUCUGCGAUUGUGCUAGAGAACUAAUAGGUUUUGAUAAGGCCUGCUGAUUAUCUGAUUGCAAAAUUGCAGUUAAUAAGUUUGGCGUGAGUCAUGUUUGAAGGAAAUGUGAGAUGUAUGGUUUUUGAUGAUCAUCUCUCUCUUUUUCUUUGCAGUUUGCUGUAUACCCAAAAAAAAAUGUCACUCCCUGAACAAUUUCCUAGGAGUAAUUCUUAGAGACAAUUAGCAUGGGAGAGCAGAAUUACAUCAUGACUUUAUUAACUAUAUCAGCUUCUUUAGAGCAUCUCCAGCAUUCUCCCAAUAAAUAUUCCCAAUAACUAGUUAAUAGGGAUAUCGUAAUACCACUUUUAUCUUUAUUGGGAGAGUUACUUUUGCAGUCUCCCAAUAAUGUCAUCCCAAUCCAGCGGUGAAUUAUUAGGUUGUCCCAAUAAUUAUUGGGAAAAGGGAAAGGUAAAGGGACUGUUGGAGCACUAUUUUCUUACCUACUCUCCCAAUAUGGUAGUUGGAUUGGGGAAUGGGUAUCUGCUGGAGAUGCUCCGUUCCCUAGAACAAAAUAGGUUCUUGCUUCCCCUUGCAUCUUUGGUUCAUUUACCAGGUCCUUGAUAUUUUUCUUUUGGGAACUCACGGCAGCCCUGGUCAUCCUUCAGCUUAAAAGGUGCGGGUUUUUUAACCAUAUUGGACAUCUUUUGGGCAAUAUGCUUCAGGCUUCCAUGGUUCUUAAGAGGAAUGGUAGCGGUAGCCCUGGGCCUUGUUGGUCGGUUACAUUCUUCCUCCUCCCUCCCCCUCUCUUGCUGUUUUUAAGUUAGGCAACUGGGACACCCAGGAUUUUUUAGGGCCUGGACGCCUAGGUGUUGCCUUGAAAACCAUCCAGGCUUCUAUUGUGGAUGUCAUAAUCCUGACUGAGUACCUGCCCGCCGAUCAGCACACAUGCAUACUUUGCCACUGGGCACUAUAGCUGAUCUCCAGAAAUUAUCUCUGCCAAUUAGUUCAUUUGGAGAAAUGCUACUCCAAAAUAAUCUUUUAGCUCUAUGAAACUGUAAAAUAUGCCUCCUUAGUAGAAGUGCCAGAAACACUUUGGAAUUUUUAAUGAUGCACAAGUAGUCCUUGCCAUUUCUCGAAGCAUACUUUUUUUAUUGUUGUAAGGAACUGGUAUAUAUAUUUUUUUCAAAUAAAGACAUACCAUGUGUGUUGCCUGCAUAUCACACAACUAGGUUCCUCGGUUCUUCAUGCCAGAUCUCUUUUGUUUCCAGUUUAUCUGCACUGUAUUAUACUGUUUUGACAUGUCGCUCAUUUUUUAGAGCAUUUGAUAUGGUAAAUAAAUAGCUUCUGAGCAGCCUGCAUGUUACAAUUAUACUGUACUGAAAGAAUGUUGAUACAGUUCUGGUAACUACUCUGAUUGAUGCGUUUUCUUCCGAAUCGUAGGUUGUACCUCAUGAAGUAAUCGAAAUUGAUGAUGAUGACCCUGAUGGAGUUAUGAUUAUUGGUGAUAAUAAAGCAUCAGUGGACAAGAAUAAGCAAACUGUCGUAUACCCUAUGGAUUGGGCAAAGCAUGGCAAGGUAUUUCCCUCAUGUCAUUCCCUUUUUCAUACCACUUGCUUCUGCUCCAUGUCAAUUUCUGACAGAUUCUCUUCUUUAAACAAAUUUAGAGUAGUUUGGUUCAUGAAAUUCCUGGCCCAAGCACAUAUGCUCCAAAAUAUGCCAAUCCAUGGGUUGACAACCUGAAAAUGUUUCAAGACGAUGCAGCUUACAACUAUUCUGAUGAGGGAUUUGAUGAAGACUAUGCAUAUGAUGAAGAUGAGUAUGAAGAUGAUGGUUAUGAUGCUUCACUUGUUGAAAGUGAGUAUAACUAUAGUUUGUCCUCCAAGUUUGAUAGCUUGGAUAUUCCACUUGGUGUGGAGGCUUCCUUACCGUGGACUCAGACGAUUGCUAUUGAGAUUGCAAAUAAGACCAAACCCACUAAGAUCGUGGAUGAUAAAAUAGAGGAAAAAUACAAGGCGUUUAAGCAAUUUGAUACUGUUGAUGAUCAUAGUGAUCAUUAUUUUUCUAAGCCAGAGUUAAGAAAGGUCCAGGUGGUGAAAAAGGUAAGUUUUUUUACAUGCCCUCUCUACCACUUGUUGCCUUAAUUUAGUUCAGUGCUAAAGUUCUUUCAACAGCCAUCAAAAGACUGGGCGAAACGUAUUCAGCAUGAGUGGAAAGUACUAGAAAAAGAUUUGCCAGGUAGGUAGCUAGUGCCUCCUAUACUCUGGUUUUAUGAAUGCUGGUUGUACUAAUGUUUUUCAUUAGUAUGACUCGAUGCGCCAUGCCUUUGUUAGUUGAAUUGCCUUGUCCUGAUGACAUUUGCUUACUAUUUUAGUACUUAGAAGUUAGAAGCACUUUAUUCUUAAGGACCAAUAAGAUUAUAAUUUAGCUUUUAUACUUUUUAGAAAUAUGUUAACUUGGUUUUUUCUUCAAAUUAAAUAGAUACUAUAUUUGUGAGGGCGUAUGAGGAUAGAAUGGACCUGCUUAGAGCUGUCAUUAUGGGACCAGCUGGCACUCCUUACCAUGAUGGGCUCUUCUUCUUUGACAUUUACUUCCCUCCACAAUAUCCAAAUGUACCGCCAGUAAGAUUUUCUUGACUUAAGCAGCUUAUCUCCAUCAGUUAUUUUCCUUGUUUCUUCAGUUGCGUUAAGGAUCUUAUGAUGAUUAGUUAAUUCUCCACAGAUGGUGAAUUACCGCGCUGGUGGUCUGCGGCUUAAUCCAAACUUGUAUGCUUGUGGGAAGGUGUGCCUUAGCCUUCUAAACACAUGGACUGGCAGUGGAUGUGAGAGGUGGAACCCAUCCAAUUCAACUAUGCUGCAGGUCUUGGUCUCCAUUCAGGCUUUGGUUUUGAAUGCCAAACCUUAUUUCAAUGAGCCUGGUUAUGCUAUGCAAGCUAACACACCUCAUGGGGAGAAGAAAUCCCUGACAUACAAUGAAGAUACAUUCCUUCUAUCAUGCAGAACAAUGCUGUAUUCUCUUCGAAAUCCACCCAAGGUAUGCCUCUUUUCUUGUCCUAGUUAGUGGAGGAGUACUUGUUUCUGUAAUGAUCCUGAACUCUUGGAAACUAAUAUAACCAUGGCAAGUUGUCAACUGCCAUGUGAAUAUGGGGCUCCAACAUGGCAAUUUAAUUUGUAAUAUAGUACCCUUUUUUAAUUAAAUGACAUUUAACCAUCUUGGCUGUCAUAUACAACCUUGGUAAAUGCAAAUCUGAUGUGGGUGUACUUUCUGCAGAAUUUUGAGGAUUUUGUUGCUGGCCAUUUCCGCGAGUAUGGGCGCAGCAUCCUUGUAGCUUGCAGAGCUUACCUGGACGGUGCCCAGGUUGGAUGCCUUGCUGGGGAUGGAGUGCAGGAUGUCGAUGAGGGUGAUAAGAGCUGCUCCGUGAGGUUUAAGCAAUCACUGAAGAGACUGUUUCAGGAACUUCUGAUGGAGUUCAUCGUGAAGGGUGCGGACUGUGACAAGUUCCUCGCCGAAAAGGGGAGAUCUGGAGCUUCUGCAGCGGCCGCGGACACCACAUUGAGGCUAUAAGGCAGAGUCAUCGUGCGCUAAGUAAUAAUUUUGCCAUUCAAGCUACCGCUCCUAUCCUCGGUCUGCCGCACAGCAAGUUAUGCUGGAAGAUCUAACUGCUUUCUGUAGGUAGCCUAUGUAAAUAUCCGUCUAGCCCGCCUGGUAAAAAACAUAAUUGCCAUAUUCGUGCGCUUAGGGACAGUGUUUUACUGGAGUGAUGGCCCGCAAGGGCAUUUAUCGGCGGAGCCCUCGUCCGCAGCUUGUGUUCUUAUAUGAUUGUGGUCUCCGUUUGGAUAUUAAAAUGAGAUCUGUCGGGUGAUCCCUGCCUAAUUCGUCUUGGGAUCUCAGGCCCAGAGUGAUUACCUGAUGCUGUGUGCCUGUGUGUCUGUCUCAGUGCAUGUCCAUUAUAUAAAUAGUGUCUCCAGUGGCCGAUGAUGCUUUGGUAUAAUCGCCCGCCUGUGAUCCCUUGGGAGCUAGCAGCUUUGGAUGCUUCCAUCCAUUCUGUAGUCCACUGGUGCUUGCGCGGCUUCACCUUGAUGGUGAAUGUCAUUGGCAUUAUGUCCAAUCUUCAGAGGGAAAAAAAAGUUCACUUGAGCCGCAGCACCGUCUUGGACUGUUUUUCGCUAAUUUUAAACGUGGUGCAAGAUUAAUUCUGAACAUAACUCCUCGCAAAAAAAAAAAUCUGAACAUAGCAUUGACCCCCUGAUGCAACUGGCUGAAAUUGGGGAGCGAGAAAGUCAGAAACACACAAAUGUGGACGUCAGCGGGAGACCUGCUUCCAGUCCCCGGUUAUUCCUUCCACAUUCAGUCAACCACAAAUGUUCAAAGCAUUCUAGUAGCUCAUAACCUCAAGUCUCAUUUGCAAUGGAAGUUACCUCCUAAUUUGCCAUGGAACUGAAUCAUUUCCAACGGAUUUGUUUAAAUUUGCUCGCAUCGCCGGUAUCAAUCAGUGCGAAUCACGAAAAAUGCACACGUUACACGUCGUCUUUUUUUUUUCUCUAUUUGUUCCCCGGCUGAACUGUGCACGCUUCAUGACUGUGCCACCGGUAUGGGCGUUUGGCAGAUCCAAAUUAGUAGCCCACCAACUUAGUAAAUGAUCACACCACACCAAUGGAUCUAAACAAACCAGAAAAAAAAAUGGAAGAAGAAAGAACAAAUCCCAUUUCCUCUAACCCAUCGAUAGCUUAAACCCCCACAAGUCAAGCCUUCCGCGUCGGCUUCGUCCUCCCUCCCAUCGUCUCCUUCCCCAAAACCAGAUGGGCGAAGGGAGGAGACGGCGAGAUCUCACUCCCCGCUUCCCCUCCGUCUCCCCGCCCCAAAUGGCGCCACCGCGCGCUAACCCUAGCCGCCGCCACCCGCUCCUCGUCCUCCCCCUCCUCCUGCUCCUCCUGAUCCCGGCCGCCGCCGCCGCCGCCGGAGAUACCUCCUUGUCCACCUUCUCGUACUCCCGCCACUGCCCCGGCCUCCCCGCGGCGCCCGACGUCCCCGCGGGAGACGGCCACGCGCUCCCCACCCUCCAGCUCUCCACCGGCUACUUCUCCGGCGGCGGGCCCCGCAUCUUCGCCCCCGAACCCUCCUCCCAGCCGCGGUCCUUCUCGCUCCUCCCCUCCUCGGUCGUCCGCACCGCCAACGCCUCGCUCCUCCACGUCUCCGCCACGCUAUCCGUCUCCGGGGGCCGCCGCCCGGGCCGCUACGGGCUCGGCGGCCGCAACCCCUUCGAGGACGACGUCCAGGCGCGCUACUUCCGCCCGCGCCUCCCGCGCUUCACGGGGCGCCGCGGCUCCAUCAUCUUCGGCCUGGAGGGAUACUACUCGACGGGCUCCGGCGAGCUCUGCAUGGUCGGCACGGGCUCCGGCCGCGCGGCCGACGGCACGCCCGUGCACUUCCCCGUCGUGCUCCGCCUCGGCUUCCCCACCCCCGCCAACCUGACGCGGUCCUUCGUCACCGGCCGCCUCGAGAGCGUCGACACCAUCACACCCAUCGACCCCCUCUCACUCGUCGCCUACGCUGAGGAGGGAUACGCGUACGCGGAGAGCGCCUCCUGCCCACCCCCGCCUGCGGGGAGGCUCGACGCGCUCCAGGUGUUCGAGAAUAGGACUUUCUCGUGUGCUUACCUCAAUUCAAUGCUCAAAUCGCCGUUCAGGUUGCACUACCAGAGCGGCAGCGAGUCCACCGCAUCCUCACUGGGGCUUCACCAAAGGUACAUGUAUGUCAACCGGAUGCAAUGCAAGGAUGAUGGUGCCGUCCGCGCUUAUGUGGUAUUCACUAACCAGACAGAGGCAUCAAGGUACUACUUCAUGCUGGGUGAGAAGGCAGUUGUGGUGGAUGGGUUCUGGGAUCAUGGCAGAAGCCGGCUUUGCUUCAAAGGGUGUCACGUCGUGAACUCAGGGCCAUCCCCUGCUGAUUUGGCAGUGGGUGAAUGUGGAAUUGGGAUGAGCUUCUGGUUCCCGGCAGUGUGGUCGUUACAGCAGCGGAGCUUUGCUGCUGGUCUGGUCUGGAAUACGAGUCUGAAAAGUGGUGAAGCCAUUGCUGCAGGUUCUAGUGCAAUCACUCACAACUACAGGGGCAAUCUUGCUGGUUUGAAGUAUAAUUACACUAAGGUGGAUGAGGCGAUGAAGCACUAUAAGAAGUCUGGAUUGAACAAGGACAGGAAAGGGAAGUUCCCAGACAGCAGUUCGUACCGGGACUUGGUUUUCAGGUUUUUUGUGCAGAAAGGAGGUGGCUCUGGAUAUGCAUCGCCUGUCACACUUGGGUCAAUGUUGUUUGAUGGAAACUCUUUGGUGGCUCCGGAUCCCUUUUCUCAUCAUGUGACAGGCGUGAUGAAGCAGAGACUGAUUAAUGUCAGCUACGACAUCUACUAUGUUGGGAAUUGGUCUCUAGAAUCAUUCCAUCGUCGACAUAUCUCAGCGGAGGGUGUUUAUGAUACUAAGACAGGCUCCCUUUGCAUGAUCGCUUGUCGAGAGCUUAAUGUCUCAUCAGAUUGUGAAAUUCUGGUGACUGCUCAGUUUUCUUCUUUGGAUGCAAAAGUAGCACAGCAUGUAAAGGGAACUAUCAGAAGCUUGAGGAAGAAGACUGACCCUCUUUUCUUUGAAACACUGUAUAUUGCUUCAUAUGGGAUGUUCAUAGACCAAGUGGAUGAAUCAAUAUGGAGAAUGGACUUAGAAAGCACCAUGGCGUUGAUCUCUAUGACACUGGCAUGCAUCUUCAUCGCUGUGCAGCUGUUUCAUGUCAACAAGGUCCCUGAAGCACUUCCUGCCAUGUCAAUCACGAUGCUUGUUGUUCUGGCUUUGGGUUACAUGAUCCCUCUUGUACUUAACUUUGAGGCUCUCUUCAAGAACAGCAACAAACAGACCUUCCCGCUUGCAGGCGGUGGUUGGCUUGAGGUGAAUGAAGUUAUGGUGCGAAUCAUUACCAUGAUAACAUUUCUGCUACAGUUGCGACUUCUUCAGUUGGCAUGGUCUGCACGGUCUGUGGAUGUAAGCAAAGCUGAGUCAUGGGCUGCCGAGAAGAAAGUACUCUGGAUAUGCUUGCCACUGUACAUCACUGGAGGAGUUAUUACUUGGGUUGUUCACAUGAGGUUUAAUCACAGCCGAAGAAUGCUAAGGCAGGUAGUACAAAUCAAGCCAGUUGGACAUGCAUUCUGGGAGGACCUUGUAUCUUAUGGUGGAUUAAUACUCGAUGGGUUCUUGCUCCCUCAAGUGAUCCUUAAUGCUUCCUCAGAUUCCAAAGUUAGAGCCCUUUCCCCAGGGUUUUACAUCGGAAGCACCAUGAUCCGCGCUCUGCCUCAUGUGUAUGAUGUGUUCAGGAGACAGCAUUUUGUGCCGAGCUUGAGACCAUCUUACAUGUAUGCUAGCCCUCAUGAUGAUCUCUUCAGCCUCGCAUGGGACAUUGUGAUACCUUGUGGAGCAAUGCUACUGUCAGUGGUUCUCUUCUUUCAGCAGCGGCUUGGAGGUGCUUUCUUCCUUUGUUCGAAGAACAGGAAGACAAGAGAAUAUGAAAUGGUUUCCACCGUCAGUUCUUAAGAAAAGCUGAGUGGAUUCGAAAUGGUUCCUACAGUCGGUUCUCGACAAGCUUUUACAUCAUUGUUACAAAGGAAAUGUAGAGGAUGUUUACAAGUAAACGAAGAAAUAACUGUUCCUGGUCAAUGUUUGUUUUACAAAUGUGCUUGUUUGCAGCAAAAAUCACGUGCAUGUAUACGAAAGAUGAUACACAAAUUGGGCAAGUUUUGCACCUGGAUUUAGGAUGCUUAAUGCCUUUUACUCUGUUGCAAGUUAUACUUUGCAGCAUUCCUCAUGUGUCAGCAUCUCUCUGUCAGGAGGUGGUAAUUCGCCUCUUGUUUUGUGCAUCAGAUCAAGUGGGUCUUUUAUUAUCGCAUUUCUUCGGGGGUGUUUGGAUCUUUAGUCCCGACUAAAAUUUAUGUCACAUCGAAUAUUCGAAGGCUAAUUAGAAGGACUAUGAGCUAAUUAUAAAACUAAUUAUACAAAUAUAGGCUAAUUCACGAGACGAAUUUAUUAAGCCUAAUUAAUCCAUCAUUAGCACAUGUUUAUUGUAGCAUCACAUUGUCAAAUUAUGGAUUAAUUAGGCUUAAUAGAUUCGUCGCGCAAAUUAGUCUCCAUACGUGCAAUUAGUUUUGUAAUUAGUCUAUAUUUAAUACUCCUAAUUAGUAUCUAAACAUUUGAUGUGACAGGAAUUUUAGGAGCUACUAAAGAAACAAACACCUCCCGUUUCUAUAUCGUUUCAGUUCAUUUCCUGUGUGUAAGGUGGAUGACACCUGCUGGCCCGGGUUGUAAAAUCCGCAGUUGUGGCCUGAUUGUGAUUGAAGCUGUUGAUCCGAUAGGUCAUUGGCGGCACUUGUUACGAACCACGUGAUGCCUUCAAUUAUUCGCAGAUGUACAUUGUCUUUGCUAUCGUUGUUGCACGGCGCCCCACUAGCGUGCAUCGCCCGCGUUGCCCACCCUCCUCGAAAGUUCCUCGUGCGCGAUUUCAUACGCGUAAGAAAGCUCAGGUCAGAUUUGAACGUUGCGAAGCGCUAGACUGCUAUAGAACCGUGACGACUGACGAGAACAUCUGUGCUGACACGGUUGCAGACCAUGGGACUUUCCAAUUCUAAGGUCAGGCAGAAGGAAGUCGCAGGAUGGACCACCGAAAGCUGGGGCCAGGGAGCAAGGUAGCGCGAUGGUCGUUUUCCAUUGGCAUCGACGACUCCAGGUCGAUCAACUACGAGGAACCAAACUUGCAGUUCACUGCCAUGCCAUGAAGGUGACUGGAAUUCAGCUCAGUCCCGGGAGAACGCCGGCAGGCUCCCAUGUUGGCAGUGAGGACUGCAGGGUGCAGGCUGGAGGGCUGUUCACUUCAGCUUAUUCAGCUGGCUUAUCAGCUAACAAAUAGUAUUUUCUCUCACAACAAAUCAGCUAUUUCAACUUUUCAGCCGGCUUAUAAGCUGAACUUACCUCACCCAACUUUUCUUCCCCCGGUGAAUGAACCUGCAGCCUUGUUGACACAUUCAACACCUAAAUCACCAGAUGACAUGACUCCAAACCACCGUUUCUCUAAAAAAAUACCACAUGACACGGGUCAAUCUCUAGUCAUAACCACUUCCGUAGUAAAAGUAUAAGAGGACGAAACAGCAAGCCUCCAAACAGGUCCUUUCGCUCUGGCACGGCUGCUCUGCUCGGUUCCAUCACGGCGGAGCCCCCCGCACACCGCGGCGCCGGCUUCCAGUUGCAGGCUUGCAGCCAGCCUGCCGUUGCCGAAACGCCCCCACACGGCCAAACCCCCGUGCCCAACGCCCAGUUUUGGCCCGACCCCGCGUCGCUUGACCGGUAAAAGCCUAGCCGCCUCCGCGCGCGAGCCCCGCCGCGCGAUAGCGAUAGGGCGAUGGCGACGAGACCCUCCCGCGACCCCGUCAACCCCACGCCCUGCCAGGCUGCCACCGUCCGCACGUCACUCCACUGAGGCGUCACCCGGCGUCCCGGCCCACCCCGGAUGGUGCCCCACCACCCGCGACCUUGACCCCGCCCGCCCGCGCGCGCGCCGUCACCGUCGUCCCCCAUCGCCGCCUGCGGAAGCCCACGCACGCAGCCAGGCUGCGCCACGCCACGCCACCACACCACACGCACUCCCGGUACAAGACGACCGGGGAGCAAGCGGAUGGGCUCCGCAGUCCACACCACGCCGCACGGCAGGCCGAUGGAAUAGCACCGUACCGGUGGCGGCACGGGCGCGGCUUGCUUAUAACGCGCUGGGGGCAGAGGAGGGAAAGGACGGCGACGAUGAGGGGGUCCUUCGGCGCGCGGCGGAUGACCGCGCAGGAGGCGGCCGAGGCGGCCGUGGGCGCGGUCGGGUGCGGGUACGACCUCACGGGGGACCUCCGCCUGGGCCGCGCCAAGCCGGCGGGGAGGUUGGUGGAGAUCGACGCGGCGCCGGCGCCGGCGCGGGACCUGACCCUUCCUGGAGGGGCCGUCGUCUCCGGCGUGCCGGCCGGGAUCGUCGCCGACAAGGGCGAGCGCACGCGGUUCCGCUCCGACGUCCUCUCCUUCGCUCAGGUGUGCUUCCUUUGGGUUUUCGUUCUUCCCCCACUGACUUGAGUUCUCAGGAGCCCUGAGAGUGAUCGAUGCCCGGCCGCAGAUGGCGGAGCAGGUGAACCAGUCGCUGUCGCUGGCGGGGAAGAUCCCCUCGGGCGCCUUCAACGUCAUGUUCGACUACCGCGGGUGCUGGCACCGGGACGCCGCCGCCACGCGGAGCCUCUGCUUCGACGGCUGCUUCGUCGAGCUCUACAGCGUCGAGGCCGUGCGCGCGCAGCUCGCCCUGCGAGACAGCGUCAAGGAGGACCUGCCGCCCUUCUGGGAUCCCCCCGCGCUCGCCGAGUACGCUUGCCGCCGCUAUCCUCUCCCGUCCCAGCCGUGACGAUGCGCAGAGCAAGCAAACUGAUGCGGCUGCUUGCUCUCUGCAGGUUCAUCGACAAGUACGGGACGCACGUCGUCGUCGGGGUGAAGAUGGGAGGCAAGGACGUGGUGUGCGUCAAGCAGCUUAAGGGCUCCAGCCUGACGCAGAGCGACGUGCAGGCCCGGCUCAAGAAGCUCGCCGACGGCAAGUUCUCGCAGGACGGCCCGGCCGGGAAUCCCACCGCCGCCGGAGACGACAGGCUUACGCACGGGCUAAACGUGAGUGUUCUCUGCUCCGCGUGCACCUCUGCUCACAGUGUCACAGUCACUUGAAUAUGAAUGCCUCGUUUGAAAAAAAAAAUGAGUUCAUACCUGCUGCAUGUGUGAAACGAAUGAGCAAUUCUUGUUGUGCUACAGGGAAAUUUCGGCCCCGGAUCAGCGGCCUGGCAGUCUUUCAGAUCACCAGUCGUGUCUCACAAGGAUGUAAGGAAGCAUUUCGCCCAACGAUUUUACUGAUCACAAUGCGAUGGCACCACCAACAACAGCCCAGAAAUAACAUGGUUGCGUUGCGUCCCGUUGAAUUUUGGUAGGACAUUGUCUGCAUCCACAUCAGGAGAGGUGGCGUCGACAGCGGGCAGGGCCACGGCAAGUGGCUCUCGACGAUCACCGGCUACCCGGACGUCAUCUCGAUGUCGUUCGUGCCCAUAACUUCCCUGCUGUCCGGCGUUCGAGGCUGCGGGUUCCUGAACCAUGCGGUGAAUCUCUACCUCAGAUGUAAGCGUCUCUGAUCAUCUGAUGCAGCAUUGUCACUUUGCCACUUUGGAGUCAGUUCAGACGUCUAAUCGGCCGUCCAUUUCCUGCUUUUGGAUUCAGACAAACCGCCCAUAGAAGAGCUUCAGCAGUUUCUGGAGUUCCAGGUGCCGCGGCACUGGGCUCCAGAGUUUGGUGAGCUUCCUCUUUGCCUCCACAGGAGGAAGAACAGCUUGCCGUCUCUUCAGUUCACCCUCAUGGGCCCUAAGCUUCAUGUCAAUACUGCCAAGGUAUCCUGUUAGGAACCUGUCGUCUUGAUCACUGUUCCUAUUUGCAGUUGCAGAACUCAAACAAAAUUCUGUGUCGUGCAGGUUGAUUCCGGCAACCGUCCGGUGACCGGCAUCCGGCUGUUCUUGGAAGGCAAGAAGAACGACCGGCUGGGGGUCCACCUGCAGCACCUGUCGGUGACGCCGGGCACGAUCACGGUGGCCGGCGAGGCGGCGUCGGCCGAGGACGCGAUCGUGGACGAGCGCGACUACAUCGAGCCCGUGAUGUCGCCGCUGCUCUCGCACGUCUGCACGGCGCCGGUGCAGUACAACGGCGCGCGGAUCGACGACUGCGCGGCGAUCGUGACCAGGGCGUGGCUGGAGGUGCGGGACACCUGCUGCCUCAAGAAGGUGCUCUUCCUGCGGCUGGGCUUCUCCGGCGUCGCGGCCACGAAGAUCCGGCGGUCCGAGUGGGACGGGCCCUCCGUCGUGCCCCUCAAGUCCGGCUCGCUGUCGGCGAGGCUCAGUGCGGCGCUCUCCGGCGGCCUGGCGCAGGCGGUGCCGCCGCCGCCCGCCGCGGAGGAGAAGGUGGAGGUGAACUCCGCCAUAUUCCCCAAGGGACCGCCGGUGCCGCUCCCGGUGCAGAAGAUGGCGAGGCACGUGGACACCACGGAGGUGAUGAGGGGCCCCGACGACCAGCCGGGGUACUGGGUGGUCACCGGCGCGAAGCUGUGCGUCGAGGGCGGCAAGAUCGCGCUCAAGGUCAAGUACUCGCUGCUCAUCGCGGUGCAAGAGGACACCGACGUCUGAGCGCUUCGUUGUCGUCGUCGUCGUCGUCGAUGCCUCAGCUUCUCCGUUUUUGUGUCUUGUUUUGACGUGGUGUACAGAGGGCACAGGGCAGUUCAGUCGUGCGCAUGGUGUAAAUAGUGCAGAGGGCGCAUGCUGCAUACUUCAGUGUCAGAGAUGUUGUUGUUGUUGUACAGAAUAUAGAGUGCCCAAUAGCGGCUGAUAUUUUGGUUUGCCGAUUCAGGUUUUGCAAAUCUAGGAACAGUUUAGAUAUGUAGAAAUUAUCUUAUUUGAGCAUUCAAUAUAAGAAAACGAGUGAUGCUAUUGCUCAGCAGAUUGGGAAAAAUAGUUCGAUCAGUCAGUCGAUGAUCACUGUCGUCGACCCCUCUACUUCUUUUUGUGUUUGAUUGUUUCGUUAGCCGUGGUGUACAGUUCAGUAGUGAGCAUGUUGUAAAUAGUGAAGAUUGUACAUUCUGAUGGUUCAGGAUAAAAAUAGUUCAUAAACCGAUUGAUUUUUGUUUUGGGCUUGUUUUUGUUGGUUGCUAAAGGGUUCGCUCAUGCCUUGCUCGGUUUAAUGAAAAAACAAUCAUCCCUAAUCUUCUUUGCGAUCAAUUUGUAGGUGCCGGCCAGAUCUAUGCCUAACUUAAUAUUUGAGCACCAAUUCUAAUAUGUUGCAUUAUGUAAGCAUUGUCACUGUACCCCACGAAAUAAGUAAAAAAAUAUGAAUCAUAUAUUCCUUUUCCAUUUGUGUGUGAGGCCAUUUCCUCUUGUCUCAGCUCUGCGUGUUGGACAUUUUUUAUUCAUGAUUCAUGCAAAGUCAUCAAGUACAAUAUUAUUUAUUCAUGUAUCGCCACCUACUACAAUUUGAGGUUUCGACCUUCUCUCUCCUUUACGAGGCAUUGGUUUUCCUACACCCUGCAUGUGUUUGCCAACUCCACUACCGAACCUCCCACAAUAUGGAUUAUCAUUUUACAAUAUAUUGCCUAACCUUUACAUAACUCGAAUGUUUUUUUGGUUUGGUUUGGUUUGAUUUGAUUUGGAUUUCUCGAGAAAAAAUGAUUUAGACUUGAUUUUAAGAAGCCACCCGUUACUUGAAAAAGAUAGUUUCACUUGCCACUUUCAAUAUUAUACACGCUGGAACGCUAUUGUCAACCUGUAUAUGUACUAUGGCAUUCUAGUGAAAUCAUAUUUUUUGAAAUCAUAUUUUAGAGUGUUUGGCUCGGUGUUUUGAGAUUGUCAACCUCCAUAGGUCGUCCUGUUUGUCGGGACGUCUUUCGCUGCUGGAGCAUGAUCUGCCUGUCUUCGACAAUCCUAUCGUGUACUUGUUUGCAUUUGCCUGUUCCUCAUCGCUUGCUUGGUUGCUCGCCUCGAUGAUCUCCAUGUUCUUCCAUGGCUAGCGCCACAAGACCGGUCACCAUCCUGACUUGGAAUGUUCACGGCUUAAGUGACAAGUGCAAAUGUGACAACAUCCGGCUUGCACUUCCCUCCUGCUUGCCUGCUAUUACUAGCUCCAACACAUUGACAACUUCAAAGCCACCUCCUUCCUGCCUCCUUCUCUCCCUCCUUCGGUGCCUCUAGGGGCAUUCUCACUGUCUGGAACCCAAACCUCCUUACACUCACUGCUUCCUCCUCGCAGCGCUUCUCCCUAACCAGCACCUUCACCACCUUCUCCCUAAACUACUCUGAUUUGGUAUUGAGACCAAUUCAAUACCAAGCCCCAUAAUAGCGAUACCAAACGGAGCCUAAUUGUUGUAGGACUUGAUCUGGCUCUUCGGUCCACUGAAACUUGUCUUGCCACUUGAUUAUUUGAAGAAUGGUAGGUUCCAUUCUCCAAGCCUGAGAUGAAUCUGUUGAAGAUCGACAUGCAUCCAGUCAGCUUUUGGACGUCCUUGAUGCCUAUCGGUGAUAGGGCAUGCAUAUCGGUGUGGCGGAGAUCUUCUCAGGGUUAGCUUCAAUGCCUCGGUAAUUAAUGAUGAACCUGAGUAGUUUCUCAAAAAGCACGUCGAAGACGCACUUUAUCAGGUUAAGCUUCCACCGGAAGUCUCGUAGACUUACGAAAGUUUUUGCGAAAGUUUCUUCUACAUCCACAAUCGAAUCGACGGGAGCGCUCCCAAGGCACGUGUAGACCAAGGAGGUAGAGAAAAGCAGUACGGGAGCGGCACCCAAGCUUGAGGUCGACGUCUUCGGCCUCCUCGUCGUCUUGCUGCGUUCCUGCAAGCCGCGACCUUGACCUGCUCCUCCCGCAUACUGCCAUAGCUUAUCUGCUCCUCCCUCUCUGCUUUUCCAAUCACUGGCAUCGAUCCCUUCUCGGCCACCUCUAUCUCCGAUUAAAUUUGGAUUACAUAAGAGGAGUAGUGCACAGGUACAAUCCAUGUUUGCAUUGGAUUCAGGAUAUGGGUUAGGGAGGGCUCCGAUUUGUGGCAGAACCACAUGGAUGGGAGCUGAGGAAGGGGAUCUGGGAUUCGAUUGAUCUGACCAGGGAUUCGAUUGGAUUGUUUACGUCAGAACAAAAUAGAAGAAGAUAUUUUCUUGUGGGGCUAAUUGGGCUUGAGGUUGACUUUACUGUGCUGAAAGGUCAAUAGGUCAUGGCUACGACUGAGUGCUGGGCCUCAGUCGUAGGACUAUAAUUUGCUGGGCCUACAAGUAUAUUAUGAUUGCUUCGUCUAUCCUAGAUUUCCAAAUUAUAGGACUCAGCAUUGCUAUACUACAAAACGCUUUAAAGGUGUUUGGUUGCCCUUAGCCAGGCUCUACCGAUGCAACAUUUCCUAUUUGUUUAGUUUGCGCAUCCGCUCGAUCAGGCUCCACGUGUGUAAGAUUUUUCCUGCAGCCAGGCUCUGGAGGUACGCAGAAAUUGGUCGUUUCUGCCGAGCCAGGCUCGCGUGGUGCGGGUAAUUAGCCAUCUAAUGAUGUUAUUAAUACAUUAUUAGCACAUAUUAAAUGAUAUUAACAUAUUUCGAUUAAUAUUAAGGAGUAAUAAGAUAAACUAAGAGUUAUAAGAUAAUAGUUUUCCGCAAUAAAUAUAUUACGAUAAUUAUUUAUAUAUUUUUAUCUCAUACAACCGAUCCUCGUACAAGCAACCAAACAAAUUUUCGGAAGAGCCUAGACAGACAACCAAACACCAUGCUCCUACAUGUAUCGAAUCUAGCUCUGAGGAGCCUAGCUAACUGGUACGAACCAGGCUAUACUCCUCCAGUCAACCAAACACGCGCUUAAGCUACAGCUACAGGGAGAGGGUCACCGCACGCUUAGCGCGCUUUUCUUAACCUUGCCUGCCGUAGCCCCCUUCGAAAAAGUGUGGCGUUUGGUUAAGUUCCAAGGGAUCCAACUAUACACUGUAGGCUGUAGCCAAGGAAAUCCCCUUCUUUCGUCCUUCACCCUCCCGGCCGGCGCCGCGGCGGCGAGGGAAGACGCGCGGGCCUCUUCCGUCGCCUCUCCCUUCCGCCUCCGCGGUCCGCUCCGCUCGCGCCCCAUCGAGCGCUCUCCUCCCGACCAAGGGUCCCUCGGUGCCUCCUUCCGCCAGAGGGGGACACGCCGCCUGCCCCGCAGACAGUCGAAGACUCGAAGGGAUUCCUCCUGUCGUCGUCGUCGUCCUACACCUCCUCGGCGCUGGGGGGCCGCCGCGUGGAGGGGAUUCCUCCGAGCUUGGAUCGAUUUCUUCUGCACUUGGUAAGGAACCCUAACCUUGCUUGGUUGUUGGGCGGGUCGCGCGUCCUGUCACCUCUGAGUGAUCAAAUCCAGAUCUUCACGAUCCAACCCGCACUCUUUGUAGCGAAACUGUUAGAAGCUAGUAAAUUUUGCAAAGAAAUCUUGGGGUUCAACCCGAUCCCCACGGAAUUUCUUAGGGCUUGUUGUAUAACACAACUCCCUCCCAGUCCCAGUACAUGUGGAAUGGAGUGGAAAAUCAAGUAAUCAACUAAUUUUCCUAUCAGUCCCUCCGAAUACGCAUGUAUUCGAUGGGACUAUUCUCUAUCCAAACAAAACCUGUAGUGUUUUCCCUAGGUUUCUCAUUUAAGAGCGGUUUCUUAAGAAUUACUCAAUUGCAUUUCGUAUUUUUGUCUUUCUUGAUGACUCAUUGUUGAACAGUUUUGAGACAUCUUUUUGGCUGGUAAUGUUACAAUCAAUUUUUAUUUAGAUGGAUAGCAUAUAUAUAAGGCCACUCCUGAAUUCCAACAUAGAUUACACCAAGCAACAUCAUGUAUUAUUUCUUUGCAACUACUGCUGCCUUACUUGGUCCAGAUCCAUGCACCACCCUUGCCACAUCGCUUUGGUGCCUCUCUGCUUUCGUGAGUAACCUGACAGCUUGGUUUGAAUCCUACUCCUUGAUUUGAUCAAACCUAGAUAACGGUUGUGUACGAGGCUCAAAACUUUUGCAUGGUCUACAAAAUUAUUGGGCAUUCCACUGUUGGUUCUUUUAUUGCCCAAGCCACGUUGCCCUUAUGCCCGAGGCCCGAGCCAAAUAUUACAGAUCAGUACAUUAUUAAUGAUUAUAUGAUGGAAAUCUGGAAUGCUAAGUUUCCUUUAGUUUUUCUCUAAAGAACUUUGAUGUUUCAUAAAUAUAACUCUGAAGUAUAUGCCAUUAUUAUUUUUUGUUUAUUUCAUUUGAUAUUAUCUUAUUUUUAUAAAUACUAAAAAUUUUAUUUCUUGAUUGCCAGUUGAACUUGGAGUUAGACUAUGGAUCUGGAGACAGAGAAUCGUCUUGCUUCUUUACUACUUGAAGAAGCGCGAAGAUUACAGUUAGAGGCUGACAGGGAAGGUGUCCAUGCGUAUCUUCGAAAGCCUAAUGUAAGGCAUCGUCCAAACUCUCGGUUCCUCACGGCCACAGUUCGUGGAGUUCAGCAAGGUUAGCAUUGUGCUCCUUUGAAAUGCCAUUGUUGCAGCUGUAUUUUGAGUUUAUUGAAUCAUUUGCCACUCUUUUUCUAUAUUUUUGAAAACAAUAAAACAGUUGCAAUCACGUGAUCUUGUAAAAACUCUACCUGGCUCUUGCUUCCUGUAUAGGACUCAUGUUACUAUCUCUUUUAAUUACAUCAAGUAGCUUUUCCAUACGUUUUGUUGAAUUGAAUCAAGCUGUUGGCCUGCAGCAAACCGUGUUGUGGAGGUCAAUGAAAUGUGGCGAGCCAGGGAAAAGGAAUUGGAGUUGGAAUCCAAGAUGAGAAGCGGAAGUAGCAAAAGUAAAGAUCUUUAUGACUCAAGAGGUGAGAAGCGUAAAAGUGACUCCAGAAACCAUAGCUCCAGCUCAAGGGUUGAACAAGAAGGGAUUGCCUACUCCUACUCAGACAAGGAGGAUGGUCUGGGUGAUGAUGAAAUUGAAAGAUUUCUUCAUUCAAGGUUAGUUAGAAUAUUCAGUAUCUUCUUUUUGUGAGAAAAGUCCAUUAUUUUCUAGAUGAACACCUGGCAUGUAACUAUGAUUUUUUAAAAGAAAAAACUCUGGUGAUCUUUUAUGAAAAUCAUGCAAUCUGUCCACCUCCUGAUAGUAGCACAUUAUUCUAUUUGUGGGUGCUGGUAUCCUAUUAUGUGGCAUAUUGUGAAUUUGUGCAUGCCCUCUGGACCUUUGCUUGGUGUUACCUAUCUGUGACUAUUGGUAACAUGUGCAAUUUGUUGCUACUUUGUUAGGGUGAAGCGAGGACGUGGGGCUGUUGGUUCUAGGAUGGACGAGCCCGGUCCAUACCUUGAUUUGUUGUCCCAUCGUAAAGACAACGAGCCUAGUCCUGACAUACGUGUGGAAGAAAAAUGGGAACGCCGAGUGCAAGGCCCAGAGAAGCCUUCGUUUUUGAAAUCCAAAUCUCCUGAUGAUUGGCAUAAGGAAUCGUUGGAUGGAAAGUCGUCAAGCUCUGAACCACGGAGCAAGAAAGAAAAGAAACGGAAAUCAGAGAAAAAAGAUAAGAGAGAUAAAAAUAAGGAGAAGUACAAGAAGAAAUCCAAACAUCGUCAUCACCACCACCAGAAAAGCCGAAGAAGGGAGUGAUGUGUCUGUUUGCCAAACAGGACAUUUGUACAAUGGUUCUGCCCUGAAAGAAGCAGCUAGUUGGUUGUUGCUGUAACUUGAAAUCUCUGUUGUAUGAAAAAUCGACACUGCAGAAUGGACUAUGGUUCAUAUGAUAGUGUUGUUUCAUAGUUGUGUUGUUCAAGUCUAAGUGUCUAGCCCUUAUCCUAAUAUGAUUAAUUUAACAUUUGAUGAAAGAGUGUUAUGCUUUUUGGCAGGCACACAUAACAUGUCCAAUAUCUUAAGUAUUUGAUGAGCUGGUCUUGAAGCAUGUCAAUCUAUUAAUUACGUGGUUCAUAGGUCAAUAAACGUGCUCAAGAAUUUGUUGACCAUCAGAUAGCAUUCACAGAUUUGUUUAUUUGCUAUGAAUUAAGAUCGUUGGCGCGCUACUUGUCAAGUUUCACUGAACAUUACAAUUGACUGCAAAUGGUAAGAUCGAACACCAUUUUGUGAGAUCUUUUAGUUCCUCACUCAAAAUGGACCUAAAAUUCGUAGCAUGGAUCAUACUCGAUUCUCAGUAUGAAUGGUUUACUUUGCUUUUAGAAAGCCUCCCUGUUUCCCAAUUUAUGAAUUGAUGUUCUUUCAUAAUUCGAGUAGGGGGAUUUACAUUCGUAGCAUGGAUCAUACUCGAUUCUCAAUAUGAAUGGUUUACUUUGCUUUUAGAAAGCCUCCCUGUUUCCCAAUUUAUGAAUUGAUGUUCUUUCAUAAUUCAAGUAGGGGGAUUUACAUGUAGUUGACACCCCAGACAUGGCAAUAAGAGGGCAUCGGUAUGUUUGGAGAACUGGAGCCAGUAUAUCUUUCAAGAAAAAAAAAGAUGCAGACAUCAUUGAAAGACUGGGGUGGUAUACAGAACAUUAAAUAUGAAAUUUCGAUUCAGAAUUGCUUUACAGGACUAAUUCUUGAUCCAUACCACUGAAAGAGAGAAUGUUUGUGCGAAGGCUUGAUAACAUUACCACAACUCAAAAAUCCCAAAACAAAAGAAAGCCAUCAUCUAAUUCUGAAGACUAAAGCCAUGCAAUCUAUGGUCUCUGUACAGUAUAAUGCCGUGUAUUGAACGUAAUGGACUGAAAAAAGAACUACCUGCAACAGAAGAUAAAAAAACAUUAGAUACAGUCAAAAGAGAUAUAAGCUUGCAACAAGGAAAGGUAAACAGAAUGUCUUUGUGUUAACAUUAAUUCCAAGCAAACAGCUGUGGAUAAAAUUGGUCGCUAAAGAAUGCUCAAGCUAAAAUCUUAACACAUUUUUCAUGCAACCAUACCGAAUGUGCUGAACAUUGCAAAAACCAUGAAAUGCUGUGCAGUAAGAAAUACAAAGAUGGCUUCAGCAGAAAUGCUGUUCAGGAGUAGCUGUUCCAGCUGCUUCCACUGAAAGUCAGACAAUUCAGAUGGGCAAAAGUGUUUGAUCAGGCCAAACAGUAUUCAAGAGACUCAAUUGAAACAGAAUAUGGAUCUAGAGGUGGGCUGAUGCUGUCCUGUUCUUACACUUAAAGUAAUAAAGCAUUUUUUUAGGGAACAAAAUCCGGUGUUUUUUAGCCAUGGAAGCUUAGUAGCUAAGCAUAACUAGCUCUUAUGAAUAAUUUGGACAGCUCGUCACCAUCCCAUGUGAACACUAAAUAUCAAUUCCCAUCCAAUGCACAUAAAAAUUAAGCAUCCAAGAGUAACCAACAAUAUUCCGAAUAGGGGAUUACCCAACUGCACUGCUAUUUUUGUCCUGAUGAACCACAGCUGCUCACAUUAAAGUAUUCUGCUAAAAUCAUGUAGAAAAUUCCAGUAUGAUACAUGACCAGACAUGACCGUGACAUCAAGUUUCUUUUGUGAAAGAAAAUCAUGAUACCUACUUCAAUUUAACCUAAACAGAAAUGCAAAGUUCCCCCUAAUACAUCUUUGUUGCCUCUUUUUUUCAGUACUAUGGUAGUCGAAACUGAGAAAAAUAUCUAAAAUUUCAGGAUGGACAGAAGAGCUGUCAACAAAAGAUAUACACAUUCCUUCAUAGCACAUACACAUUCCUUCAUAGCACAAACUACUGUAAAAGGAAAGAACUGUGAUCUGCCAGUUCCCCAAUUUAGGAACUCAGAAGUAUCACAAGAAACCACAGAAAUUCAGAGGCAUUAUCGCGUACCUGAAGGAACGAAUGAACAAACUACGUCGAAUUAACUCAGCCGACGACAAAUGGACCAAUCUCGCCGUUGCGCAUGGCGCGGGCGAGCUCGUUGGCUACCACCAGGCAGGUGGACACCCAGCCGGCGAGCACCGCCCACACCAUGUCCACGAUGCAGACCGCGACCCCCCACGGCAUCGUCAUCCUUGUUCCCUCUCCUCAGCCGUCCCCCAAGGAGGCAAUUCCACAAACACCUUCCCUGCAGUCUACAAGCACGGUUGAGCCGAGGAGGAGAUCGCAUGAAUUCCGACGAAAUGAUGACAAGCGACGGGAAGAGAACUCACCUCUUAUCUUGCCGAUGCAAUCAGCACGCAUGAAACGAAAGAAACUCCGAUUAGCGCCAGUCCUAGUUUCGAUCAAGAAUCUUAAGCACCAGCAAUCGGCGAAAAAUAUUUGCGUCGACAAGACGGUGUCUGACAAGAGAUGGGGAUCGAUUUCACUACCGCUUUAGCCACCUAACCCUUGCUCUCGCACCAAGAACCAACACAACUCCGCCACUUAGUGAUCAACUGCAAUUCCACCACCUCCAGCAUAAAUUCUUUAAUCAGCAUGAUAAUUUCUUUUGAUCAGACGAUUAAAUAGAGAUAAGGGUUGAAGGGUAUUCUCUUCACCUUGCUUGCUUGGUUUUCCCAUCUUCUUUGCCUGCCUUCCACAGCAACCUUUCCCUUUCACCUUCACAUAUCUUUUUGUUUCUUUUGCCAGGUAAGCAGUUCAAGAUUCAAGAAACAACUAGGACCGCCUAUAAAAAAAAAAAAAAAAAAAAAAAA